UUUUUUUAAAAAUGUAAACUUAAAUGACUAAUAUAGCCUUUUAAAUACUAUAAAUAUGAGUGUACAUAUUUUAUAUUGCAGUUUCACUGAAUAUUAGCUAAAAACAAUAUAAUAAAAUACAUUAUAUGAUAACUUUAAACUUUGAGGUCGUGUUUGAAAAUUGCAGGUUUACUGUUCAUAAAGAAAAUGGCAACACAAAAAAUAAUUUAUACGAGAAUUGAAGAUAUUAUAAGACGUAGGGUAAAUCAGUUCUGGAGGAAGUUCGGUGAAGUUGAAAAAUAAUAAUAUGGGCUGGGAUAAAGUGAGAUGGGCCCACUUGUGGGCCCAUUCCUUGUGUUGGAACAGCAUUGGUAGGCCCAUGACUUUACCCGAAGAAUUUUUGGGGGUUACUCCCUGUACCUCCCCAAUUCUAAUCCCCACCUCCAUUCCAUUUUUAAGAUUUGUUUUAUUAGUUUACUUUUUAUAUUAAUUUUCAGAUAUUUUAAUAAUGAAAUUUAUAUGUUUUGAUGUAUUAUUUUUAAAUAUAUUUUUAACGUAUAAAUGGGAGAGUGAGAGUUGCAGAGAGCGUUUGGAGGAGGAGCGUUUCAAAAGUUUUGGUGGAGGUGGGGGUGGGAAUACGAAGGAGAGGAAUUUGAGUCUGUGUGUUUUGACUGAGGCAGACUGUAAAAGAGUAGGUUAACUUUAGUAAAUAGGUGUAAAACGGUAAAAAUAAAAAAAACAUAAAGAUUAAUUUUGUAUUUAAAAAAAAAUCCAAAAAAAUUGGGGGGUGGGGGUUAGAACUGGGGAGGUACAGGAAGUAACUCCCAGAAUUUUUUGUUUACUAGAAUAAUCAAGUUGUUAAAGAAUUAUUAUAGCUAGUGGGCCAAUAGGCCCACAAUGACCCCCUUGUCAUUUGUGAAGAGUGGGUAGCAUUGUGUCACCCCUGGCCUAGUUGAUGGGCUUUUUAUAUAAAUGGGUACAGAGAGCCCAUAUAUCACCCUCUAUUCAUUACUUAAUGAGUCAUGUGAAGUCAAAAUUCUGCAGUGCUGGCCAACUAAUCAAGUACCCAAUAACUUAGUUGACCAGAACUCCCAAAAGGGGAAACAUAAAACAAAAAAAUAAUUGUAUGACACUUUCAUAGUAUUUCUCUUUCACACAAUAAUAAUAAUUGUGCAGCAGAAAAAACAAUUUUGCUAUUUCUAUAUAAAUUGUUAAAACGAAAAUUACUGCUGAUUAAUUCUGUGAGGUAUUUUUUAAUAUCAUAAAAGAAUGUAAAUUUUACACUUUUAUAAAAUAACGCUAAAAGAGUAACAUAAAAAAAUUAGGAUUUUAAAAAGUUUACUUGUUUUCUCAAUUCAUAAAGGAAAAGACAUUAUGCUAAGUAACUAAACUAGCAAUAAAAAUAGCAAAAAUACUAAACAACCUUUUUAGGGGCUUUAAAGCAAAUAUUUAAAGUGUUAUAUCUAGAUUGGUCCUUGAAUGAUAUUGAGACACGUGUUGUCGUUACGUAGGUAAUAUCCAAAAAGAAGAAAAAAAAAACAUAACACUGCCUUGCAAAAGUUUUUCUAAUAAAAUUAUUUUUUUAGCUAAACUUAAUUUUGUGUAUAAAUUAUGUGAUAAAUAUUCUCCUAUAUAGUUUAUAUAAUUUUUAAUCUACGCAUAAAUUGAUUUUGUUAUAAAAAAUAUUUAUUUUUUUAUCUUUUAGAAAUAUUUCUUAAUGAACCUGUUAUAUGAUCGUUUUGGAUGGGACUUGUAUCGGUAAAAUAGUUCCAGAACGAAAAAAAGAGAAAAAAAAAAUCAAGUAAAUCAACAAGGGUAAAAAUGAAAAAAAUAAAUAGCUUCGGAGCUAAUUAAUUGUGGUAGUUUGCUAAAAUAAGUUAAGAAAACCUUAAAAAACUCACAAUGCUAUAAUAGCUAAACUAACUUAUAAAUUUGUGAAUUAUAUUUUGAGUCACUAGUGUAAAUUUCUCCCCAUUGUUACAUUUAACUAAAGAAUUAAGAACCAUUAGGAUUUAAUGAACAGAAUAAAAAAAAGCUACCUAGAUUUACAACCACUAUAUUAAUUUUAUUAAUGAAAAUCAUAUAAAACUUCAAUUGCGUGGGUCCGACAAAAUCACUUGUACAAAUUAUUCAAUAAUAAAGAGUGUAAAAAUACAGUUUUUAACAGAAAAAAAAAAAGAGUGCAAGUCUAUUAUUUUGACAGUUUGCAUUUGCAUGAUGAACAUAGACAGAGUUUAUGUUUAUGGCAAUUACCCGAUAUGCAAAGUUAUAAUUCUGUAUGAAAUAAUGGAUUUGGUGAUGCAAAGAUAGAAAUGUGGUAAGUAGUUGGUAGUAAAUAAGAGUAGUAAUAAAUAAAAGUUGGCACAGAUUCAUUCGAUUGCACAGUAUAAUCCAUUUAUCGGAAAUAACAACAAUAAAUUCAUGUAAAAGUAGGUAGGAUAAUCCUAGCUACCAAAAAUUGUUCGUCAUUAGAUGGUUUGCUUACAUCACUCUUUGAAUCUCCUCUCCUGUGUCUGGCCACCACAAAACCAAGAAAGGACACUGCCAUGAGACUAAAAGAACAGUGUUUCACUUUCCCUGUCCCUCUCUUUUCAUUUGCCUUGUGCGCUUAGUUGUUACAUUCUGACGGAAAAGCUUGCAACCCCAUUUCUUUAUUUACUCUCCUUUCUCCUCACAUUAGCCUUCUCCUAUUAAAAUAGCUAAAAAGCAAAGGGCUUUCUCUGAAAAUGUUUCUGAGGUUACCUGCCAUGAACAGGAGUUUGAACAGAGAGAAUCCAUAUAUUUUGAUUAUGAUGAUUGCAGGGAAACAGAUAAUAAGGGGUGUUGAGGAGGACAAAAGAGAUCAGAGAGAGAGCCAAGACAUGGGCCCAGUAAAGCCUGCAACACAAAUGAGUGCCACUGCACCAAACACUGAUCUCUUCACCCUUCUCCUCCAUCUUCCCCUCUUUUCUGCCUCUUUACCUUUCCCUCUUAAUUUAUGGCUUUUUUUGUAUUUCCAUUCGUCUCCAACAUCCCCACUUCCUUUUUCAUUCUCUUUUCGACUUUGACUCACUUUUUUCCUUUCCAUGCUCUUCUUCUUCUUCAACUUCUUGUCUUUAAUGUGCAAGGCUAGAGGAAAGCUUGAUGGGGUCUAAGGAAACCACACUCUUGUUUUGGGGUUUCGACGCUUGAAGAAAAAGAUUUUUCUGUUCAUGCAAAAGAAACCAACACAACUUUCGUGUAGCCUUCUUUUUCAUUUUCCUUUCACAUUCUUGUAGGUUCUCCAAAGACAACAUAUAUUGGCAAGGAGUUGUUAAGUGAAGGUCGGUUGUGCUAGCUCUUCACGUCUAUUGUCUGUCAGUUGAUAUUUAUAUAACUAAUCUAAAAGCACUCUUUGAUUAUCUUUUAUUUAUCCAUUUGCUUAUUUUAUCAUUUCAGUUUUGUUUUCUAGUUUAUCAAAGUAAACCUUUUCAGGAAGACAACUUCUAAAUCAAUAGCCUCAUUUAUUAAUUACUUGUUAUCUGAUGGAGAGAGAGAUGUAUAUCGCUCCACUGGAGAUUUCUGGUCGAGGUGAUACAGUAAUAGAUGAAAUAUCCCAACAUCCCACCUCAAAUCCUCUCAUUCAGUGCUAUUCACUUGACCUUAACAACCAAUCCCACAUCAUAAAUGGAAUUUCAAUGCUUUCUGGAGAGCAAGGUGAACCUACAAGUAAUGUCCAUACUGAUGCUUGCUUCAUUACUCCAUCAACUAUUGCUGACUCCUGUCCAUUAGUUACAUCACGGAGAAAGAUUAUUGUGGGAGAUGCCUCAAAUCCCAUGGAGAACUCUGAUUUUCAAGAGCAUUUAGUUGGAGGAGUGCCCCUCACUCCUGCUUCGCUAGCUGCCAUUCUUGCUGAUAGAAUUGGACUUGAAGAAAAUUUGGAGAAUUCAGCCGCCGCCCUAGCUCCCUCAAUCUUCUCCACGGGGGCACUAGAGGUAUUCUUCAACAAUUUGCAUGGUACUUCAAACCCUUUGUCUGGAAUUUUUGAGGAGUGUGGGUACAAUGAAGGUCCUAGUAAGUGGAAUGCUAACAAAUUUCCUAAAGCUCCAGAGAAUGAUGGAACUUGUCAGCCUUAUUCUUCUGUGGCAAACUUGGAUCCAAAUGAAUGGGCAACAUCAAACGUUGCAAACAUGGCCAAUUAUGCUCACUAUUCCUCUACUUUUAGUAAAGAACUUUCUCUGAGUCUUGCAACAUCUACAGCCGCAGGACAGUGCUCAAACGUGACUUGCUCUAAUAUGACCCCGUGCAUGAAUGGAACCAUUUCCUGCAGCAGUAGUAGGGAAAUUUCUAUGAAUUUGGGUGGUAAUAAAUAUGCACAAAUUUCACCGGAAGUACUGGAAUCGAGAUACCUUCUUGGGAUUCAAGAGAUACUUGCUCAAGUUGCAAGAUAUUCAUUUCAAAAUCCUGAACAGUUAAACUAUUCAGCCACUGGUAAUAGAGCAGGUGGACACAAGUCAACUUCAGCGUUUCCACCCAAGAGAAACAUCUUGACAGAUCACAAUGCAAGUUCUGUUUACGAAUCUCAUGCAGAGUCUCCAUUGCAAAGGCAGGCUUCUGAAUCUAAGAAAGCUCAACUGCUGGCACUUCUACAACUGGUAUGACACUGCAUCAUAAAUUAAUUCUUUUGAUGUUCAUAUUAAUUAUGGUCAUGAACAGAAUCAUGUUAGUAAUACAUUGCACUUGUCCACGUUCAGAUUCAUGGAUGGUAUAUAAAUUGCUAAAGUUGGUUCAUAAUAAUGGUCUAAAAAACGGAUAAGUAGAGGUGUUUAAGAGUAGAACAUGUAAGUAUUCAUCAUGAAAUAUUGUCAUACUACUAACUAGCAAGCUCUUUCUUAAACAGGUGGACAGUCGAUACAGCCAGUGUUUGGAUGAGAUACAUACUGUUGUAUCUGCAUUCCAUGCAGCUACCGAGCUGGACCCACAGAUACAUGCACAUUUUGCUCUUCAAACCAUCUCUGUCCUUUACAAGGACUUACGGGAGAGGAUUAGCAACUACAUUCUUGCCAUGGGAUCAAGCUUCAAAAAAUCGUGCACGGAAGACAGUGAAUGGUCCAUUGAAACUUCAUUCCUUCAAAAGCAAUGGGCUCUCCAGCAGUUGAAAAGAAAAGAUCAGCUGUGGAGGCCCCAGAGAGGCUUGCCGGAAAGAUCUGUCUCGGUUCUACGGGCAUGGAUGUUUCAGAAUUUCCUACACCCGUGAGUUUCAAAUAUGCAAUAUGCCUUCUUGGACUGGCUCUAUACUUCAAUCAUCAGAGUUUUAUCCAUGAAACGAAUUUAAAGAAUAUAUGUAAAGCAAGUAUUUAUUUAUUAUUUGAUGGAUUUCAGGUAUCCCAAAGAUGCAGAGAAGCAUUUACUUGCAGUGAAAAGUGGGUUGACUAGAAGUCAGGUAUUUAUCUACUUGUUUGUUUGUUAUUUUGUUCAAAGAUGAACAAUCUGAUAUGCUUGCUUGGUUGUGUCUUGAAACUCAGGUAUCCAACUGGUUUAUAAAUGCUCGUGUGCGGCUGUGGAAACCUAUGAUUGAAGAGAUGUAUGCUGAAAUGAACAAAAGAAAGGCCUGUCGAAAUGAAGAAGAAAUCCAGAAUAACCAUGGAAACAGGAUAAGCAUGAGUAAUCAAAGGUUUAAUGUUAACUAAAGGUGUACGAAGUCGCAUAACGAUAUAAAUCACCUUUUUUCUUUAUUCAAAUAGAAAACAGAACUGAGGCCAAAAUCUGAGCUUAUUGUUUUGCAUGGUAGGUAGGGUAUAUUAUUUAUGAGGAUGUCCUGUCCAUGAAGAAAAUAGAAUCUUAGAAAAUUUCACGACAUUUAUUUGUCCAUCCGUUCUAGAACUCGUCUUAUUUUUGCUUAUUUUUUAUUCCAUGGCGAUGCACCAGUAAAUGGGUGAAGCUGUAAAAGCGGAUAAGGUUCUUAAGAAGGUAAAGUCCAACAUUGAAAGAGGCUCGUGUUAAGGCAAAGUACCAGGUUGACGCCAUUAGUCAUGCCAUGGAGGUUUGGGCAUACCUGCAAGAACUAUCAAGUUCGUCAUUGUAGAAAAAAACUAUUACAUAUACUAUCUAUGAUUUUACAAAUUAAUUUCUUAACUCCUUUAACAGGAAAACAAAAUCCCAUGAUGCUUUUAUUAUUUCACUUCAGCCUUUCAGGGUCAGGAAUCUCUUGACGAUAAAUAAACUAUUAAGUAUCAGCAGGUAAAAAGAUACCGACAUGAAAAGGAAUUGAGUGUAAGAUUAAAUGGUGUGCCCACCGUUUUAGCUUUACAGUUGUAACAAAAACUCAUUUUUUAUUUAUCUGUCCAAAAAUAACACUUUUGAAGCUUUAGCAACUAUGUAGACUCGCUAACUUAAGUCUAUGACUACACAAAUAAAAGAAUGACUAUAGCUGCUUUCAAGUAAACUCUUCCCCCUUUUUCUUUCCUCUGUCGAUUCUCUGUUCAUCUCCAUCUAUCUACAAUGACAUGUCCCCCUUCACCAGAAUUUUGACAAAACAAAGAACUAUAAACUUGUGCAACAAUCAAAAUACAAAAUAGGUGCUAAUCUUUAUUCAUCUACGACUACUAACGUACUACAUCUCCACUGAAAUUCGUGUCUUGAUUGGUUUCAAUUUCAAACCCAUGCUCUCCGGGGAAUAAAGCUCAGGAGAAAUGCAAGAGGGACUCAAGGGACUUCUUGGGCUGACACUCAACUUAGAUGGUCUGUACAAGCCAUAUCCCAUGAGAAAGUACUCCAACGGUGUUAACAUGGCAUGAGGUUGCUCCUCUGUUACCAUUGACCCACACGCUUGAACCUGCACAUCCACCCACAAUAGCUAUUAAAUCUAGUUCAUUGUUUAUUGAUAAACACAUUCUUCCACAAAUUAAAAUGAAUAUGAAUUCUCUUACGCACUUCAACUAAGGCACUGAAUCGUCUAUCCAACUUAGAUACCAUGUGGAGAGCCUCAGAGUGAAAAGGAGACAUAUCCCCAACAAAAAUUAGUGAACGACAAUGUAAUUUUCUCAAUCCUUCACUGAUGUCAUGUCUCCUGAAAAAUGCCAAUACAAAGUUAUGGCUGUGUUGCUGUUUCAUAAUAUGUGGAACUAGAGCGUCACCAAAUGCAUUUAUGCAUGAAAAGUGGUAAAUUAACAACGAGUGCAUGUGUAAUUAAAUUCUGAAUCUCCGACUGACGUCUAGCAAUAAUUGGUACCAUGCUGAGAGCAAUGCCACUCCUACCCCCACCACCACCCAACUCAUACAUAUGUAUAAUAAAAUAGAUAGUCACUUUCGAGUUGGAUGAAAACCACUAUUUUGAAGUUUUAUCUUACCCAUUAAUCGCUUCAAGGAACCGCCACACAUUCAAACUCUGCCUCUCAUCCAAUGACUGUCAAGAAAUAUUUAAAAGAGAGUCAGACAAGGGCCCAGUUUCAAAUGCCAACAAACCCAGUCCAUACAUGGAAGCGUAAGAUAAAUUGGGCUAACCCUUUGGCAUGCUUGAACAAUAUCAGACACUGGCAAAUAGUCACUGCCUCGAACUUCCUAUCAUCACCAAUAAAGUUAACGAUUCAACCUAACACUGAAGGAAGGGGAAAUUUUCUUUUCAGGAAUAGGCAUACCUUGCUAAAGUAUCGGUUUAGCAAUAUUUCUUUAACCACCCCACACAUGCCGUAAAAGUAGAGUAAAUUUGACAUGACCUGCAAUUAUUAGUCUUUAGCAAAAGGUGGUAUCUCAUAAAGAGACAAAGGUUCUCAUGUUUAGAAAAAGAACCUUAUUGUACAGCCAUUCAGUCCAAGAUGGUGCUUUACAUAAUGGGGAAACAAGUAUCAAACCAAGAACACGAUGUCUAUAUUUCACCUGUUGUUAAAGUAAGAAAUAUCUGUGAGAUCCCAUUCAGCCAUUUAAGAAUGGUAAAAAGAAAGGAGACAGUGCGACAUAUACAAAGACUCACAGCAAAUAAGGCAAGAAUGUAAGCCCCAGCAGUUACUCCCAUACACAUCACUGCACUCUGACUGCAAAGGAGAGAAGGGAAAUAUAUUAGAUUGCCUUCUCAAGAUCAAGGAGACGCGAUCAGUUGCACAAGUUAUAAACCCGUCACUUUUAAUGCAAAACGGAAGGAUAUUUCAGUUGCAAAUAUAGUAAAUUAAAAGAAAAAAAGCAAAUAUUUCAAAUUGAAGUCAAAUUGAAAUUGAUCUAACAUUUAUCUUCAUGCUACAUAAUGGGAGUGGAGCUGGAAAGGAUGGUUUUAGGGAAUAAGACCCUUGUUUAGGAGUUAAAGGUUUCCAGAGAGUAAGAGAUUGCGAAGGAAACGGCAUAGUUUCUAUACUGGAUAAUUUACAUUCACUAUAGCAACUCAUAACUGGGUUACUUGGAAAUAAAGGUUUUACUGAAAUUAUAAAUUUUCAACAAUAGGGAACGAAUCUGUUUCUAUUUCAUAUUUAGUUCCAUACCCUAUCUUUCCAUUUGAUUUCACUCCAUUAGCUCUAAAACUUUAUACAAUGAACUAAAUGGAAAGAAAUAGUCAGUGAGCUGAAACAUACCCAAAAUAAUUAAGAACUUCGGCUAUUUGAUCAGCUAAGUCGUCAGCAGAAAGAAUUGGACCGUCUGGAUCAAUGGCAGCAGCUCCCAACUGCAAUAAUUCACGAAAAGGUAUAAAAUGAUAAGAAGCUAAAUUAAAAAUAUUUAAAAAUCAGUGGGGAUAAGUAGCAAGAAACAGCCUAUUACAGUUUCAAGAAAUAAAGUUAGAGACCUCAUGCCCAGGUGGACUAAUAUGAUAGAUGCAGAAAUUGUGAAGCAGUAACGAACAGGCUUCUGGACAAAAUAACAACCCUUGAAAGCAGGAAACAUCUGAUGAAAUCACAUGCAAGAAAAUGGUUAGAUUGUUGAUUUGUCAACUAGACAAACAUGGACAAACUUCAUGAGCAUUUCUAAGAGAAAAAAAUAAGAAAAAUUAAAAAAAGUUAUUGUAUAAAUUAAAAUUAGUUUACUGGCAUUCUUUAAUUUGUAAAAACCCUUUUAUAUAGCUUCUAUGAUUUUUUACUUUAUUUUUAACUGGUGCAAAAGUUAAUUUUAGCUUAUAAAGAAGUUUUUUUUUCUUAUUUUUCUUUUUUAGAAGUGUUUAAGAAAAAACUAGAGGCUCAAUGUUAGCAAAGACAUAAAACAUCACUUUAUAUUACAACAUUUUGUGUAUAAAACUUUAUUUUUUUAUUUUUUUUAUAACUAUUAUAUUGGUAAAUCACAGGGCCCCUUCCUUGCUUACUGAACACAAACCACUGUAAUUUAUGAGAUUGCAUGUGAGCUUCUAAGAGAAAACUAGUAACACCAUAAUUUAAUUACACAAACUACCAUUAUUCCAAUACCACAUCAUUGAAUCUCUACUUAAAUGUAAAGAGACAUAUCUCAACCUAUUGAUUAAAACAAAUAUAUGAAUGAGAAUAAUUUUUUUGGUUAUAUAUAUAUAUAUAUAUAUAUAUAUAUAUAUAUAUAUAUAUAUAUUACUUUUGGGAAUAUAUGCAUAACCACACCAAUUAAGAAAUAAAAAAGAUUUUGUAAAUCACGUGGGAAUUCAUUAAAAAAUAAUAAAGAAAUGUACUUUAAUGCAUAUUAAUGAAUAAAAAUUAAUUUUUUAGUCAAUGCCUCACAUAGUAAGAGGAAUUAAGUUAUUAUAAGAGUACAGUCAUUACCUUUUAUUUUCUUUAAUAUGAUAUUUCUAAUAAAUUAUAUGAAAUAAUUAAAUUAAGAAAAGAAAAAGGGGUUGAGAAUAGUAGUAACUCUUUCAAAGCUACUCAUAACUUAACCCCUUUCAUAUACACACAUACACAGGUUUUAAAAAAAACUAAAAAGUAAUAUUAAAUAAAGCAUGUUUCAUGAAAUAAAGUAAAAUUAAAUAAAAAAACAAAAUCAUGUAAUAGAUGUUUUUUUUUUUGGUAAAUAUAACCAUGCAAUAAAGUAUAUUGGAACGGCCUUAAUCACGCCCCACGAGUACUCAUUAGCUAAAAUCAUCCUAUGGAAAAAGUUUUAUGAUACCUACAAUUUAAAGCUAAAUCAGGAUACGUGAUCAGCGCUGGUUUGUCCUGGUCCCCAUACACAGCAACAGAGACGCAACCAGAGCGAGUUCUUACAACAUGUUCCUGCAAAAAAGACUAGCUCAUUAAUCUGGAACAGCGCAUAAAAAUACCCAGAACCACAUAAGAAUAUGAUAAAACACCUCCUUCGUGUUUUAACAGCAAGAGGAAGGGUCAAAAACCACACAGGCAACAGAAGUAUGUAAAUCUUCUGGUUUUUCAGGGGUGCCCAUUCACUUUGAAAAAAAAAAAAAAACAAAACAAAACCAACAAAAAUGUGCAAAUCUUUGCAGACUGACACUGCAAGUUUAAAAAAAAAAAAAGUAUAUCAAUCUGCACCUGCCAGAAUCCUAUCGGUGAUAGCUAUUAAGACAAUUAAAAAAAUUAAAAUCAAAUCCAAUUUGUUUAAUUCAUGGAAAUCAUGCAGCAAAAGAAAAAAAUCUUCAUUCACUAUCUGGAAAGCUUUAAAAAUUCCAUUAUGGCAUAAUAGAAUUCAAGUGAGUUUCUGAAGCAAUGCAACAACAUUAUGAAACUCAGAGGAAGAAGUUUUUAAUUAAUCAAGCUAUGAAGAAACAAAAAUGAGUUAAAAAAGCCAGAAUGAAAACAAGAAUUGAGUUAAAGUGCGUGCCAUGAAAUGAAAUGGUUGUUUGUGAGUGUUAAUAUGAGCGUAAGUUAGUUACCUCGGGUGGAAGAGAAAUGGCUUCCAUGUCCACCGACACCGAAUCUGCCAUUUCACUCUCAAUAGCGUCGUGAAUGUGUAACCACUCACACUCCAUUUGUUUUUCUCUCCUAAUUCUUGCUUUUAUAGGUAGUUCUCAGCACUAGCAUGCGUCAAUUUCUCUCUCUUUCUCUCUCCAUUUUCUGCUGGUCUCGCACGAGUCACCGACGCUCAUCCCCGUGCCAAAUUCAAUUCAAGCCACACCAGCUCUCUGCAUUAAUACUCCUUUACUUAACCCACAUUCUGCUUCGCUUAACCAUGGUUCCCAAGCCGACACUUUUUCCUUCACAUUUUUUAUCACUCUCUUUUUAAAUAUUAAUGACUAACAUAUUUCUUUUUCAUUAAAAUUGCCACUGUCAAGUGCAAACGGAUCAGUUUUAGAUUUUUAAUUUCCUUUUUCUUGUAUCUCAGCCUCUAAAUUACUUUUCUUUUCAACAUCUUCCAUUAAAUGAAUAUUUUCAAAUAUAAAAAUACAUAUAACCACUUGUUUCAUAAAAUUUCGGUAAACAUUUUUAUAAAACAAUAUAUAGGUAUAAUUUAACGAUUAACUUUAUAAAAAUCGUGUUAUAUAUAUGUGAAAUUAUUGACAUAAAGUCCGUUGUCUGCAGUUAUUGGUAAAAAUCAGGUGCAUUUUUUUAAUAACAGAAUGAUAUACAUUAUGAACAUAUUAUUACAUUCCAUACAGAGCAUAGGACAUGAGGCUUGGGUUGGUUAUUAUAAGUCUAAAUAAAUAUAACUUAGUACACAUACAUAGAAAUGUGUUAAUUAAAAUUUAUUGUUAAUAUUAUAUUAUUUUAGAGCAUAAAUUAAUUCCAUUUAUUAUAAAAUGUAUCUUACACUGUUAUACCCUGUAUAAUGCAUGAAAUUAAAUUAAUUACACUGAAAUUAGCGCCUCCAUCCUUCAUGGGAAAAAACAAGCUAAUUUUUACAUUAGGAUAAAAGUAACAAAAAAUAUAUAUUGAAAUAAGUAUUUACGGUAUGAAAAUAUAAAACUUUUACAAUUUCAGAACAUUAAAGAUAACUCUUAAUUGAGGUUUUAAACUCGUUAUUCUGUAAAUAUUUCUUUUACAAAUUGAGUAUAUAAAAUUGUUAAAAUGAUAGCGAGUAUCCAUAAAAGUUAUAUCACUGGUUAAAAAAUAAUAUAAACAAAAUUUAAGAUGAAUAUAAUAUUUUAACGAGGAGAAUUUGAUCAAUCUCUCUUAUUUAUCCUUGUGAACUUAAGUAUAUACAUAAAGUAAAUCAGAAGUUUAUAACUUAAAUUUCAUUUUGAAGUUCUUAUAAUUUAUUUUUCCUCUUUGUUGAAAUUUUUAAACUGUUUGAAUUCUAGUUUAUGUAAAAUCGGUUAUAAUGUUGAUAAAUUUAUUCCGUGUGUAUUUCGAAUAAUUUAUGUGGAUUUUUUUUUAUAUAUUUUACAAUUAACGUAUUAGUUUAGAGAUUAAUUUAUCCAAUUAUUAUACUAAUAUAACCAAAACAUUACAUUAAUUUAACUAACGUGUCGUGUUCUUGAAAGAAAAAAAAAAGGUCUUGUGUCUCAUAUUUUUAGCAUGUGAUACAAUUAGUACAAUGUCUCAGUCGAGACCUAACCAAAAGUUUAAAUUAUUUAAUCAAUUAUUUUAACUUGCUUAAACAAACAGUUUGGGUACACAUGCACAAGUAUGUUUAUAAUUGUUUUUUUACAUUAUUAUAAGAUUAAUGAUAAUUAAGAAAUUUAGAAACUUCUAAUUGGUUAUGUAGUGUUUUGAUCUAUUGCCAUGAAUAUAUUAAUUGAUUCAAAUGAAUUUAAUAGUUAUCCUAAUUUAAUCAAAAUAUUACAUCAGUUAAAUAAAUGUAUUGUGUUUUAAAAAAUAAAUAAAAGCUAAGUGAAGUUUUAGAAUGGGUUCACACCACUUUAAUACAUUCCUUUAUCAUUUGAGAUAAGUACAUAAUGUCAGUAUUUUGAAACUCUUAGCAUUGUUCUUCUUUUCAAUUUCAUUUUCUUUUAGGAUGAAAAGAAUACAGAUUAAGGAUUCUGUUAACAAUGUUUUUAAGGUAUUAGUCAAGAAGUUUAAAAAAAUGAUUAAAAGUUACAGAAUAGUUCAUUAAAAUAAUAUAAAAUAAAUAUUUUUACAUGUCUCAGUAAAAUCUUAUAACUUAUUUAUUGUGUUUUAUUUUAUAUAUUGUAGUGAAAAUAUAUUUGUCUAUGUAUGGGUAUACAUUUUGUUUUAUAAUAACAAAAUAUAGGAAAUGUAAAAAAUUAUUUUAAUCAUAAUUUUGUUUCUGGCGUAAUGUUUAUGGUGAACAUUAACCAUAUAGCUAGUACCAUAGAAUUGAAAGGUGUAAUGUUUUUGGUGUAGUUCACCAGGGAUUUUUUUUUAUUUUAUUUUUAUGAAUAAGCAGUGUCUUUAUAACAGAAUGACAAGUGUGAUUUAUUUGUCCGAAGAAGAGGAAGCACAAGUCAUCAUCAGUACCUUCAAACAUUUCCAGUGCAAAAGGAGAAAGCAGUAACAGAAGAAAACAAAAACAGUGUUGCAUGGGAUUUGUCUACAAAAUAUAUAAAAUCUUCCAAAAAACAAAACACCAUUCAUAAUUGAGAAAGAAGUGAUUAAUAACUAUAGAGAAUUCCAAGAGCGUGGUGCCGAUCUCGGAGCAAGGAGAUUCAGAGAUUGCAAAUUUCAAUGCCAUUUAUUAAAACUCAAUCCCGAGAUGUCACUGCCCCAUCUACACCUGCUUCUUGAAGACCACUUGUUACUAAUAAUUCUCACAAAUUUUCCUAGCUUAAUUGCAUUCAUUCUUUAAUUCCUUUUCUCUCAUAAUUGCAAUUUUGAACUUAGGGUUCGUGUGAUCGGAGAUAAAUUUUGAACUUGGAGAAGAUAAGAAAGAUAGAAGAGUUCAUCAUUAAUAAAGGAAUAUCUUUAUUUUGCAUAAUCAGAAACUGUUAUCCUAAACCAAAAUUCAAGUAAGUUAGAAGUGAACUUACUUGUGUACCGGCACAUGGUUGAAAAGAAAAUAAAAUAAAAAUGUGGGAGAGAAAGAACCAAAGAACAUUGUGCAGACUUUGGUAUAUAAAACAUAUAAUUGGGCUGGGCUCACUCGAAAGAAAAGACCUUAAUGACCUCGUUUGAUUUUGUUCAAUGGGUGUUGUUCCCUCCACUUUUACUUUGUUCCUCUACCUCCUCAAUUUUUGUUCUUUUUCAAAAUUACCUUAGGUUAAAAUUUUGUUACUUUUACAUUUACUUUUAUAUAAAAUUUUAUUUCUUACCCCUUUUACCCAAUUGCGCAGCACACCUCAUCCCAUUCCCACUAUCUCAUUUCUUUUCUCUUUCUCAUUUCUCUCUUCUCAUUCCUCUUCUUUCAUUUCAUCUUUUCUCCUUCCAUUUCCGUUUCUUCCAUUACUUCCAUUUUCUUGCUUACUUGGUUUUAAGUUCCAUUUCAUUGCUUCCAUUGAGUUAGGUAUUUGGUUUGUGUUGUGGAAGAAUGUGCUUGGUAGUUUGCAGAUGGAGUAGGUCACGACGCGUGAUGCAUAUUCGAACUGUGAAACUUCCCGUUAAGUUAUUCAUGGCCACAGAGUAACUGGAUAGAGAAGGGAAUAUCAAAAGCAAAUCCUUAUGUUUAUUUGCUUGAGAAAGGCUUUACUUAAUUGUGCAAAUUAUACAGGUAAUACAAGAUAUUUGUUUAGCCAUAACAGUCACUGGGUUGCCAUCAUUUCCUCCAAGGGAACUGGUCAUAUUUUUGUUCUUGCUUCAUUUGGUGGAUAGACAAUUCUUAAGAUGCACGAUCAAGACACAGAUGAGCCUGCUCUUUUGCCAGUUUUUCCUCUACCAUGGUGGUUCACUCCACAUUUCAUAGUAAAUCAGCAGCAAUUGAGCUUGACACCCCCACCUCCUGUUGUUCUUUUAGUGGUUAGCAGAAUAAAGAAUAGUAAUGUCGGAUGGCUCAAUACAAUUAGUAGCGCGACAUCUUUUGCAACAAGGAAAGUUCCAAUUCCAUCUAGUGUUGAGGAGGUGGUGGGAGCAAAUGGGGAGGUGGAGGGAGCAAGUUACAUGUUGCAAGUUAUAGGUUUCUCUCAGCACCCCCAACUUUUUCAACCUUCAACCUGUAAUCUGGAACCUGUAACCUGCAACGACUAACAUCUUAGAUUUUACCUGUAACCUGUAAAUUGUAACUUCUAACCUAUAACUUGUAUCCUAUAACCUGUAACCUGUAACCUGUAACAUGUUACAUGUUACCUGUAACCUAUAACCUGUAACAUGUAACAUGUAACCUCCAACCUGUAACUUGUAACAUAUAACCUAUAACCUAUAACUUGCAACCUGUAACUUGUAACAUGUAACAUGUAACUUGUAACCUCCAACUUGCAACCUAUAAUCUCUAACAUGUAACUUGAAACCUCCAACCAAUAACUUGCAACCUAUAACAUGUAAUAUGUAACCUGCAAUCUGCAACCUGCAACCUGUAGACUGUAACCUGCAACCUGCAACCUGUAACCUGUGACCAGUAACAUGUAACCUGUAACAUGAAAUAUGUAACCUGAAACCUGUACCUACAACCUGGAACCUGUUACUUAUAACCUGUAACCUGCAACCUACAACCUACAACUUGGAACCUGGAACCUGGAACCUGGAACCUAGAACCUACAACCCGCAACCACCAACCUCCAACCUGGAAUCUGGAACCUGUAACGUGUAACAUGUAACCUGCAACUUGUAACCUCCAACAUGUAUCGUGCAAACUGUAACCUGCAACCUGUAACCUACAACCGAUAACCUGUAAUCUGCAACCUGUAACCUGUAACCUGUAACCUGCAACCUGUAACUUACAACCUGCAACAAAUAACAUCUUAGCUUUUACCUGUAACCUGUAACAUGAAACCUAUAACUUGUAACUUCUAACCUGUAACCUGUAACUUGUAACAUGUAACUUUUAACCUGUAACCUAUAACAUCUAACCUCCAACCUAGAACCUGCAACUUGGACUGCAUCCUGCAACUUGGAACUAGUAACCUGCAACCAACAACCUGUAACCUGCAACCUGUAACCUGUAACCUAGAGCCUGUAACCUGCAAUCUGUAACCUCCAACUUGUAACCUCCAACAUGUAACAUGUAACUUGUCAUCUUCAACUUGUAAUGUGAACUAUAACCUAUAACCUAUAACAGGUAACUUGACUCUUGUAACUUCUAACAUGUAACCUAUAACCUUUAACUCGAACCAAUAACCUGCAACCUGUAAUCCGUAACAUGUAACCUGCAACCUGUAACCUGUAACCUAGAGCCUGUAACCUGCAAUCUGUAACCUCCAACUUGUAACCUCCAACAUGUAACAUGUAACUUGUCAUCUUCAACUUGUAAUGUGAACUAUAACCUAUAACCUAUAACAGGUAACUUGACUCUUGUAACUUCUAACAUGUAACCUAUAACCUUUAACUCGAACCAAUAACCUGCAACCUGUAAUCCGUAACAUGUAACCUGCAACCUGUAACCUGUAAUCUUUAAUCUGUAACCUGUAACCCGUAACCCGUAACCUGAAACCUGGAACUAGGAACCUGGAGCCUACAACCUGCAACCUGUAACAGGCAACCUGUAACCUACAACAUACAACCUACAACCUAGAACCUGGAACCUGAAACCUGCAACAUACAACCUGGAACCUGGAAGUUGUAACCUAUAACCUGUAACCUGCAACCUGCAACCUGUAACCUGUAACCUGUAACCUGUAACCUGUAACCCGCAACCUGUAACCUGUAACUUAUAACCUGCAACCUGUAACCUGCAACGAGUAACAUCUUUGAUUUUACCUGUAAUCUGUAACCUGUAACCUGUAACACGUAACUUGUAACCUAUAACCUGCAACCUGCAACCUGCAAUCUGCAACAUGUAACUAGCAACUUCCAACCUGUAACCUGCAACCUGUAACCUGUGACCUAUAACCUGCAACCUGCAACCUGUAACCUGUACCCAUUAACAUGUUAGCUUUUACCUAUGACCUGUAACCUGUAACGUGUGACCUUUAACCUGUAACAUGUAAAUUGUAACCUAUAACCUGUAACCUGUAACCUGUAACAUGUAAACUGAAACCUGGAACCUACAAUGUGUAACUUGUAACAUGUAACCUGUAACUUGCAACCUCUAAGUUGCAACCUGUAACUUGUAACAUGUAACAUGUAAUUUGUAACUUGCAACUUGAAACCUAUAAUCUGCAACGUGUAACUUGCAACCUCCAACCAAUAAAAUGCAACCUGUAACAUGUAACCUGCAACCUGCAACCUAUAACCUGUAACAUGUAAUUUGCAACCUGCAACCUGUAACCUGCAACUUGCAACCUAUAACCUGCAACCUGCAACCUGCAACCUGCAACCUGCAACCUGUAACCUGUAACUUGUAACCUGUAACCUGUAACCUGUAACCUGUAACUUGUAGGCUAUAACCUGUUACCUGUAACCUAGAACCAGAAACCUAUAACUUGGAACCUGGAUCCUGAAACCUGCAACCUGAAACCUUCAACCUGCAAUCUGUAAACUGUAAACUAUAACCUACAACGUACAACCUAAAACCUGGAACUUGGAACCUGCAACCUGGAAUCUGCAACCUGCAUCCUGCAACCUACAACCUGCAACCAACAACCUAUAUCCUGCAACCUAUAACCUGUAACUUGUAACCUGUAACCUAUAACCUGCAACAUGUAACUUACAACCUGCAACCUGUAACCUACAACGAGUAACAUGUUAGCUUUUACCUGUAACCUGUAACCUCUAACUUGUAACCUGUAACCUAUAAGAUGGAACCUGUAACUUGUAACUUGUAACAUGUAACCUCCAACCUGUAACAUGUAACUUGUAAUCUUCAGCCUGUAAUGUGAACUAUAAACUAUAACCUAUAACAGGUAAUCUGCAACUCGUAACCUGCAACCUAUAACUUCUAAUCUGUAACCUGUAACAUAUAAUUUGUAACCUAUAACUUUUAACCUGUAACCUGUAGCUUGUAACUUGUAACUUUUAACCUGUAACCUAUAACAUCUAACCUGCAACCUAGAACUUGUAACCUGGAACCUACAACCUGCAACCUGCAUACAACCUGCAACCAGCAACUUGUAACCUGCAACCUAUAACCUGUAACCUAUAACCUGUAACCUGUAACCUGCAGCCUGUAACCUCCAACCUCUAACAUGUAACUUGUAAUCUUCAACCUGUAAUGUGAAUUGUAACCUAUAACCUAUAACAAGUAACCUGCAACUUGUAACCUGAAACCUGUAACUUCUAACAUAUAACCUAUAACCUGUAACUUGCAACCUGUAACAUGUAAUAUGUAACUUGUAACCUGCAAUUUGCAACCUAUAAUCUGCAACAUGUAACUUGCAACCUCCAACCAAUAACCUGCAACCUGUAACAUGUAACCUGCAACCUAUAACCUGCAACCUGUAACCUGCAACCUGCAACCUUUAACCUAUAACCCGUAACCUCAAACUUGGAACCCGAAACCUGGAACUAGGAACCUGGAGGAUGGAACCUGCAACCUGUAACCUGUAACAUGUAACUUGUAACCUACAACAUACAACUUAGAACCUGGAACCUGGAACCUAGAACUUGGAACCUGGAACCUGGAACCUGCAACCUUGAACUUGGAAGUUGUAACUUGUAACCUUAAACCUGAAACUUGCAACCUGUAACAUGUAACAUCUAACCUGCAACUGUAACCUGUAACCUGUAACCUGUAAUCUGCAACCUGUAACUUACAACCUGCAACCUGCAACCUGCAACCUGCAACCUGCAACCUGUAACCUUUUCCGUGACCUACAACGAGUAACAUAUUAGAUUUUACCUGUAACCUGUAUACUGUAACCUGUAACAUGUUACGUGUAACAUGUAACAUGUAACCUGUAACCUGUAACGUGUAACAUGUAACAUGUAACCUCCAACCUGUAACUUGUAACACGUAACAUGUAACCUCAAACUUGCAACCUAUAAUCUGCAACAUGUAACUUGAAACCUCCAACCAAUAACCUGCAACCUAUAACAUGUAAUCUGGAACCUGCAACCUGUAACCUGCAAACUGUAACUUGCAACCUGUAACCUGUAACCUAUAACAUGUAACCUGUAACCUGUAACCUCAACCUGUAACCUGCAACAUACAACGUACAACUUACAACCUGAAACUUGGAACCUGGAAACUGCAACCUGUAACCUGGAACCUGCAACCCGCAACCACCAACCUCCAACCUCCAACCUGGAACCUGGAACCUGUAACGUGUAAUGUGUAACCUGCAACUUGUAUCCUCCAACAUGUGUCGUGUAACCUGUAACCUGUAACCUGCAACCUGCAACCUGUAACCUGCAACCUACAACCUGCAACCUAUAACCUGCAACCUUAACCUGUAACUUGCAACCUGUAACUUACAACAUGCAACAAGUAACAUCUUAGUUUUUACCGGUAACCUGUAACAUAUAACCUCUAACUUGUAACCUGUAACAUGUAACCUGUAACCUGUAACAUGUAACCUGUAACCUGUAACCUGUAACUUCUAACCUGUAACCUGUAACUUCUAACCUGUAACCUGUAACUUGUAAUAUGUAACUUUUAACCUGUAACCUAUAACAUCUAACCUGGAACCUACAACCUGCAUCCUGCAACAUGCAACCAGCAACCUACAACCAACAACCUGUAACCUGUAACCUAUAACCUGUAACCUGUAACCUCAACUUAUAACCUCCAACCCGUAACAUGUAACUUGUAAUCUUCAACCUGUAAUGUGAACUGUAACCUAUAACCUAUAACCUAUAACAGGUAACCUGCAACUUGUAACCUGCAACUUGUAACUUCUAACAUGUAACCUAUAACCUUUAACUUGCAACCUGUAACAUGUAACAUGAAACUUGUAAUCUACAACUUGUAACCUAUAAUCUGCAACAUGUAACUUGCAACCUCCAACCAAUAACCUGCAACCUGUAACCCGUAACAUGUAACCUGCAACUGUAAUCUGUAACUCGUAACCCGUAACUUGGAACCUGGAACCUGAAACCUGGAACUAGGAACCUGAAGUCUGGAACCUGCAACCUGCAACCUGCAACAUGCAACCUACAACAUACAACCUACAACCUGGAACCUGGAACUUGGAACCUGGAACCCGAAACCUACAACCUGUAACCUGGAACCUGGAAGUUGUAACAUGUAACCUAUAACCUGCAACCUGUAACCUACAACGAGUAACAUCUUAGAUUUUACCUGUAACCUGUAAAUUGUAACCUGUAACCUAUAACUGUAACCUGUAACUUGUAACCUGUAACAUGUACCCUGUAACCUGUAACAUGUAACCUGUAACUUGUAACAUGUAACAUGUAACCUCAAAUCUGUAACCUCCAACCUGUAACUUGUAACAUGUAAUCUAUAACCUAUAACUUGCAACCNAACCUGUAACUUGUAACAUGUAACAUGUAACCUCAAAUCUGUAACCUCCAACCUGUAACUUGUAACAUGUAAUCUAUAACCUAUAACUUGCAACCUGUAACUUGUAACAUGUAACAUGUAACUUGUAACCUCAAACUUAUAACCUAUAAUCUGUAACAUAUAACUUGCAACCUCCAAUCAAUAACCUGCAUCCAUAACUUGCUCCCUCUACAAAUUUCUCUCAGCACCCCAACUUUUUCAUAUCCCUAAAUUACUCCUAACAACUUUUAGGUUUUGACUUUUACUAUGAUCUAAACUCCUAUGUAGAGUGUUACAAAAUGAAACUCUCUUUUUGGCUCAACCUUCACCUACAUUCUUUCUUUUGUACUUACAAACAUAAGAUUUUGAAAUCUAGUAAAAAAAAACUCAACACAUAAUUGAAUUUUCAAAUUCAAUAAACAAAAAUAGUUAUAUGAACAAAAGAAUUUAAAAUUAGAUUUUCUGAUUUUUAAAAAUUCAAAAUCAUAUUUCAUUUGAGAAAAUUAAAAAUCAGAUUUCAGAUAUAAUUUCUCAAAAUCCAUAUCCAGAUUUAGAAAAGUAAUAAAAUCUACGACUGAAUUUUGAAAUUCAAAAAUAUUUCCAACCAUAUUUCAAAAAUUAAUUUAAAAACAAAUUAAGAAUUAGAUUUCGAAAUGUAAUUUUCAAAAAUCUACAAUCGAAUUUAGAAAUGCGAAAAAAAUCUAAAAAUAAAUUUUAAAAUCCAAAAAAAUCCACUGGUAAAUAUUGAAAUACAGUAAAAUUCAAAAUUAGAUUUCAAAAUCUAGAAAAAUAAUAAUUUUAAAAUACCAAAUUUCAAAAUAUAAUAAAAUCGAAAAUCACAUUUCCAAAUUCGAGAAAAUAAAUUUCAAAAUUUAUAUUUUAAAAAUCAAGAACUAAAUUAUGAAAUUCAAAUAAAAUUUUAGAAUUGGAUUUUAAAAUGUGAAAAAAAUCAAGAAAUAAAUUUUAAAAUAAAAUUUUGAAAUGUGGAAAAUUCAGAACCAAAUGUCUAAAUCUUAUUUUUGAAAAUCUAAAAUCAGAUUUCAAAAUCUGAAAAAAAUCAAAUUAGAUUUUAAAAUUAAAAAAAAAUCCAAAACUCAUCAAUAUCUUUUUUAUAUGCCUCAACUCAAUGUGAUAAAAAUGUUAAAAAAUUCAUCUUAAUUAAUUAUAAAACUAAUUCAUAGUGUAUAACAAACUUCAAAAUUCCAAAUUCCUAGCUAAACUUUCAUUACUCUAAGUAAUGACUACUUAUUUUUCUUACAAAAAGUAUUUAUAUACACUUUUCAUACAAAAUGCAUGUAAAUUGAGGAUAAGUAAGAGUCGUCCUAGAAUAAACCAGGUUUAGUACUUUUACUUUUUUAUGUGAUUUUUUUUAGUUUUCUAUAUCAAUAUUUUUGUUUUAUUUUAAUUUUGAAAAUGCAGUAAAUAGUUAUUAAAUUACAUUUUGUAGCAAGUUCGUGACUGUAAUUAUUAUUUUAUGAGUAUAAUAUGUUUUCUUUAAUCUCCCAUGUUGAAAGUGACGAAAAACUUCAAAUAAUUGAGCUUAAACAAAAUUAAAAAGAAUCAGGUUUAAUACGGUCCUCGUAUUUGUGUGAAAAUCUCAGUUCGGUCCUAAAGUUUUGAACUGUCUCAAUUAGGUCAUAAUUUUUGUAAAAAUACACACAUUUUACCCCAACUAUUAACUUAUCUCAAACAACGUUAAGUUUAGCUGUUGUGAUUUUCAUACAAAUACGAAGACCAAGAAGGGAUUAAGCCAACACGUCAGCAUAUCACAACAGCUAAACUUAACGCCGUAUGAGAUCAGUUAACGGUUGGGGUAAAAUAUGUGCAUUUUUACAAAAAUUAUGACCCAAUUGAGACAGUUCAAACGAACUGAGAUUUUCACACAAAUACGAGGACCAAGAGAGGUAUUAAGCCAAAAAAUUAGAAUGAUAUAAAUAAAUUACGAGACAGAAAUAAAGAAAAUAAAAAGUAAGAAUUAAAAAAUAGUUUAAAAAGGCAAUUAACCAAGUAAAUCACAUUUAUUUGUACGAAUGAAGUAGUAAGAAGUAAAAUUAUUGAAUUUCUCUUAAGAAGUAGUGAAUUUGAAUGGUUAUUUAAUAAUUUAAUAAAUGAAAUAAUAGUAAUUUGGAAGAAAAAGGUAAGGAAUGAAGCUGAAAUGGGCCACGUAGUAGCCUUGGUAGGCAGUUUCGUCAACGAUGUCUCUACCGUUUUCUAAAAAAUAGAAAAAGGUUUGGCUGGAGCGUGGUCAGGGAUAAAUAGAGAGAGUCGUGAAGGCUGGGUGAGAUUCAUUCGCUCGUAGCAACAUCACUAUGGCUCUUCUCAGUCGAGCCUCCUCACGCAUCUAUCAAGUGCACUCCUAUCAACGGGCGUUAUCCCUCCACACGACGCUCCCAGCUCUCAACGCAUCCACAUCUACACACACGCCCACACCAUAUGCUCCGCCACCGCCUCCGUCCGCUUCAUCUCCCGUCGGCGUUUCCAAGGCGGCGGAGUUCGUCAUCUCCAAGGUCGAUGAUCUGAUGAACUGGGCUCGCCGUGGCUCCAUCUGGCCUAUGACCUUCGGACUCGCCUGCUGCGCCGUCGAAAUGAUGCACACCGGCGCCGCCCGCUAUGAUCUCGAUCGCUUCGGCAUCAUUUUCAGGCCCAGUCCUCGCCAGUCUGACUGUAUGAUCGUCGCUGGCACUCUCACCAACAAGAUGGCUCCCGCUCUUCGCAAGUAAAUCCUCUAUCCCUUUUUUUAGGGUUUUUACUUCCCUAAUCUCUUUUCCUCUUUGUUCCUUCUCACAGUUGAUUACAAAUCAUAUUCCUCACCCGAUGCACUGAUUUGCUCUGUGCGUGACAUAUGUGCGUGGUUGAGUAUUCAAUUUGACUUGAUAUGGCGUCGAUGCCGUCGCGUCUUUGUUUGAAUGCUGUUAUAUAUACGUUGGAGAAUUUUAAAGAUAAAUUGUGUUCGGUGUUCAAGAAGGCAGAUGCCUGUUAUUUGAGAAUUUCUGUGACUAAAUUGCAUUUCGGGGAUAUUUAAUCUGGUCAAUGAUUAUGUGUUUUGUCUUUGUUAUGACGUAAGUGUACAUGGGUUAGGACUGACUGUGAAGCAGUCAGUACAGUAGAUAUAUAAAUCAUAGUUAGCUAUUGUAAAAAUAUUCAUACUGAACAAUAACAAACAUACAUGUAUUCUGCCACUUCUUCUAUCAGUUCCGGAAUCCCUUCAUUCUGGGGUUUCCUGAUUUCUUGUUUGGCUUUCUCUCUAUUGCCCUAGAACUAUGUUUUCUCGUAACAGGCUGUUUUAAUUGACUCUUGUUUUGGUGUUGUAGCCUUGUUUUUUUUUUUUUUGAUUCAGUGUUGAUAGGAAACUGCUACGAGGACACUGUUUUAACGAAAUUUUUUUGUUGAGUUAGAGACAGUAUAGGGAAAUGACACACUAGCUGCAGUUUGUAAACUCUUUAAGGGGCUUGCUUUCUACCGUCCCAUUCCUCACUACAAUCCUGCCUCCACCUGGCAUGUGCACAGGUUGUUGGUUGUUUCAAACUUAUAAUCCAUAUCCUCAGACUGAUUUCCUAUUUACAUUUCUUUGCCUCAUUGCUUCCACUUGCUUCUAAUUCCUUGCCACCCUUGCCUUUCCUCGUAACGACACCUAACUAAUAGGUCAUGGCUAAUACAGUUCUCUUCGUGAUUAAAUGUUGUUAUAGAAAUCACUUUGAUUGAAUGAUACGGCAUGUGAAAAGAGGUUCUUAUGGGGAUAAUAGUUGUCUUGCAUUGGAUGAGAGGUGUGAACAGUUAUGUCAUUUAACUACAAAGUAUAGCAAUGGUUUUAAGUUGCUUUAGUUUUAGAAAAGGUGUAGAAGAGUAUGCCAGUUUCACUUGUUAAAUUUUCUACUAUGUUAUAGUACAUAUUGUUGGUUGCUCAUCAUUAUCUAUUACUAUGUCAUGAUGAGAUUCGGUAAGCUACUUAAUUGAGCGCUAAUUCUAUAAGAUUUUAUCAUCGAGGACUUAAUUUUGUUUUUCAGAAGCUGGGAAUUUUUUUAGGGAGUACAAACCUAAGCUAGAUCAUAAGAAUCCAAAAUAGGCAUCAUUUGGGCUAGAGCCUCUUCCAGCUAACAUAUUCUAUGCAAUCGAGAAGCAAGAGAUACUAAUUUGCCUGUUACUCUAUCGGCACAUCUUCUGACCAGAAUGAGUGUAUUUGGGAGUCUGUCUGCAUGAGAUUAUUGCAAUCCUGAUCAGACAACCAAAGUAAGAAUCAUGAAACAUUUUCUCAAUGCAUGAAAAACAUCAUGCAUGACUGCCUGUUUCAAACACUACACGAGAACUUAUGUCAGAUUUUUUCAUUAAGUUAUUAGAAUAAGCUAAAAAAGGUUUGUGGGAGUUAUAAAUUGUUUUUAUAUGCUCAAGUAAACUCUGGAUAGGUUUUUCCGAAUAUCUCCCCACGUAAGUCUGUCUAGGAACAUUAGCCAGCUUGUUGUGCCACUUGUAAGACAACUGCUUUGUUUAUUUCAAUUGUCAAAAUCUUUUCUUUUGAGGUCUAAUUAUUCUCUACAAUCUUGAAGAACAUAAAUCAUAAUGUUGGCUGUUACGUCUGUUGUAAUGCCGCAUGCGCACUUGGUUGGGAUUUUUCUGUCAUUGAUCUUCAUGAAACAUUAUCAAUUUGAUUUUUGGGUCAUUUUUCUGUCUCCCCUUCCCUGUGAAAUUCCAUGUUCCGACAUUAUUAUUGCCUUGGAACUUUAUUGGUAUAUGACGCGGAAAAAUUCUGGCAGGGUUUAUGACCAAAUGCCUGAACCUAGAUGGGUCAUUUCAAUGGGAAGUUGUGCUAACGGUGGAGGAUAUUACCACUACUCUUACUCAGUGGUUCGGGGGUGUGACAGGAUUGUUCCUGUUGACAUAUAUGUUCCAGGCUGUCCUCCAACUGCUGAGGCUUUGCUGUAUGGACUCCUCCAGCUGCAGAAAAAGAUCAAUAGGCGCAAAGAUUUCCUCCAUUGGUGGACAAAGUAAGGUCGACUAAGCUUAUUUCUUGGCAGCCAAACUAUUUUACAAUAAGCAAAUUCAUGGUAUUGUAUUACCUUGCUAAGAAGUGCCCAUGUUAGAUGGAGAUUGUGUCGAUACAUUACCUUAUCACAGUUUCUGAAUGUUCUAUCUGCUCUUUUUAUAGGGGCUUCAUUCCCCUUAAGUUUUUUUAUCUGUUAAUGCUUCAUUUGUGUACCCGGGAGUAAACUAUAUGUGAAAAACUCAUGUUUGGUUUGUAAGUUACGGUUUUUACGUUGGACCAAUUCCCCUCUCCAAUGGUUCCUCAUGGUGUUCCUAUAAAUAACUUUCAUCCCUAACUUGUAUCUGCCACACUCUCUUUCCUCAAAGCUUUGACUUGUAGUUCUCAUUUCUAUUUUUCUCUAUAAUUUUCAAAGAAUGGAUAUGCUUUUUUAUAUAGGAUUUGUCAGAGGAAACUUCUUUCUAAAUCAACAAUGAUUUAUUUAAUGGAUUAUUUGUGGCUUAUAGUCGAUUUAGCAUAAAUGUUAAGGGUUUUUUCAGAGACAUAAUCAUUGUAAAAUAUUUAAGAUAAAAUUGAUCAUAUAAAAAUAUUUCAUUAAUAUUUGUAAUUAUUUAUGUUUUAAAAAUUAUAUUUUUAGUAUUUACGUCAAUUUAUAAUUAUUUAUGUUUUAACAUAAACAAAGACAUGGUAUAUUGUAUUGCUUAUUUUUAUUAAUAUUUAUAUUUAUAUACUAAAAUGACUCGUUAAAAUAAAAAAAAAUAAAACAAAUAAUUGAUAAUACAUAAUACACUUCCUUUUUCAUUUUUUUUUUACAUUUGUCUUUAAUCCAACAUAAUUUUGCUUUCAUUUUUUUUAAUACAAUCAUUUAAAUGUUAAUAAAAUACAUGUUUUUGUGAUGCCACCAUUACUUAUUUGGUUCAGUGAAGGAAAAUGAAACUAGAAAUGGCACGAUAAAAGAUAGGUAGAAUAAGAAAAAAGAAUGUUAAAAUAAAUCCUUCUUUCUUAAUUUUUUUAAAAAUUAUUUAUUUAAAAUCACCAUUUUUAAGUUUAAAUACUUUCGCUUAUAAAUUAACCAAACUUUGAAAGAAAAAUAGUGAAAUAAAUCAAAUAAACGUGCAUAAUUUAACUUAUUUUUAAUCCUUUAUUAUAUAUUUUAAGUUUUAUUUAUUAUUUUAAAAAAUAAUAUCAAUCGAAACCAUUUUUUUAUUGGAGUGUUUUGUUUAAAAUUUAAAAGUAUUUAACAGUAUAUCAUUCCUUCUCAACAUAAUAAACUCUAAAAAUUAGAAAAUACGCGUGAGCCUCGUUAUUAUUCACACUGUCCUGAGCUUUUUUUCAACAAACUUUAAACUACAAUAAAUAGUUUUUUUAAGCGUGUUAUAGUUUCUGUUUUACACUUCCAACUAAAUUAGUAUUUUACCGCGCGAAUUCCAUAAAAUAAAUAUUUUUAAAACUAUAUAAAAUAAUAUUAAUUUACAAUACAUUAAAGCUAAACAUUAUAAUAAAUAAUUAUUUUCGAAUAUUUGAAUUAUAUUUUACAUUUACAAUUAACUCCUGAAGUUAUAAUAUAAACUUAUUUUAUGUUUAUGAUAAAAACUGCUGAAUCUCAUAACACAAACAUAUUUUUAUAAAAAAGAAACCAUACUUUGAGUAAAUUGAUUUUUUAAAAUAGUUUUGAAAGUAAAGUGUAAAGUGAAAUUAUAUAUAAAAAAGAAAGAAAAUGUUAAAAAUGCCUAAUCGAAGGAGCGAAAUAAUGAAUAAUAAAUAUACUAAAAUUACGUGAAAAUAAAAUUUUUCUUUAAAUAUAGUUUCUUCUUAAAAGCAUGACGUAAAAAGACAUCUUGUGAUUUUGGUUGCAUAAACGAAGCAAAAUAUCUCGCUCUCUCCUACAGAGGUAACGCGAGUGACUAGGGUUUGUGCCAAUGGCGGAAGAAGCACAGUAUUCAUCGGGAACGGAGUCGGCAUCCCUCAAGCGCAAGUACGAAGACCAAUCCUCCGACAGACCCACCGGAUUCUCUGCGGGUCCCGCCACCGGCAUCGAGCUCGCCAAGCAGCGUGCUCAAGAAGUCGCCGCUCGCCUCCUCAGUGUCACUCCUCCUCCUCCGCUCGACGCCAAGCGUCCCAAACCCGAUAACGGUGCUCCUUCCUCCGGUUUCGAUUCUUACGGUAACUAACGAUUCCUCUCUGCUCCGCUCUUCUCGUUUAUGUUAGGGUUUUAUGAACUAUGAUUUCCGGGAACGUAGAUGCGAAGCCUCAGUACUCGGCCGUUCCCCCCGUCUCCUACAGUCACCAAGGAACGAGCAAGAAGAUUGAUAUCCCUAACGGCAGGGUUGGUGUGAUAAUUGGCAAAGGUGGAGAGACCAUUAAGUAUCUCCAGUUGCAGUCUGGUGCCAAAAUUCAAGUUACUCGCGAUAUGGACGCCGACCCUAAUUCUACUACCAGGACCGUUGAGCUUAUGGGCACUCCCGAGGCAAUCGCUUCUGCAGAGAAACUCAUUAAUGAAGUUCUUGCCGAGGUUAAACACAUUUUAUGCUUCUCAUUUUUUUUUUUCUGUCAAUCAUGGAUGGAUUAGAUUUCGUUUAUCACCGAUUUUGAUGUUACGAUAAUCUUACCAAGGAGAACUGUUUCCUAGUGAACUGCUUAAAUGUUUAAUUAUUGCAAUAUAUAUGGUUAUAACUAUUUUUGUACCAGGCUGAAUCUGGAGGUUCUGGCAUUGUUGCUCGAAGACUGACCGGACAAGCUGGGUCGGAUGAAUUUGUCAUGAGAAUUCCGAAUAAUAAGGUGUGAAAGGGAGAUUUAAGUGUAUGCUUUGUACAAUGUCAUGAGUGUUUCCCUUGUUCAGACUUGCGGUUUUUUUUUUUUUGUCUGUUUGGGUUGAUAUGUUUAUUGUGUGCAUCGUCAGGUUGGCCUUAUAAUUGGCAAAGGUGGAGAAACCAUAAAGAAUAUGCAAGCUUCUACUGGUGCACGGAUUCAGGUUUUUACUUAUAAGUGAUAUAUAGAACAAUGUUCUCUUAUUUGUGCAUUGGAUAUCCGUGAUUUGCUGUUAUGGUAUUUUUACCGUUGCUUUGUCGUUGAUAAUAAUUUGAAAAGAGAUUGUAUUAACUGCCAACUCCCAUGACUAGGAAAUUUCUAUCUGGAGUUCUUUGUGACUAAUGUUCAUAAUUAUUUUUUCAGGUGAUACCUCUGCAUCUUCCUCCAGGUGACACAUCAACUGAAAGAACAUUGAAAAUUGAUGGGACACCUGAGCAAAUUGAGUCUGCAAAGGAGUUGGUUAAUCAAAUCAUCAGUGGCGAGGUAUGUUUAUGGUGCUUCUUUUUGCCACAUUUGGCCUAGGCAUAUCUGUCUGGUUAUGCCAAGUCUCGUCUAGUGUUUAAAAUUGUUGUUUUUCUACUUGGUUUUUCACUCUGUAUGUUGCACAGUCUACUUAUCUUAUAGACCGAUUGAUAAAAAUAGGUUAAUGUACGUAGCUUUAUGCGAUUGUUAGAUGAAUACUCCGUGCUUCUGAUUGCCUGUUGGAUCUUUCUAUAUUUAUGGUAUUAAAAUAUAAAACUAGAUCUGAUUCACCCUGUAACAUGAUACAUGAUUUUGCAGUACUCUUUGAUUUGUUCCUUUGCAGGGAAAAAUUGUUUUGGUAAAUCAUGUGAUGCUUUUUACUAUAGUUUGCAUAAAUGAGUUUUAUUUUUUUCAUAUUAAUUAAUUCAUUGAUCUUAUUAAUGAUAUAUUAUAACACUGAUCAUUAUUACUUAGCAUUGUAUAUCAUUGAUGGUUUUGAUCUCGACUGAAGCAGCUUUUAGCUGUAUGGCAAUUAUUAGUUAACUUGAUGCGUAUUCUGGACGCUUUGAUAUCUCUUCUAAAGCAGCUUAGUUCAUAGUGUAUGUUUUUAGAAGUAGUAUGUUUCGAGAGCCUAAUGUGCCUUUCACAAGUGAUUUUUAUUAUAUGGUACUUAAACAUUGAUACGACCUCUGUUACCUAUUGUAUUGUUCUCAAAAGAAAAUCAGUAUAUAAUUUCAUAUUGUGCAACUGUUUCAAGACUUUUACAAAGUAAUACUCAAAGGUAGAAAAUAAACUAAACCUCUAGUGGCUGUUACGAUGUUCUUUCUUUUAAUCUCCAACUCUCAUCAAUGUAAUUUAUUCAGCUCGCCAGGUGGAAAUAUGGUUAGGGAGACCGUUCACUGCUAUAGCCAUAGUUUAUUAGCUGUAAUGUUAACGACUGUAUGGUAUCCUGUUCUAUGAACAGUCUUUAUAUACUGGCAAUAUGCACCUUUCUUUAUGUUUAGUCUCGGAUUAGGUGAUGGUCAUUAACUUUCAGGAUCUUCUAAUUCUGGCUUGUCAACUGGUUUUUACGUUUGUGUAUGUGCACUCUGCUCUGUAUAAUUAGCUAACACUUCUUGGCCAUUAUCUUUUAUCCAUCCACAAACUAAGCAAUAAUUGAGAUUUGGACUUUCAGUUUUCUUGACCAAGAUACCAUACUUUUUUACAUAGACCGUUUUUUAACUGUGGUGAAGUUUUUCACCUAGCCCUGUGCUUUCGUCUUACAUUGUUUUUGUUGGUUUAGAUUCCUGGGGGUGGUGAAGGCUACUGUUAUUAUGAAUAUUUUUGGGUCCUGAUGGAUACUCAUUGAGAUUAUAGCCUUCCGACAUUGGAAUAUGAUUAUUAAUUGUGUAUCCUAUGACUGAUAAUGUUAUUGGGACUGUUGUAGGGUUAGUGUCUAUUGGACUAUUGGUGACACCAACAUGAAUCCCUUUGUUGGUGUUCCCUCAGCGUGCCCUGGUAUGGUUCUAAAUCUCAGAUAUUUAUUAUCAAGGGCAGUAAGUCUCCUACUAUAUUAUUUGACUAUGGUGUCAUUAUUAGACUGAAUAUUGGAUUGUGUUGAAAAGGUUUCAACUUGGUCACUUGUGCUUUUCAGUUCAUAUCUCAACAAGAACCUUUAUGUACUUGGAAUAGUAUUUUAUCCUCGGAUCUUAUACAUGACUUUCAUUUGGCAUCAGUAACCUGAAAGUUGCCUACCGUGCAACUCUUUAAUUAUUUUCCCCUACUAUUAUUCUUCUCCAGCUUUAAAUAGUAGUUUUCUGAACUAACCAGUUAUCUUCAAGAUUUCUGUUAAGAUUUAUCUGUUGUACAUUUUGUACCACUUCUAUUCAGCCUCAUCGUUCCAUUAUUUUUCUUUUUCUUAUUCGUUUUCCAUGAAAAUAAUAUUUAAUUUUAACUUUUAAUUCCCUAGGUUGAACUAUUAGAUUGGGUUGUACAAAGGUUGAGAGUAUGUAUAUGGGAGCGCAGAAAGUUGUCUCAACAGUCUAUAUAUUUGAAUUUAGAGUUACGCCUUCAUCUUAAUAUACAGUGAAAUACUCUUUCAAUUAACCUGAAUACGAAUGAUAUAUUCUAUAUUGUAUGUGUAACAAUUGGAUUAAGAUCUUGCAUAUUUUGAGAUACUAUAUGAUGGAUUGCCCUUUCGAGGCAAUAAAUAUUGAAUGCUUGUUUGCUUCUAUGGUCUGUGCUUUCUUUUGUACCCAUCCAACUCGAAUAGGGAAAGGGUGUGCUUCUGCUGGAGUAACUCAGUUUUAUCACGAACCAGUACGGUAUGUAGGUAUUCAUAUCCCUUUCUGAUCAUGUAUGCAACCUGUUAAUGCAAGAUAAAAAACCCUUUAUAUCGUAUUUAUUAUAUGUUGAUUUUUGCAUUUGUAAGUUUAACCUGUGUACGUGUGCAUAUGUUGCUUUCUGUACUUGUCCGAUGUGGAAACUUGGGUGAAUUCACUUUUCAUAUUUGGUUUCAAUUUGUCUGCACAGAAUCGUCUUAGAAAUCCUGCAAUGUCUGGUGGUUAUCCUCAGCAAGGUUACCAAUCUCGUCCACCCUCUAACUGGGCUCCCCCUGCUCCAAUGCAGCAGCCUGGUUAUGGUUAUAUGCAGCCUGGUGGAUAUUCUGGUCCAUCACCUCAGUAUAAUAUGCCUCAACCACCAUAUGCGGGCUAUCCUCCUCAACAACCAGGUGGAUAUUCCACUAGCUGGGACCAGUCUUCUGCACCACCUCACCAACAGUCUACUCAUGCUGGCGGCUAUGAUUACUAUAGUCAACAGCCACAGCAACCGCAAAAUCCUGGAGGGCCAGCACCUCCAGGGGAUAGCUCUGCAUACAGUUACAGUCAACCACCUUCAUCUGGUUAUAGCCAACCGGGACAGGGUUAUUCUCAGGACAGCUAUAAUGCAUACAAUGCACAGUCUCAAUCAGGGUAUGGACAGCCACAAACAUAUGAUCAGCAGCAAGGCUAUGGCUCAGCUACUACUGGCUAUGGUAGUGGGAAUAACCAAGCGCAAGAGGGCCACACUGCAAGCUAUGCAUCGCAGGGAGAUUCAGGCCCAGCUCCAUCUACCCAACCGACCACACAACAAGGUUAUCCUACCAGCCAACAGCCCAGCUCAAACACUGCCAACUACCCAGCUCAGGGAACUCCUCAGUCAGGUUAUGGGGUUCCCCCGACCUCCCAAGCUGCUUAUGGAAGUCAACCACAGCCAGGUUACGGACCUGGUUAUGGAGCCCCUCAAUCUCAGAAACCAAGUGGCAAUCCUCCUGUUUAUGGACAGUCGCAGUCACCCGGUGCGGUGGGAGGCUAUGGUCAGUCAGCAUAUCCUGCUCAGCCUCCACCUUCCGGUUAUACUCAACCCCAAGCAGAAACGGGUGCUCAGAGAGCACCUCCAUCGGGCUAUGGUGCAGGGCAACCAGGUUAUGGUUCUCAAACAUAUGGUGCAGCUCAGGGUGGCCAGCCUGCUUAUGGUCAGGUACCACCUCCUUACAGCAACAGUUCUUAUGGUGCUGGUUAUACUCAGGCUCCCGCAUAUACUGGCGAUGGUAAUGGCAGUGGAAAUACGCAGCCUCCUCAGACUGCUGUUGCUAAAGCAUCGCCUCAGACUUGAUAUUUUUGUCUCCCUUCUCUCAUGGACUAUCGUUUUUAGUUGUGUUUUACUGAUCCUUAUUUUUCUAGUGACACUAUGUAGCGUUGCAUUGUUUAGAUGGAAAAAAUCGUGUAUUGAUAUUUUCUACAUUAUCCGGUUCUGUAUGGUUGAAUAGGAGCUCAUUUUUAUGUUGUUUGAAGUUGAGAUGAAAAUAACUUCCCAUUUUUAUGCUAGUUUCAGUUGUAAAUAAGGCUUUAAGGUUUCGUUUGGAAUAGAGAUUUUUUAAGAAUUAUCUUAUUAUGAAUUUAGUGAUUUUUGUAAGUGUUUUGAGAAAAAUUUAAAAUAAAAUUAUAUCCAAACGUAACUUUUUAAUAAAUUAUGAAAACAAUAAUAUUUUUUAUGAAAGUAUCUGUUAACACGGGUAACAGAUUUUUGAAUCCGAUUCUGUAGAAAUACAUACAAACGAAGAAAGAGAGUAUAAUAGAAUUUGAAAACUUAUAAAAAAAAUUGACCGUUUUUAUACUUGUAAAAGUUAAUACUUUUAUUUUUCAUUUUGGUAUUUUAUUGCCCAAGAAUAGCAUGUUUUAUUUUCAUCUCUUAGUGGAUUUUGCAUAAAAAUUGAAUAAUACUUGAUGAUGCUUGUUUGGUUUAGAGUGUUAGAUGGAUGUGAAAAAUGAAAAUUGUUUAAACCAAUUCCAACUCAUAUAAUAUUGAGCUAACAUACACUAAAAUCAUAUUCUAAAAAGAGGUAAGUCUGUCAAAAUUUUCUAAAAACUUGCAACUAUGGUUUAGAUAAUUGGACAUGACACUUUUUUCAAAAUCGACCAAUUCAAUCUAUAAAUAAAACUAUUGUAAUGUCGAAAAUUCAAAUCUUUUCCCAUAAAACCCAAUGUUAAAAAUAUUAGUGACUCUUGGAAUAUUAUUGGUGAGCAAAACAGAAAUGGGAAUUGGAUUUUCUCUUUUGCCAAGGCUAUUUGAAACUGUGGAUCAUAACUUCUGAUAAUUUCAUUCAAAAAAUAUAUUUUAAUAUAAAGUGAAAGUUAUAUAUUUAUCGAAAAUAAAAAAUAAAUAUUAAAAAAGAUAACAAAGAGAAAGAGUAAUAGGAAUGCCGUUAUCUAAAUUAUAAGUCAGUUGUUAAUAUACUAACUCAUUAUAAAGUUUCUCUUAAGUCAUAUAUAUUUAUUUUUUUUCUUAUAAGAUUCUUAGAUAUUUUUAAGAAUUUAUUAAAGAACCUCAUUAAUUAAUAUUUUUUAAUUCAACCCUUAUUGUUGGAAGAAAAAAAAAGAUUGGUUAUAUUCUGAAAAAAGAAAACUUAGUUGAAUCCCUAUUAAAGUACACGAUUAUACAUUUAUUUAUAAAUACAUCCAAUAUUAUCGUUAGUGGAAAAAUCAUUUUUUAUGAGGAGUAAAAAUGAUUUAUUAUGAUGGGUAACCUGACAUAAUAGUUUUGGGCAUCAUAAUAGGUCUGCACAUUUUAUGACGGACAGAAAAGUCCAUAAUAAUAGGUCCUAUUAUGACGGACUUUCUGUCAUCUAUUAUAAUAGGUCCAGUGUAUUAUGACGAAUUUUCACUUAUCAAUCAUAAUAUAGCGAAUUUAUUAUGAUGCAACUAAAUUUACCUAUGAUAAUAUGUAGUGUUUUAUGACUAAGAUUUUUUCACCUGUCAUAAUAUGUAGAACAUAUAAGUAAUUGUUCACCUAUCAUAAUAUAUAUUUUUCAGAAAUAAGUUUUUAUUACAAACAUUGUUCACCACCUAUAAUAAAAACUUGUUUUGUAAAAAUAAAUCAUUAUUACAUUUGACAUAUCCAUUCAAUUUACAAUUAAUUUCCUGUAUUAUAAUCCCAUCAAUCAAUUUAUAAUCAAUAUAACAUGAAAUGAACAUAUUCAAUUAAACUAACAUAAUGAAAUUCAUUUUAAACAUAAUAAUAUUUAAUACAUAAUUUGUACAUCAAACCAUAUAUUAAUUCCAAAUAUAACAUUAACCUAUACUAUUACAUUGUAGUCAAGUUUCUACAAUUUACUAACAAUUAAAAUAAAAGAAAUCCACUUGUUUCUAGUGUCUUCAAUGUCUAGAGUCCAUUAGAGAUGAAUAAGUAAAGAUUUAUAAAUAAAAUAAUUAAGUUAGAAAAAUUUUAUAAUGAAGAAAUUAUUUUAUCAUACUAAGGUAUAGAAUAACAAAAGAUAAGACAUAACCAUGAAGGUCAUUUUACAGAUUGUUACAUCUUGAACAAUGGUCUGGAUAAAGCCAGAGACUUGACCAUUACUCCAAUGAUAAAAUAAUCACCAUUAUCAUAUAGCACAAAUACUACAACAAGCAAUAUGAGUACGUACCAACUUACUUUUUAAAAAUGACAUCAGGUUCACAAGCAAGAUCAAGUAAACAAAAGCUUUUUAAAAGACAACAGAGACAUGGAGCACCAAAAUGUGAUAUACCUAGGUUGCAUUUAUGCUAUCACGGUGAAACUGACAUAUCUUUCCAAGAAGUGAAACAACAUUGUCAUAUGCCAUUACGUUAUCAAGGAAGUUGUGCAUUUGGAUGUCUUAUCACAGUAUCUAACCUUGAGAGUGUCUCUACAGUAGAGCAGAUAAAAAAUAAAAUAAAAAAGAUAUAUAAUUGGCCGCGGAAAAACAGUUAAAUGGUGGUAUUGGGCAACUAACCUCCAACAAGGGGUUUGAAAACAAAUCCACCAAACUCAUCACACACACCAACACUAUAAACAACAGCCUGCAAAGACAUUUAAUUAUUUUGAGAAUAUUAUUAUCCCAGAUUAUAUUCUAAAAAUGGAAAGCAACACUAAUAUAUAGAAAACCAAGAAGGGGAAGUUAACUUUUCGAACAUCUGGAUAUUCAUCAUUGCAAGCUUCUAGUAAGAAUGGAAGGAAAGAAUCAUACUAUUUGUGCAACAAAAAGAAACAUGUAAAAAUAUAGAACAAAAUCAUUCAGGGUAAAGGGGAUAAAUUUUUUUUUUGCAAGGAAAUGUAGAAAAUCCACACAAGAACGAAAGACAUGGGACUCCCACAAGGAGGAAGCACUUACUUGAGAGCAGUUUCACGACAGUGCUCAAAAACAUCAUCAAAUAUACAAAUGGCAAUUCUCCUUUCCUAUGAGGUUUUAUCUUAGCCCUGAUAUUGAUUAUCAAUGGCGGAGGGACGAAAUGGGAUCAGAAAACAAAAUGGAAAAAAUUUCUAAGCUCAUAAUUUGUACAAAUAUAAAAAUGUCCACAUUCACAAAUAUAGACAAGUAGUUCAGUAGUAAAUUAGUAAUUGACAUAAUCCAAGUUAUUUUCGUGUGCUCUGGGAAGGGGCAUAAGAACAUUAGCAUAAAACCCAAAUUUCAUAUAGCAUUUCAGGAGGUUGCAUCGUCAUGAUAGAGGCUAGUUCACGUGAUAUUAUCCACUUUUUUCACUGGCUACAUCGCCUUUUCCCUAAUAAAAAAUGGCAUAUAUAACAAUCAAGAAAAAUGAAUAUCAACUUAGGAAAGAAAGAUAAUAGCUAGACAAGUUUUUUUUUUUUUCAUUCAAAUUAAUUGCCUUACAGAAAAACAUUUCACAAAAAACAAAAGGAAAUGCCAUGAGAGGAAAGAUAGACAACUUCAAAGCAAGAACGCCAAAAACUUAAGACUAAUUCUAGCAUCAAAUAUGUAUUAUUAGACAGACAGAAAGAAGCUUUUAUAUAUAUAUAUAUAUAUAUAUAUAUAUAUAUAUAUAUAUAUAUAUAUAUAUAUAUAUUAGUCUAAGCUUAACCUGACAAAGAGUUUUAGAUAAACGUGUUCUGUUAAGAUCAAUAAUAAUACAAAAAAAGGUACUCAAAUGUUUCCGUUGAAAGAGAAGUGUAUAAAUGUGGAAGAAAUUCACUCUUAAAGGAGGGUUGUUAGAAUUUAAAGUGUGAGUCUAAAUCUCACAUUCGAUAGAAAUGAUUAGAGAAUCUUGGAUUUUAAUGGUUUCUCUUUCAUGUUCAUCCAUUCCUUCUUCCACCGUCAUCUUUUUUUACCUCCCUUUUAUCGGCAUUACAUUUGACUCGUCCAUAUAUGUUUUUUUUCCCAUGAAAAAGAUGAAUUUUGUUAGUUUGUUUAUAGUCGUGGUGACUCUCCAAUAAUGAUCUCUUUAUCCACUAGAUGACAACAAUGCAUUCCUCAACCUUAAUUUGAAAAAAGAGAUUUACAUGGAGCAACUUUCCAAAUUUGUUGCUCAGGAGAGUCUUUUGGGUUGGUAUUUCAUCUUCUAUGUUGUCUUGAAAAUCAUUAGCAAUUUAGUGUCACUCAAGUGUAGAAGUUGAUAUUUUCACUAAAUCUCUAUAGAUUAUAUUAGUAAAAAGCUCGAUACAUACAAUUUGUAUGCAUUAACUAAAGGGGAAGUGUUAGAUAUAUUAUACAAGUGAGAUUAAUCCCAUACAUAAUUUUUUUCAUUAUAUUCAACAAAACCUAUGACAACUUAUCAAGUUUUAGUUUCUUCAAUCCUCAACAAGCAACAAUGCAUUAAGUUUAAUAGUCUUAAGAUUACUAAUGAACUAUAUUUUAUCCCUAAAUAUAAGCUCUAUUAAAUACUUAAUUUUAGUUUUAGGUUCAAAAGUCAUUUUGCAAUAUCUUAGUAACCAAUUAAGUCACAACAAGAAUUAAACAUAAAAAUCAAAUACCAAUAUAAGAAUGUAAAAGCAUGCGCGCGUACACACACACACACACACACACACACAUAUAUAUAUAUAUAUAUAUAUAUAUAUAUAUUAAUAACAAAAUAUACACAAAAAAUUAGUUUAGGGUUAAAUAUGUUUUUAUUCCCUAUACUAUCAAGCGGUUUUGGUUUUAGUCUCUCUUUCAAAGUAAGGUACAUUUUAGUCCUCCUUCCUAAGGAAACUUUAAUUUUAGUCCUCCAAAACUAACACCAUUAAAAACUAGCUGAUGUGGCUAACACUGUAAUGGCACGUCAUUUUUUUUUCUAACAUUAGUCAAUCUCCUUCAUUCGAAACCCAUGGACCACCACCAAGCCGCCAUCUGCACAUGGUUGUUGUUUCUCUGAUUGCAGGUGGCUUUUCACGGCAGCAAUUUAGGGCAUUUGGAGGUCGCGAUUUUUUGGUGUAUUUUCUGCAUUUUAGGUUACGAAGAUGGUGUCGCUGGUCAUGGGAGAUACUCGUUGAUGAAGACCGCGAGUGAAGGUGACUCUACUUCACGAUGGUGCUUAAUGGCGAAGGCAUGGUGGCGAGUCUGGAUUUGAGUUUUGUUGUAAGUGAUGGUGGAACAUGGAGCAGUUUUGUUGAGUCACGAUUUGCGACUUCUGUUUUGAAAUCUCUAUGCGAAGAAGAUGGAGGUCGAGGGUGAUGAACCCAUUGUGCUCUGGUGACAGCGGCCCAUGUUGAGGAUGCGAUUUUGGGUUCCCUUUUAUUCUGGGCUUCUGUGUUUUCUCUGACAGGUGCGAGAUCGAUGAUGACGCGAAGGUGGCAAGCUUCCUGGUGGCUGCCAUGGAGGAGAUUGAAUCUUGCGAUCUAGCGAAGAGAAACACGAUACUGGUUGCGCUCUGCGACAACUUAGUGGUGGUCCGAUGAAGAGUUUUUUGUUCGAAGGAUUUGGUGAAAACGAUGGAGGGAGCGGAAGAUGGAAGGAAGGAAACAGAAGGGAGAGAGGGGAGGGAGAAAAGCUGGGAAAAAUUAAGGUUUAAUACAUCUUUUGGUCCCAUCUUUUGGGACUUUUGUUCAAAAUGAUCCUACCUUCGGAAAAAAAUCACUUUGGUCCCAUAUUUCAUUAAAUGUUGUUCAAAAUGGUCCCUAUGGCAGACGACGUUAAAUUUUUAAUGGUGAAGUUGCUAGCGUGGCAAACGUCUAUCCACCUAUUUAAAAUUUAUAUCACGUGGCUUUUUGAAAACAUUUAAGGGUAAUUAAAAAACCCCUAAUUAAAAUCAAAUUAGAAAAUUAGGGUAGGUAAAAAACCCCUAACCCUAAUUGUUUUUCAAUUGUCGUGGAGAGAAGGCUCUGGGUUGUUCAUCUGCUGUUCAUUUGUCGCGAUUGGAGAUCACGUCAGUGGUGAUUGCUUGAAGGUGGUAGUUCAACAUUGACAGUUUUGACAAUUUUCUUACUGUCACUUUUCAUCAUCUUGUUUUUCUUCUUCUUAAUGUUGUAUUGCAGAGUUAAUUAAGCCCUGAAAUGAAAUUAACUCUAGUGGAGGGAAUCCACGAGUUUCCAGCAAUAAAAUUAGCAACAGUGAAUUUGGAAGCAUCUUCAACCUUAAGAACGUGAAAACCCUGCCACUGCACCCUCCCUGCGGUUCCAGCACCACCUCCUUCAUUGCCGUACUCCGCGAAAUACAAACUCUUCAAAACGGAGCUUCCAUACCCAGGCCACGCCACCCACCCUUUCGCCGCAAUCACUUCGUCGAUUCUACUCUGCAUCACCACCGAUCUCGAAUACUCCUUCCAGGGUCUCCCCAGAAACGAACUGUGCGACUGCUUAAAGUCCGAGGUCGGCGAUAUACUGCUCUUGUGAACGGAGAACCCAGUGUUCUGCCCGGGGUUAGAUCUAAAAACAAUUAGGGUUGGGGGUUUUUAAUUACCCUAAUUUUCUAAUUUGAUUUUAAUUAGGGGUUUUUUAAUUACCCUUAAAUGUUUUCAAAAAGUCACGUCAUAUAAAUUUUAAACAGGUGGAUAGACGUUUGCCACGCUAGCAACUUCACCGUUAAAAAUUUAACGUCGUCUGCCAUAGGGACCAUUUUGAACAACAUUUAAUGAAAUAUGAGACCAAAAGAUGUAUUAAACCAAAAAUUAACUAGUGUUAGAAAAAAAUGAUGUGCCAUUACACUGUUAGCUACAUCAGCUGGUUUUUAAUAACAUUAGUUUUGGAAGACUAAAAUUAAAAUUUAUUAAGAAAGAGGACUAAAAUAUACCUUACUUUAAAAUAUGAACUAAAACCAAAACCGCUGAUAAUAAAAUUGAAAUAAAUAAAUAAAUGUAAAAUAAAGUUUAUUUAUAACAAUGUAUCUUUAUUUUUUUGAUAGUUUAUUUAUACAAAGAAACACCCAUAAAAAUUGAAAUAAAGUUGGAAGUCCAUGGAUGACGUAAAAAGGCCUCAUUAUUUUAUUUUGGUUGUACAAGGGAAGCAAUGUAAAAUAUCUCUUCUUUUUUUUUCUCCACUACCCCACCCAAGGGAUCACACUAGCCACCACUAUAAAUUAUAAAUAUUAGCACAGCCUCUCUUACACACCUAACAUCUCUAGGGUUUGUGUCAAUGGCGGACGAAACUCACUAUUCAUCUCCCAAAGACUCUGCGCCCCUCAAACGCAAGUACGAAGACCAAUCCUCCGACAGGCCCACUGGCUUCUCGGCAGGUCCCGCCACCGGCAUCGAGCUCGCCAAGCAGCGUGCUCAAGAAGUUGCCGCCCGCCUCCUCAGCGUUGCUCCUCCUCCCCCGCUCGACGCCAAGCGUCCCAAAUCCGAUAACGGUGCUCCUACCUCCGGCUUCGAUUCUUAUGGUAACUAUCUGUCCCUCUCUGCUCCACACUUCUGCUCGUUUAGGUUAGGGUUUAUAAACUCUGAUUUCCGUGAACGUAGAUGCGAAGCCUCAGUACUCUGCUGUUCCUCCAGUCUCCUACAGUCACCAAGGAACGAGCAAGAAGAUUGAUAUCCCUAACGGCCGGGUUGGUGUGAUUAUUGGCAAAAGUGGAGAGACCAUUAAAUAUCUUCAGUUGCAGUCUGGUGCCAAAAUUCAAGUUACUCGCGAUAUGGACGCCGACCCUAAUUCUGCUACCAGGACCGUUGAGCUUAUGGGCACUCCCGAGGCAAUUGCCUCUGCAGAGAAACUCAUUAAUGAAGUUCUUGCCGAGGUUAAACUCAUUUUAUACUUCUCGUUUUCUUUUUCUGUCAAUCACAAAUGGACUAGAUUUCGUUUAUCUACCAAGGAGGAGUGUUUCCUGAUGAACUUCUCAAAUGUUUAAUUAUUGCAAUAUGUAUGAUGAUAACCUCUUCUAUACCAGGCUGAAUCUGGAGGCUCUGGCAUUGUUGCUCGAAGACUAACCGGACAAGCUGGGUCAGAUGAAUUUGUUAUGAGAAUCCCAAAUAAUAAGGUGUGAAAGGCAGAUUUGUUGAAGUGUAUGCUUUGUACAAUAUCAUAAGUGAUUCUCGAGUUCAGGUAUGUGGUUCUUCUGUCUGUUUGGAUUAAUAUGUUCAUUGUGGGCAUCUUCAGGUUGGCCUUAUUAUUGGAAAAGGUGGAGAAACCAUAAAGAAUAUGCAAGCUUCUACUGGCGCACGGAUUCAGGUUUUUACUUAUAAUUGAUACGACCGUAAUCUUAUUUGUGUAUUAGACAUAGGUGAUUUGCCGAUAUGGUGUUCUUUCUGUAGCCUUGAGAUUGCUACUAAUUUGAUAAGAGAUUGUGAUAACUGCCAACGCUCGGGACUUGGAAAUUUCUAUCGGAGUUCCUUGUGAUUAAUGUUCAUACGAUUAUUUCAGGUCAUACCUCUGCAUCUUCCUCCGGGUGACACAUCAACUGAAAGAACUUUAAAGAUUGAUGGGACACCUGAGCAAAUUGAGUCUGCAAAGGAGUUGGUUAAUCAAAUCAUCAGCGGCGAGGUAUGUUAAUGGUGCUUCCUUUUGCCACAGUUGGCUUAGGCAUAUCUACCUGGUUAAGCCAAGUCUAGUUCAGUGUUUACAAUUGUUGUUUUUCUACUUGAUUAUUCUACUUGAUUUUGUACCUGGUUAAGCCAAGUCUAGGUUAACUUACUUGCAAGCUUUAUGUGAUUGUUGUAUGAAUACUUUGUGCUUGUCAUUGCCUGUUGGACCUUUUUAUUUUUUUAUGAUAUUGAAAUAUAAAAUUAGAUCUGAUUGAUCCCUGUUGCUUGAUACAUGUUUUCUGUACUUUCUCCGAUUUGUUUCUUUACAGGUAAAAAGUUCGUUUGGUAAAUCAUGAGAUGGUUUUUACUUUAGUUUGCAUAAAUGAUUUUUAUUCUGUUCAUAUUAAUUAAUUUAUUGAUCUUAUUAAUGAUAUAUCAUAGCACUAUGACCAUUAUUACUUAACAGUGUAUAUUAUUGAUGUUUUCAUCUGGAAUGAAGAAGCUUAGCUGUAUGGCAAUUUUGAUGCGUAUUCUGGAUGCAUUGAUAUCUCUUCCAAAGCAGCUUAGCUGAUAGUGUCUGUUUAUGGAAGUAGUGAUUUCUUCAGAGUGUAAUGUGCCUUUGGCAAGUGGUUUCUAUAAUAUGAUACUUAAAUAUUGAUAUGACCUGUUACCUAUUGUGUUGUUCUCAAAAGAAAAUUAGUACAUUUAAUUUCAUAUUGUGCAAGUGUUUCAAGACUUUUACAAAGUAAUUCACUACGGUAGAAAAGAAACUAAGUCACUAGUGGCUGUUAUGAUGUUCUUGCUUGUAAUCUCCAACUCUCUUCAGUGUAACCUCAUCAGCUCGCCUUUUGGAAAUAUGUUUAGUGAGACCGUUCACUGCUAUAGCCGUCAUUUAUUAGUUGUAUUGUGGUGUGAACAACUGUAUAGUAUCUUGUUUUAUUAACAGUCUUGACAUACUAGCAAUAUGUGCCUUUCUUUAUGUUUAGCCUCGGAUUAGGUGAUGGUCAUUAACUUUCAGGGUCUUUCUAAUUAUGACUUGUAAACUGCGUACUUAUUUUGUGCAUGAGUAUUGUGCUCUGUAUAAUUAGCUAAUACGUCUUAUCCAUUAUCUCUUUUAUCCAUCCACAAACCAAUGACUUUGGUAGCAAUAUUUGAGAAUAGGCUCAGUUUUCUUGACUAAGAUACCAUACUUUUACAAAGACCUUAUUUUAACUGUGGUGUAGUUUUGCACCUGGCCCAGUGCUUUGGAGAGUUUCCUUUUUCGUUUUUAUUGGUUUAAAUCAGUGGGGGCUGCGAAGGCUACUGUUAUUAUGAAAUCUUUUGGUCCAGAUGGAUACUCAUUGAGAUUAUAGUCUCUCGACAUUGGAAUAUGCUUAUUAAUUGUGUAUCCUAUGACUGAUGUUGUUAUUGGGACUGUUGUAGGGUUAGUGUCUAUUGGACCAUUGGUGACACCAACAUGAAUCCAUUUGUUGGUGUUCCCUCAGCAUGCCCUGGUAUGGUUCUAAAUCUCAGUUUUGAUAUUUAUUAUCAAGGGCAGUAAGUCUCCUACUAUAUUUUUUGACUAUGGUGUCAUUAUUAGAUUGAAUAUUGAAUUAUAUUGAAAUAGUUUUCAACUACCAAGUGGUUUUCAGUUCAUUUCUCAAAAGAACCUUUAUGUACUUGGAAUAGUAUUUAUCCUCGUAUGUUAUACUGGACUUACAUUUGGCAUAGGUAAUCUGAGACGUGCCCAUUGUGCUGCACUUUAAUUAUUUUCUCUAUUCUAUUAUUUUUGUCCAGUUUUAAGUAGUAGUUUUCUUAACUAACCAGUUAUCUACAAGAUUUCUGCUAAGAUUUGUCUGUUGUACAUUUUGUGCUACUUCUAUUCUGCUUCAUCAUUCCUCUAUUUUCUUUUUCUUAUUAGUUAUCAACUUAAAUAAUAUUUAAUUUGAACUUUGAAUUCGUGAUCCUGAGGUUGAAUUAUUAGAUUGGGUUGUACAGAGGUUGAGAGAGGAUGUACAUGGGAGCACAAAAUAAUUGCCUCGACAGUCUGUAUAUUUGUAUUUAGAGUUGAGCCUUCAUCUUAAUACAUUGUUAAAUAUCUGUAGUUCCAGUCAGACUUGUUGAAUUAAUAUGAAUACAAGUAUUAUAUUGUAUAUUGAAUAGCGUAACAAUUGGAGUAAGAUCUUGCAUAUUUUGAGAUACUAUAUGACGGAUUGCCUUUUCAAGGCAAUAAAUAUUGAAUGCUUGUUUGCUUCUAUGGUCUGUGCUUUCUCUUGUACCCAUCCAAUUCGAAUAGGGAAAGGGUGUGCUUCUGCUGGAGUAACUCAGUUUUAUCACGAACCAGUACGGUAUGUAGGUAUUCAUAUCCCUUUCUGAUCUUGUAUGCAACCUGUUAAUGCAAGAUAACAUACCCUUUAUAUCGUGUUCAUUAUAUGUUGAUUUCUGCAUUUGUAGGUUUAACCUGUGUACGUGUGCAUAUGUUGCUUUCUGUACUUGUCUGAUGUAGAAACUUGGGUGAAUUCACUCCCUUUAUUUUUGUUUUCUAUUUGUCUGCACAGAAUCGACUUAGAAAUCCUUCAAUGUCUGGUGGGUAUCCUCAGCAAGGCUACCAAUCUCGACCACCCUCUAACUGGGGUCCCCCCGCACCAAUGCAGCAACCUGGUUAUGGCUAUGUUCAACCUGGAGCAUAUUCUGGUCCAUCACCUCAAUAUAACAUGCCUCAGCCACCAUAUUCAGGCUAUCCUCCCCAACAACCAGGUGGAUAUUCCACCAAUUGGGACCAGUCUUCUGCACCACCUCACCAACAGUCUACUCAUGCUGGUGGCUAUGAUUACUAUAGUCAACAACCACAACCGCAAAAUCCUGGAGGUCCUGCACCUCCAGCUGACGGCUCUGCAUACAAUUAUAGUCAACCACCUUCAUCUGCUUAUAGCCAACCGGGACAGGGUUAUGCUCAGGACAGCUAUAAUGCAUAUAAUGCACAAUCUCAUUCGGGGUAUGGACAACCACCAACGUAUGAUCAGCAACAAGGCUAUGGCUCCGUUACUGGCUAUGGUAGUGGGAAUAACCAAGCACAAGAGGGCCACACUUCGGGCUAUGCAUCGCAGGGAGAUUCAGCCCCAGCUCCAUCAACCCAACCGACCACCAUUGCACAGCAAGGUUAUCCUACCAGCCAACAGCCCAGCUCAAACACUUCCAACUACCCACCUCAGGGAACUCCUCAGUCGGGUUAUGGCGUCCCCCCUACAUCCCAAGCUGCUUAUGGAAGUCAACCACAACCAGGUUAUGGUCCUGGUUAUGGAGCCCCUCAAUCUCAGAAACCAAGUGGCAAUCCUUCUGUUUAUGGACAGUCGCAGUCACCUAGUGCAGUAGGAGGCUAUGGUCAGUCAGCAUAUCCUGCGCAGCCUCCACCUUCUGGUUAUACUCAACCCCAAGCAGAAACUGGUGCUCAGAGAGCACCUCCGUCGGGCUAUGGUGCAGGGCAACCAGGUUAUGGUUCUCAAGCAUAUGGUGCACCUCAGGGAGGCCAGCCUGCUUAUGGACAGGCGCCGCCUCCAUACACCAACAGUUCUUAUGGUGCUGGUUAUACUCAGGCUCCGGCCUAUACUGGCGAUGGUAAUGGCAGUGGGAAUACUCAGCCUCCCCAAACAACUGCUGCUAAAACUUCGCCCCAGACUUGAUAUUUUCCCCCCUCCCUCUUUUUCAUGGACUUCUUUUUAGUCGUGUUUUGUAGUUGUUUAUUCUACUAGCGAUACCCACCUAUGUAGCGUUGCAAUGUUUAGAUGUAAGGGUUCGUGUACUGAAAUUUCCUACAUGUUGAAUAUUUUUGUAUGGUUAAAUUGGAUCUCAUGGUGAUGGCAUUUGAAAAAAAUGGGGAACUUAAUUUAAGUUGCCAAACUAUGUGUCGAUUUUCAUCUAAUUUUUAGUGAGUUCAACUGACUUCUUCGUAGAAUUUACGGUAUUAAAUAUUUUUUUGGACGAAUUAUUUACUACUUUUGAAGUUAUUAAUUGUGCAAGUGUUUUUCUUUUUGAAUUAUUGUGGUCAUAAAUUGUUUUUUAAUAAUUGUUGAGAAUAACUAUGUCUUUAAUAAUGAAUGUGUGAAAGUCUUUCACUCUGUCUUUCAUUUCCAUUACUUUUUUUUUUUUUUCAUUUAUUUCACUCGAAGUGUGCACGAGAAUUAAACAGUUUAUGACCGCGUUAAACUGUAAAGAAGUUUCAAAUAAGUAAUAUACACUAAUAUAGAAUUUUUUAGGGGGUUUAAUAUCCGAUAUGGGGUGAUGAAUUCAUGGCUCUUGAAAUGAUCCCUGGUAAAUUAUUCUUUGAAUAGUUCUUUAAGAGGUGAGUUUCCCAUAUGAGAAAUUUUGCUUCUUCAUAGCCGUGUGAUGUUUGCUAUCAAUAGCUUCAUCUAUAAAAGGAGACGGGAGUACUUUUACUCUCAGGUGCUGUGACGAGUAACAUACUACUUGCCGUUUUCAAUUUAAAUCAACAUUUAAAUAUGAAAUCUCUAUUUAACAAGCGAAACUGUGCUUAUUACUAAUUCCACUUUAUUUCAACUCGUUCGAUUUCGAUAAGGAUCCCCACCAUCCUCAAUGUGAUUGACAGGUAUACCAUGGGCAUUGAAAAAUAUCACUGCCUGCCUAAUACAUAGAUACAUCUAAUGGAAGAAACCAUGUUGAAAGCAGUCAAUAAAAUAAUAAUCUACCUCUUCUGGUCAGCGAUUGACUUAAUAUAGCCUCGUUUAUAACGGAAACAGGAGCCAUAGACAAAUACUCAUCUUGUCUGAAUUAAAUGAUAUAGUAAACAAAGCCGUAACCAACUCACAGUUUCUAUAUUUUUAAAUAAUAAUAAUAAUUACUACGUAAAAUACAGUAAAUGGUUUGGAUGAAAUUAUUAUUUUUUCAAUUUUAAAUAUAAUGUUUGUGAUUAUAGUUGAGGAUAAAAGCAAAAAAAAAAAAUAAGAAUAGAAGAAGCAAUUGAAAAUGAGAUGAAAAUUUGAAAUUGGGAUUAUAUAAGAGAGGGUAAGAAGAAAUAAUGAAAAUUCAGAAGAUUAGGAAGCAGAGAGAGAUGGAGGGAAUUGAAGGAGAUGGCAGUGGAAGGGGUGAGGGAAGCAGCAAAAGAUACAAUCUGAAACCCUCGCGAGUUUCGAACGAAGAUAUUCUGAUUUGCCUGGACGUAGAUCCUCAGUGCCUCGUCGAGAUGAAAGGGGCCACCGGACCCAACGGCAGACCCCUCACCCGAUUGGACUCCGUCAAGCAAGCCAUCAUUCUAUUCGUCAAUGCCAAGCUCACCAUCAACCCCCAACACCGUUUCGCCUUCGCCACUCUCUCCAACACCAUUUCCUGGGUUUCUUUCCACCAUAACCUAUUUAUUUAUUCCCCUUCAAUUUAAUCCUUUUUAGGGUUUUUAAUUUUAAUUCUUAUUACAGGUGCGCAAAGACUUCACCUCUGACAUCGACUCAACAAUCGCUGCAAUGCGGAGCAUUUCAGCUUCUUCUUCCGCCGGCCCACCCGAUCUCACCCUUUUGUUCCGAUUGGCCGCUCAUGAAGCCAAGAAAUCCCGUGUGCAGGGUCGCAUCUUUAGAGUUGUAAGUGUUUUCCAUGGCUACGAUUAACAUCACUCAAUCGUAUUUAUGCUUGUGAAUCCUAACACGCAAUCUCUACGUUCCACUCCAUUGUAGCUUCUGUUCUACUGCAGAUCAUCAGAGCGACCACAGCAUCAGUGGCCGGUGAACCAGAAGGUGUUCACAUUGGAUGUGAUGUACCUUCAUGACAAGCCUGGUCCUGAUAAUUGCCCCCAGGAGGUUUAUGAUACACUGGUGGAGGCACUUGAACAUGUUAGUGAAUAUGAGGGGUUUAUCUUGGAGAGUGGACAGGGUUUGGCACGUGUUCUAUUCCGUCACGUCCUCAUUCUUCUGUCCCAUCCUCAGCAGCGUUGUAUCCAGGAGUAUCUUGACAUUCCAAAGUCAAUUGCAAAGAAGGUUCCUCAGGUGGAGCCUAUGGCCACCGAAGAUACCGCUCCGAUAGCCACCCAAUAAAACAAUGUAAUUCCCUAAUCUCUUUUUACUUCUUUUUUUCAUGUGAAUGUUGAUGUGAUCACAUACCAAAGUUGGAGUCUUUUGUUACUGGGAUUGUUACUAGCAUGAACAAUUUCUGAUUUUGGAUUCAAUUCCCACAACCCACUUUCUUGUUCUCAAAUCUAUCACAAGUGUACUAUAGUUUAGGCAUAGGCCUGGUAAUAUGUAGAGAAGUGUUUUCUAUUUCAUGGCAACACCCAUUAUAAAAUGCCACAUUCAUAGAAGAUUGACAGGGUAAUAAUGCGAUGCAAAAGAAUCUCUAAACAGAACAUAAAUAAAAGAUUGCAAGAUUUAUAAAACUCGUGAUUUCCUGAAUAUAAAGAAAAAAUGUUCUGGCGGCAACAAUACUAAUUAUUAUUCACAUAGAAUUUUGAUAAUAAGAUUUAAUAAUAAGGUUUAAUAUACUUUAUUAUUAAACAUAUAUUCGUUUUUCUUAACACGUUGUACCAAAAGUACUCAAGUUCAAAAAAAAAUUAAGAAUUGAAUAUAUUUCUAAAAUUAUUAUAUAGAAUAAAAUUGCAUGGACAAAAAUGAAUUUAAACUUCAAAAAGCAAUAACCCUCUGCAUUUGUAAGUUCGUGAAAUGGAAAUCACACUUAAGUCUUCCACGUUUUGUGAUUCUAAUGUGUCAUUAAAUAUUUUAUUUGAAAAAUUGUAUUUAUUUAGUUGCGUUCAUUAUACAGGAUUCAUAAUUAAUUACUGCUCUGAAAAUGUAUCAGCUAAUAAUUUGUCUAACUAAAACUAACACACGAAAUGAUUUUUUUGAAUACAUUACUUAUUUAUCAGUCAAUUUAUGAAAAUUAAUCCAAAAAAUUAGAUAAAAGUAAACCAAAAAUAAGUGAAUAUUUCUCUUACUUUUGAAAUUCGUCCAGUUAUCACUUCACCCAUUUUAACCCACAAUUCAAGAGAGCUACAUCAGAGAUAUAUAAUUUCACCAAAUACAGUAAAAAAAAUCAAUAUAAAAACACUUGUUUUACUUUUAAAUUUCUUUCUUGAAGUAAAAUAACAUUAACAUGAAUCUCCCAAUUAGAUUCUUUCAAUAGCCUCCUAAUAUUAAGAACACAUCAUUUUUCAAAUCAUCGCUUCUUAAUCUCAUUAAUUAGUAAUUGCAUGCAAAAGAAGAGAAUCUUACUCUCUUAAAUGACCACUACUCAUAUCAAUAGAUUUAACAGACAAACUGAGAACUUUUUUUAUCAACAAAAUGAGAAAAUGGGAUUUGGUAUGGCUACAAAAUGCAACAAUUUCAAUUUCAAAUAAGAAAAAACUUAAAUUCUUUUGUCACUGUGAUGAUGCAAUGAAUAUUUCAUUGCAGUAUAGCCGACUGCAUGCACUUAUGUACUAUUCUUGUUCCACCAUAAAAAGAAAUCUACUGAAAGUGAAACCACUGAAGCAAGGGAUAAAAAAUUUGAAAAAGGUAACUAUAGGUAGAUUGUAAGAAAUACAACCUAAUUUGGUACUAAUUUUAUCAGUAAGUUUGUCUGUUUUUACCUUAGCUUUGGUGUAAGAUAAAACAUGAGAACUGCAUAUAAAGUCUAAGACUCUUCACACAUAUUAUAUGCAGCAAAAGAUACACAAACACAAUUACAUAAUCAUAUGAAUUCUGAAAAACAUUUGGGGAGGGAAAUCAUACUCUUGCAAUGAAAAGAAAAAGGGAAAAAUAAAGGAAAAAAAAGAAAAAAAAAUUUGGACCAUUUCUCGAUUUGUGCGUGUCAUCCUUGCGCAGGGGCCAUGCUAAUCUUCUCUGUAUCGUUCCAAUUUUAUCGGAUGUCCCCGAAGGGACAAGCCUCCUGGGCCGAAUUUGGUUUAUAAACUUUAAAAGUUAAGCAGUUUUAAACGAUGUGGGACUUAAAUGGGAAUGAGACCACUUACCUUCUAAGAAAUGGAAGAAGAAACAAAAGGCGCAAUCUGAAGAAAAAAAAAUGUUGAAGCAAUGUUGAGGAUCCAUGGUAGAAGAUCUGUCUGAAUGCAAACGCAGACAGCUGAGUCCAGAAAUGAAGAAUGAAAGAAUAUCCAAGUAUUUUAAUUCGUAGCCAUGAUGACUCUGCUCUACACACUGCACACCCUACACUACAUUUUUGAAAUUUGUGUUUAGUUGUUCCUUCCACCUCUAUCACACUAUUAAAUAUAUUUUAUUUAUUUAUAAAUAUGAGAUUGAGGAAGAAUGAGAAGGCACCCCCGCUUAUUGUUUUAAUUAUAAAAAUACUUUAUUGUUCACUUUGAAGAUAAAAAUACUAUUUAUUAUAAUUAUAAUAAUAAUUAUCUUUUAUUAAAAUAAUAAUAAUUAUUAGCAUUUUAUUUUUAUUAUUUAUUAUUAUUAUUAUUUUUAAUAUAUUAUUAUUUAUUAUAUAUGAUUUUUCAUCUUUAAUACAAGAUAAUCGAUUUCUUUUUAAAAAUUAAUACUCAUUUACUUAUUUCAUCAAUCAAUUUCAUCUUCAACACAAAGGAAUCGAUUUUUUUUCAAUCCAGAAUCGAUUCGCAUCUACUUGUUUCACCACAAUCGGUGGCUUUCUCUGCAGAAAAUGAACUUCCGUGCUUAGGCUUACAGGAUUACAAAACUCUCAUCGACACUGUUCGUUUCCAUACUGAUUUCAGAAUCAAUUCUCAACCAAGUUAAAUAGUGGCAAAGAUGUUUUUUCUCUUUCAAAUCUUUCGAUAAAAGUACAAAAAUCAGAUUGGAAUCAUAAAAUCUUUAAAAACAUGAGAUAAAAAAGGAAAUAAUUAUUAUUUUUAAAUGAGAAAAGUAUUUUAUUAUUUCAAAUUACUUAUAUAUACUCUCAAGUUUAAUACUGAAAAAGAGAUAUGUCAAAAUGUCGUAUCAAAAGUCAGGUGCAGAAUUUGCAGAGCAGAGUUAUUUAUGAAUAGGACUACCUAUAGAUAGAUGAUGAUAGUGCUUAGAUAUUCAUUUUUUUAUCUUCAUUAAUUAUACAUACCUAUUUUUAUUCAUACAGAUCUUUUAUAUUUUUCCUUCUAGAGUCUCAGCAAUAAUUAUUUUAUGAGAAUGAUUAUUUUUUUUAUUACAUAAAAAAAAAUAUGAACACACGAAAUUACGUUUUGGUUUACACUGGUUAUUAAUAUUAAAAAUUAUGUAAUAUCAUCUUUAUUAUAUACUAGUUAUUAACAAUGAAAAUACAUAAAAAUUAUCUUUAUAUAAUUUAAAAUGCCCGUCUUAAACACGUACAAGUAUUCUGAAUCUUUGCUUUCAUUAUUAAUACAUUCUGAAAGUCAAAUAGUAAUUCAAUAUAUUAAACUAUUGUUCCAUUCAAAUAAGAAUUUUCUAAUUAUGGCAUCCUUUCGUUCUUCAAACCAUGCUUACAAAAUAAAAUAAAAAUAUUAGCUGAACAUGUGUUUUAAUUUAUUAUAUUAAAAGUUAAGUUAAUGAAUGAUUAAGAAACAAGAUGCAUUCAUGCACAAUUGUAAGAAGAAGCCGAUUGCAGGAAUACAGGAAACUUGAUCCUUAUUUCACAAAAGUCCAUAACUCAAACAUAAGCAGAAAAUGUUAAUGUAGCAUAGUAGUUGAAGGAGACAAUACUUUUGCAGAAGUGUUAGAUUAGAUCUCCGAUGGUGUUGUUAGAUAUAUUAUUUUCAACUAUAGAAAGUCAGAAGCAUUUGUAAUGUCCCUUAAAGCCAGUGUUGGGACAUUCCAGUUCAAUAAAUAACCAUUAAAAAACCGUCCAUUAUUGAGUUUAUAUUAGCUUAAGCUUUCCCACAUAAGCAACUACUUCGCUUAUUAAAUUGUAAAUGAUUGCUAUAUAUUGGGUCCUAUAAUUCAUGAGAGUUAGACUUUAAUAGAAUAAAAUAACAGAAGAAAAAGUCUCCAUGGGUAUCUGCAUAUCCUCUGAAUCUUCAGCGAUUCAUGGAGCGCCUGAAGAAGCUCGUGACGAAAAUGUGUUUGUGUUUGAAGCAACCAAGCUUCUCAGGGGACUUUCCUCUGCUUACUCUAAACAAGGUACCAAAGGGCUCAACCAAGAUGCUGCAACACUUUGUCAGGUACAUGUUUCUUAUAAAGAAGCUAUCUUUUUUUUUUUUUUUUUCUUCUGAAUCAUAGUAGAAUAAUCUCUUAAGAUUCUAUGUAAGAUGCUAAUAUUGACAAAGUUUAAGAUUGAAAACUUGGUCCUUUAAGCAAGCUGCAUAGUAUAUAUGCAUAUAUAUUAUAUAUAGGCACUGGGAAGCACAUGAAAUUUAUUGUAACUUCUCUUCCUCUGCUUCCUUUAUUAGGUUUAUGGGACGGCAAACGCAGCAUUCUGUGGAGUUUUUGAUGGGCAUGGAAGGAAUGGUCACAUAGUGAGCAAAAUAGUGAACAGCCGUUUGUGUUCACUCAUAGUGGACCAUAAAAAAGUGCAUGCAAAGAUUGAUAAGAAGAACAUCACAAGGCAUGUGGAGACAGUUGAAGAGGACUCACAAGCUCUACUAAACAAGAAUUUUGAAGAAUGGAAAGAAGCCAUUCUUGAUGGUUUCAGGGUGAUGGACAAGGAAGUGAAGCUACAAGAGAAUCUGGACUGCUCUUGCAGUGGAACUACGGCUGUAGUUGUCAUAAGACAGGUAAACCAAGAAACCAACCAACCGUGAAAGUGAAAUUAUCAUUGACGGUAUCUUUGAUCAUAUAUAUGUGCCUCAGUUUUUGCUAUUUGGAAUAGAAAAUAUAUAGUAAGUGAUAACAAUGCAAAAGGAUAAAUUAACAGGGUGAAGAUGUUGUCAUAGCUAACCUUGGUGACUCUAGAGCAAUCUUGGGGACAAUCUCUGACGGUGAAAUCAUGCCCAUUCAAUUGACGACGGAUAUGAAACCUGGAUUACCUUGUAAGGCUAAUAUGAUCGUCCUUGUUGAAGCUAAGUAAAUUAAUGUGAGCCCAAUUUAUGAAUCUAUAUUGAAAUGCAGGCGAAGCGGAACGAAUAAAAAGUUGCAAUGGCCGUGUAUUUGCCCUGAAGGAAGAACCACACAUCCAGCGAGUGUGGUUACCCGAUGAGAACUCUCCAGGUCUGGCCAUGUCUCGGGCUUUUGGAGAUUUCAUGCUCAAAGACCACGGCAUCAUUGCCAUCCCUGAAAUUUCGCAUCGCACUCUAACAUCUACCGACCAAUUUAUUGUUCUUGCAAGUGAUGGGGUAAGUGUUUUAUUUUGCAUGUUAAUUUGCUUAUUUUGGAUUUUCCUUUAUUGACUUUUUGAUUUUCUGAUUUAGGUGUGGGAUGUGCUAAGCAACGAGGAGGUUUCCUCAAUAGUGUGGGCAGCAGACACUGAAAAUGAAGCAGCAAGGGCUGUUGUGGAAGCAGCAGCGUUAGCAUGGAAAAGCAAGUAUCCUUCUUCUAAGUUAGAUGACUGCACAGCCGUUUGCCUCUUCCUACAGAAGAAACCCUCAUAAGUUCCUUUUUUCUUGGUAACAAAGUUGCCAUGUGAACGUGAAAUUAUAGCUCCUUACAUUACAUACAUAGCGCCUCGCAUGUCAUGUUGGGAAUUUACAUAGAAAACUGAUAAGAAGAUGUACUGCUUGUGUUAUUCUCAGUUAGCAUCCUCUAGUUUCUCUUUUUUACUUUAUAAAUCUCUAUGUAUCUCCUAUAAUAUAAUCUUCUACUCCACUUCACACCAAGUUAAUGUCGUCGUACCUAUUAAAUUUUGAUGAGUAGUGUAAUCGGAUGAUAAUUAACAAGGCUAAUUUCAGGCCGUGAUAGUCUGGUCAAUUAUCAGGAGUAUUAGCUUUGCACGGCCAGAUUAUACAGAAAAUUAAAAACAAGCGAUGUAAUUGAGAGAAAUGAAAUGAAAAAGAAGAAUAUUAAAAAAGUGUAAUAAGAUACUUUACGAAUAAUACAACUCAUCCCUAUAAAAAAAACUAUAUGCCACCAUAUCACUAACAUGAGAUCCAUACCCUGUAUAUCCAAUAAUUUCACUUCUCUAGAAAAUACAGAACUCCCCAAGUGUGACCAAUGCAAAAUAUGCUGUAAUAACUUUUGUUAUUGAAUACGAGAUUAAAUUUUAAUAUUUACUUAAAAAGAUAAUAAAUAAAUAAAAUAAUUUUAAGUUCAUCAAUGAAUUAAGAGAUAUAUAGAAAAAUAAAGUACGUGAAAAAAAUAUUUUUUAACUUGUGUAUGUGUUUAUAAUUUUGUGUAAAUAAUUAAAAAAAAAAAUAAUACUCAACUUUGUCCUUAGUUUGGUUGACAAAUCUCAAUUUAGUCCAUCUUUAGAAAAGUGUUUGAAAUUGGUUCUUAUUUUUAAAUUUUUGAAUCAAAACAGUCCCUUCUGUUAAAUAAUGACAAACGACAUUAAAGUUUUUUUUUCUCUCCUCAUCUUCUAUGCAUUGCAAGUUUUUGUCAGCAUUUGCAGUAUUUAAUGAUUAUUGUACUUUUCCCAAUAAAAUUUAAUAUCCUUAUUGAGUAAUAAAGUCAGAAAAAUUUAGUUAUAAAUAAAAAUUAUGCUCACUUGUUACCUCUACUACCAAAUGGAAGUAGUACUAUCUUUACGUUUCUUUAUAAGUAGAGCUGUUAAAACGGGUAACCCGACUCGACCCGGCCCGACCCACCACAGGUUGGUCACUUAAUGAGUCAAGCCAACCCGGCUCAUUUAUUAGCGAACCAGAAAAACUUGAACCCGGCCUGACCACCACGGGUUUGUGGGUAAACGGGUUGGCUCACUAGCCCACUUAAUUACAUUUUUUUUAAAAUAAAAAAAAAAUACAAACUUUCUGUAAUUUAAAUUUAAACAAUUUUCACUCCCAAAAAAUUAUAUUAAAGAGAAUUCAAAAUAAUAAUAAAAAGUACAAUAUAAUCCAAAUGUCAUUCAAAAACAAACACAACAAACAAACAUACAAAUAAGUUUCUUAUAUUCAUCAUUUUGUGUUCUUGUUGUAAUCCUUGACCCUUGUUCCUGUUGUCUCCAAAUUCACUAAUAAAGAUUUUCCUAAUAUCAGAACAAUUCCGACAACAAUAAAAAAAUAUUAGUAAAAAAAAAGAGAAUCAAUACUCAACAACAUCAACAAAAAAAUUAAUAGUUUAAUCUGUAACAUAAUUUCCCAAAUUCAAAUAUAUCAAAAAGAGCUUGUUCAAAUAAUGUAUAUUCAAAUUAUUUAAAUAAAAUGAACAAAAUCUAAUACAAGCAUGUCAGAACAUGAAAAAAUCAUUCCAUGUCUUCAAAUCUCCCAGAACAAAAAACAAAUUCGCAAACCACUAUUUUUGUCAUUAUAGGGUUUUUGAAAAAAAAAAGUAAGAAAACAAAAAUGUGGAAAAAAAAAAAGAAAAAAGGAAGGGUGUUUUACCUGCUCCUUGAAUAAUUUCAGUGAAGUGAGGGUGAGAGCACCAUCAAUCAAAUGAGAGCAAGUAUCCCGAGAGUGAUUUGGGAGAGCAGAGGUUACUUUUUUUGUAUACACAGUGACUGAGUGAAUAAAGUAUUUUAUUUUUUAGCGUUUCAUAAAUAAAAUAAUAAAUUAAAAAAAAAAUUAGGUAGGUGGGUUGGUGGGCCAACCCAGCUCACCACGGGUUCAACCCGCAUGAGCCGGGUUGAAAUUUGACCCGCAUAUAAGUGGGUUGUAUUUUUCAAACCCAACCCGGCUCGAACGCAUGACGGGCCGGGUUGGCUCGAGGGUUGUGAUCCAUUUUGAUGGCUCUAUUUAUAAGUGUGAUUCUCUUUAAAAAAAAGUACUUUUAUUUAGUUAUUACUUUUACCAUACAUUUUUCUAAAUUUUGAAAAAUUGAUUAAAAAUAAAUCUAAAUAUAUAUUUUUAAUUCGAGUUUAUAAUUUUUUUAAAAGGAUUUAUUUCUCAAUUACUCUAAAAUUAAAAAUAAAAAAUUUAAUUUUUUAAUGAUUUUUUUGUUUUUGUUUAAAUUUUAUUUUUUAUUUAAUCAAAAACAAAAUUAUUAACAAAUUAAAUUUUUUAUUUUUAAUUUUAGAGUAAUUAAGAAAUAAAUACCUUUUAAAAAAAUUAUAAACCCACUUAUUUUACAGGAAUUAAAAAUAUAUAUUUAGAUUUAUUUUUAAUCAAUAUUUCAAAAUUUAAAAAAAGUACUGUAAAAGUAAUAACUAAAUAAAAAUAUUUUUUUAAAGAGAGUAGUAGAGUUCUUUAUUACUUAAAGAAUAUUAAAUUUUAGGAUAAUGAUAUUUAGACAACAUUUUUUUGACAACAUUUGAACAUUGAUUACUUGUCAAUAUGUGAUUGGUCAAAAAUUACUUCACAGUAGUGUUUAUGAUUAUUAUUAUUUAUUGUGGAGUAAUUUUUGAUCAAUCACAGAUAGACACAUAAUCAAUGUUCAAAUAUUGUCAAAAAAAUGUUUUUCUAAAUAUCAUUAUCCUAAAUUUUAUUAAGAAAAGUACAAAUCAUUAAAUACUAUAAAUACUGACAAAAACCUACAAUGCACAGAAAAUGAGAAGAGAAAAUAAAUUUUUUUACCAUUUGUCAUUAUUUAAGGGAAGGAACUAUUUUGACUCAAAAAUUUAAAAAUAAAGACCAAUUUCAAACAAUUUUUUAAAGAGGGAUUAAAUUGAAAUUUGCAAACUAAACUAGAGACAAAGUUAGAUAUUAAACCAAAAAAAAAAAAAUAAUCGCUUUUCGAACUUAAAGAAAGAGGCGCUGACAAACCAAAAUUUUUGCGAAAACGUUGGCCAACUGGAAGAUCAAUACGUCCAGCAGUGAUAUCUUUUCUCUUUCCAUUUUGUGGCUUUUAUUUACUUUUGCCCGCGUAACUAUAUAUUAGAUAGCAGUAAGGCAAAAUGAAUAAAGCCCUAUUUUUACCAUAAACAUAAUUUAUCCUUAACACAAAUCGUUGCACAAGCAAAAAAGAGAAAAAAAAAAAACGGGGAGCCGCGGGGAGAGCAAAAGGAGACAGAAGGAGAAUGAAGUAUAGCUCAAGUCCUAAAGGAAAAUGAGGGAUGUAGAUUUCCAUCUGACAGGGAAUAAAUCUACUUCCAGAUUCAGGUUGCAUCAUUGACUGGAUUCUCUCCCAGCAGAUCAUCAUCAUAUGAUACUGGUAUCCUUAACCUAUCAUGCACAGAUAUAGGUUUUUCUUCAGAAGGUGCCGGUUCAUGUUUAUUUUGCAGCUGGGAAACAUGAAAAUCACUACCCAAAACAUUGCCCUGAUCCCUGCCAGAAAAUGAAACGGGCACUCCUUGAGAAGAAUCGUCUUUCUUUGGCACAGGUCGUUGCGUCACAUUAGGCUGCUUGAACUGUUUCUGCAUUACGAUAAACAUGAAGCCCAAAGGCAAAACAGUUAGUAAACAACAACUUACAAUUUGAAGAUGCACUCCUUCGUCAUAAUUAGUUAAGAUGGAGUGAAAGAGAUAAUCCCAAACAAUUCUAAUCUUGGUCAGAGGUUUGAACACGGAUUUAAACAGAUAUCUGGCUCACAAAUUCGGCCCAAAUUUUUUGCUGUGUCAAAAAUCUCACCACAAAUUAUACCCAAAAACAGAAUACCAGUAAGCGCAAACAAAUUUCAGCAAUGACUUCCUCUCAGAACCAUAGAGGCAUCGGAGAUGAUAACCAAAUUUUCUUUGAAAAGUGGGGAUUUCAUCUGUUCCAUCAAGGUUUUUGCCUACAACUAACAAUCUAAUAUUCAGAUUUCGGAGGUAGAAAUGAAGUUGCUGGAGCAGAAAACCUGUCCAUAUUACAGAAUCUGAGCAUAUAAUUGAACAGAGUAUGCCUCUAACAUCCACGGGUUCAUAUUUCAAGGAGAAAUAUCACAAGCAUUCAUCCUUGUGGGAUCUCGGUAAAUCAGUGUAGUCAAGUCUGAGUGUCAGCUCAAUUUUCUCACCAAUUACCAUUUCACACAGUAAACAACAAAUUACAGUUUUAAGAGAUCCAAGUCAAAAAAUGUUUACCAUGACUUUCUUAACCUUACAUUUUUAACGUCAUACCAAUACCAUACACACUUCAGAAAUCAAAGGCGACCUUACUUAAUUUAGUUGGAUGGAAAAAGAACCCCCUCUUACAAAAAACUUUCGGUGUUUAAAUAAAAGAAAUUUUAUUGUAGUGAGAAACCACACUUAGGCAAAUUGUCAGUUGAUACUCCCCCCGUCAAAUAAAAACACCUCCAUUGUCGCUGAGUAAACGGGAACAAUACUUUUUAUCUUUUAAAAAGAAUGUAUCAACUAGACAACUUGCCCAGAUUAGAAAUUAACAAAAGAAUAACAAAAUUAUGAAGGUUAAAAAGUCACACACCUCAAACUCCUUUGUUUUUUUCAUUAUCUCUUUAAAGACCUUCGGUUCCCUAACUUUUAAGAUGCUCCACAAUAUGCCACCCCCUGUCCGGAAUCGUCUACCAUCAGCCGUUUUCUGGCCUCCACAAGCCUGUAUUGCAUCCACCUGUAACUUCCCCACAUCAUUAUACUAGUUUACAACGUAUCAACUAGAAAACUGGCACAGAUAAUAAAUUAACAGAAAAAGAACAAAAAUGUUCCUCUCGGUAUAAAUUGAAGUGUAUAAGUGUUUUUAAUACACAAUAUGAAUAUAGUCGAUAUUAUCCACUGUGAUUCCAUACAAAGCACAAAACACGUGUAAUAAAAUAUAAGGUUUAAUUGUACUUUUGCUCUUUUUACCGAGUAAUUUCCUUAGUAACAUUUUUUUUAAUUUAGUCCCACAAUUUUAUUGUUCCAACAAGUCCUUCCAUAUGUUGGUUUAAGGUGAAUUUAAGAUAUUGAAGUCAUUUGAAAGGUUCAAAAGUCAUUAAAAAAAGAGAACUCGAGUGGUAUAGGUAGAGGGAAACCAAUAGAUACCUAUCAGCAGGUUAGGUGUCCUAGUGAAGGAAUUAGUUAGUUGGGCUGGCUGAGAUAGUACAAAACAAACAGCAUAUAUUGCAAAAAAGAGGAGAUUGAGAUUUGAGAGAGAAAUCAUCUAAAUAUUUCAUUGAGGAUUAGACUUCUAGACAGAGUGAAGAGUCCUGAUCUUGAAUAUCCAAGAAAAUGUUUGGUUUUGCAUCCUCUAACCGUAGCCACAUUAUAGAUUAUGCUAAACCAGUUCUACCAACUGCAAUAAGAGCUUUGAUUGUGGGGCUGUGUUUAUUAAAUCUUAGAGAUGAUUCCAACAUCUGAUGGAGAAAAGGCUUACUAGUUGCUGACCUAGACAAAACAGUAAUUUAAAGCCACUGGAACAUGCAAUAGAAGAGAAGCUAUCAAAGUGCAGCAGUGAUGCUCUCAACUGGUAGCUAACAGAGAAAUUGCACACACUGAAUGCAGCCUGGUGGAUGACUUAAAGGUGCCAAACAAAAGGUUCCAACCGAACUGUGAUUAUAAUCAAUUGCAUGGUUAUGCCAGAACUGCAAAAACACAGGGAGCUAAGUAAAACAAAAGUGAGGAUGACUAACCUUGGGUGCAAGAAAAGGUAACAGAAAAGGUCUGGAGAACAAAACAAGGAUCAAGGAAAAGUGAAUUUCCUGAGAUCAAGAAUCACAAUGGUAAGGAUUGAACCCAUGGAAAGUUGAAAAUCGCUUUUUAGAUUACAAAGAGGCAAAAAUUUAGGGAAAUCCUAUCUUUGGCAUGGAAGAGAGGUGAGGACUGAAACAGAGGCAGUUAUUCUUUAUUCUUAAAGAGCGGAUUGAGUCCAGUUUCUCAAAUAUCCCAGGAAAUCAUUCAUUUGUAUCUUCUAAUCCUAGCCUACAGCAGCUACCUCACAUUGGCACAGCAACUGGGAUUUCAGGCUAUUGUGAAAAAUCCUUAUGUCCUUUAUAUUCUGAACCAGUUCGUUCAGAAACUGAUAACAAAACUUAAUGAUAUAGCAAUUAAAAAUUAAGGGGAUAAAAUUAAUUAGCUGACCAAAAUUAACCAUCCUAGAGGAAUAAAAUUUGCAAGUAAACCAAAAUACAACACUGAAGUCAUUACAUCAAAUAGAAAACGAAGAAAUAGAGAGUAACUGAUACAAUGAUUGGUUAUAAUAUUAAAAAAUUACAAUAAAGAAGCCCCUAGUCCCAUUACUUGAUAGUGCUAUCCUAGCAGCGUAAAGCUACAGAUUUCAGGAAGCAGAUGCUUAAGUGUUAAAGGAUUUUCCAACAAAAAAUAGUAGAUCAGCAGUUAAAUGCAACUUUCAGCACAAUUAAUCCACAAUUAGGUGUUAUGGUGAAUCCGUUUAAAAUAUAAACUAAAUGCUGCCUGUCUAGACAUAAUAAAAAAUUCCUUACAGUACCUGCCAUAUUUAACCUUAAAUCUUAAGUUUACCAUCAAAACUUCCUGAUCUGUUAGCUAUUCGGCCAUACAAUUUAAUUGAGCACAUAAUAAUCUGUUAGCUACUUAUGCCAAAAUCAAAUAAUAGUCACGAUAAUAAGCAGUACAUUGAAAAAGAGAUUCAAUUUUGGCUUUGAAAUUGUAGGUUGCCACAAUGAAGUGGACUUAUGCCCAGUUUGUUUGUGCUUUUUCUUUAAAGAAAAAUGUUUAUAAUGUGAACACUUCUUUAGUCAUUUUUUAGCCUUUUUCUUCCAGAAGCCUAAUAACUUCUACAAAAAAAAAAAUUGUAUAGUAGAAUCAAUAUUUUUAAGCUUAACAAAUGAGCCCUGGAGAAACAUUAGCUUCCUUUUCACCAGCACAUGCUUAAUAAAUUAUUUAUGGGACCAAAAGGAGAAAACGUUCUCCAUAUAUGCACAACAGACAAUAUGAAGCAACAAAAAUUUUGACAUCAACCUUCACAAUUAGUAAAUAAUGAAGUGGUUCAGCCAGGAACAUCGAAGCUCAAGUAGAGAGUUGGAAGGAGCAAACUAGCAUCUGGAAGAAAAAUCUGCAAGGUUAGGGACAAAAUUUCACAUCAGAGAAUAUGAAUAGCCAUAUUAUGCUUGAAAGAGUGGAUAAGAAUAACCAGCGGAAGGCUCACCCAAAUCUUUUAGGACCUUAGCCCCCAAAACAGGUGACCAAAUUAUGUCCCCUCCCAACCAUAUCCACAUUCUCGUUGAAGAAAUGAAUUCACAUAAAUACAAAUUUAUUUCAAAGAAAUGCAAAGUGCAAUCCAAUGGGAAAUCAAGAGAGAAGGCCGUUAAGGUAGUGACUGAAGCCAAAAUGGAGGUAUUCAGAAAGUAGCCAUUGGACCAUAUGAACCCAACCACAUUUGUAAAAUUAGUACCAGAAGUUGCGAAAACCAUAAGAUGAGGAGUUAAAGUAGCCGGUAUAAUACGACAAACUGUAAAAGACAAUCACUUUUGUGCAGCUGUACCUCGAAGUAAUCCCAGCAAACUAACACCACCAUAGACAAUCAAUCUUAACAACAAAAACACACACACACACACACACACACACACACACACACACACACACACACACACACAUAUAUAUAUAUAUAUAUAUGUAUGUAUAUAUAAUUAACCAAAAUAAGAAUUCAGACAUGUGAAAUCAUUGUCCAAAUGACAGAAACAACUAGUAGGAACUAAGACAAGAAACAAGGGUAAGAAAUUAUAGAACAGACAGCAAACUCCAGCGCAGGAAUUGAGUCGGGAGUAAACUAUUGGGAUGAUACAGAACCUGUACAAUAACUAUCAUGGCAGUUAUUAAACACUAUUGUCAAAUAUCAAUGUUAUUCAAGUCAUUAAAAUGCAUUGUUGCUAGGUGGUCUUAAACUAUUUCUAAUUUCCAAUUGGCCAUGGUAUUUCACACAAUACUAACAAACACGUAAGCUGGCUUAUUAAACCAAAAUUGAGUAUAUAACAGGGUUUCAAUACCUCACUGACAAGAUCACUUAAUGCAGAGAUCCCAAGGCAGCCCACAGCAGUGUAUACCAUGUAUGACUUUUUCUCUUUCAGUCGCCGACAUGUAUCUAACACAAAUCUGAAAAACAGACAAUUUGUUUGAAAUUCAAUGACAGGCCAGAAAGGCUAGUAAAAAAAUUCAAAGAGACAAACAGAAAAACAACUUUAUAUAUUAGAUCCAUACAGGGUUGACGAUUCAAAUGCCAUAUAGGUUAAGGUUAAGAUAACCAGUGAGCAGUGAACAAUACUACAUUUUACAACCAUAUAUAAAGGAAGAAGCAUAUGCAUAAUUCUUGAAUACUUAGUGUUAGAAUUCAAAAUUUCAAUUAAUGAAAUCUACAGUUGUAAUCCAAGUGAAAAUGAUAAUGCAGCACUCUUGGAUUUAGAAGAUGUUGAUCUGAAAAAAGAUGUUUUGUGAUUCCCAUAUUGGAAACUUGUAUUUGACUCUUGUUGGAAUUUACUUAUAUAGCUUGUUUUAAGACACCGAUGACUUUUAAUUGUUAAUUAUGAAUGUCAUUAGUUUAGAGUAACUUUUAUAACUUUUUAGAAAUUAUAGUGUAUAUAGUAUGUAGAUUAUAUGAACCUAACCAUCCUAUACAAUUAGCGUACUGAAGCACGUAAACUAGUAAAAUAACUAUUAAGUGCAUGUAAAAUGUCAAGUCUAAUCUAAACUGCAGUUACUACUCAUCAAGCAUCAAGCACUGGGUGGUGCUCCACCUCUUCCCAAACCAUGCCUUUUUGUUUGCCUUACCAUCACGUAUUCUUCCAUAUGAACUAUACUCAUAACACAAUACAUGAAAGAGAAAAAACAGAACUGAUGGCCAAGGUGUUAGGAAACAAAGAAAUACUGCAAAAAGUGCAAGGCUAAAGGGAUCAGAACUGCAUGUCCCAAUUGUUGUUGAGCUGAUGAUUUGAAGCUUUAUGUAAAGAACUUGGAGCAAAUGUUGGAUAUGGAACUAUGGGGUGAAUUGAAAGAGUUUUUUUUUUUUUUUUUCUGUUUCUGCUGUAAUUUAUUCAGGACAGUUGUGAAUAAGGGACGCAGGUUCAGUAAUAUAUUAAACGAGACUCUCGUACACCUUAAAAAGUUAUGAGGUAAAACAUAGAUGAACUAAAUUUUAGUGCGUGAAUCAUAUUUUAGCCAACAUGACAAUGCCUUUCAAAACUCAAAUCGGGCAGAGAGUUGGACCUGUCUAUGUCCGUGGCAUUAGAUCCUGAACCCUUCCUUUUCUUCUUAUUCUUUUUCUUAUUGGCUCUGCGCCUGCGGUUCUUAAUGAGAGGUUCUUGAUUUGCUUCAUUGACAUCUCCGGCACUGCUUUGUCCCAAAACGUUUUUGGAAUCUGGCUCCACCAACUCCCCUUCUUCAAGAUCAGCCAUUUCAACAUCGCCAUCUAUGUAAUCUAAAUCACCCUCCUCGUAUAUGACAUCCAGAAUGUUAUCCCCGUUCUCCAUAGCAAACAGCUAACCUGUAUUUACAAACAUUAUCAAUUGCCAAUUAUCAUGAAAGCACAAAAACAUUAUCAUGACAACUCUAAUCUCGAAUACAAAAACCAGAUAAAAAUAUUUUUUAAAAAAAAAAAAAAGACAAGGAGAUAAACGCAGGUGGUAUGUUAACAGAGGAUUGGAGAGAAAAAAAAUGAUAAACAGUCUACGAACAUUCGAGUCCAAUUUUGAUUAAACAUAGACAAGCAAUACUCAUACAAACCCUAACGGUGCGUACAUUUGUUUCAAAUAGAGAGACUGAGAAAACUAAUUGAAGUUAAACCACAUGUAACCACGAUUGUACUACGGGUAGGCAACACAGUGAACAGAUAAAAUCGAAAAGAUUGGAGGUUACCUUAGCACUGCAGUGCAGUGGAAAAACAAACCCGAGAGAACGCUGCGUAAUGCUUCUAUAUGGGCCGGCGUAGUAGAAACUGCCGCAGUCGAGUGAGAACUACCGCUCUUGAAAUUCAGAGUUUCGAAGAAAAAGAGAGGGUCUCCAUUUUAAUACUUGUACGUGAUGUGAAAAUGGUGAAAUUUUGUUUACCUUUAUACAGAGAACCUACGUAUUAAUAGGGAUUUCAAAAAAUAUAUUAUUUUACAUGUUUUUAAUAUUUUAAAUUUUGUAACAUUAAAAUUAUUAAAAAAUUGAGUUCAUAAUUAAUGAAUCACGUCUUACCGUUAUGCUCCUCUCAUUUAUGUAACAACAAUCGAAAUAAAAAAUAUAUAAUAUUAAUUUAAGAUGAACUGAAUUUAAUUAAAUAAUAAUACUAAAAGGACUUCAAUUUUUUACCUAAAUUUCAUCUUACUCGUGAUUAUUGAUGAAUAAAUCUUUUAUUAAAAAUAAGCCCAUGCAAAUUAAUCAUGUUUCACCACCAUUUAGGCAUUCAUCCUCUUAUGUAAAAGACAGAGAAAGGGAUAAAAACAACGAGAUCGAUUGUUGACCAUAGAUGCUUGAUGUGAAAUAAUGUUUAUGCACAGUAAAUUUUUGUAAUUUUAUCUUUUUUUGACUUAAUUUUAAUAUGAAAUUAGAUUUACUUUUUAUAGAUGAUAACGAUUAUAAUCGAUAAAGGUGACAUUUUUUUGGUGAAAACAUUUUUCUUCGAAUUUAAAAAAAAAAAGUAUAAACUUAAAUAACAUUUAUAGAAUAACUUAUAUUUAGCUAUAGAAGAAAUAUGUGUCCGAUCAAUGUUUUCGAAAAAUGUUGGAAAAUCGUUUUCAAUCCUAGAUCUAUAUAAAUUAGACAGAAAACAAAUAAAACACUCUCACUCACUCUAGAAAACUUAUAAGAUAAAAGUUUAGGUAAUUAUAUAUGAAUAGAAGAUUUUACUAUGACAAAUUAUAUAUUUAAUAGAUUGAAGAUUAUAAUUAUUGUAAGGAGUUAGCAAAAGCAAUAAUAAAAUACAGUGGAGAAUAAGAACAUAAGAAGAAGGAAAUGUAAUUUAUCAUGUAGAGUUAGAAACUAUACAAGAAUAGAAUGUACAACUAAAGACCGAACGGUCAAAGGUUCAAAUAAUACCGAGUGAUCUAAUACAAAAGCUACACCGAACGGUUUUACAAAAUGAUAAACAACCGAACGGUUAUCUAUUCAAAACAUUAAAUAGAAACUUAACUAAGGAUUGGACGUUCAACACUGUCUUUAGACUGCUCCAUCUGUAAGGCUUCCUUCAAUGAUUCUUCAAUAACACCUUCUGCUCACAUCCAUUGGAUGAUCGUUGCAGUGAAGAGAAUGACCAAACGGCCAAAACCGAACGGCAAUACAGACAUGACAGAAAGUAAGGGUAAGCUUAUGUAAUUUAAUUAAUUCAACCUCACACAUAUUUAAAACAUAACAAUAGUAUGAUCAAAACAACAUUUCAAUCACACAAUCCUCAUACAAUUGUAACACUAAAAACUGAACAUUUAAAUAUUAUAACCGACCACUUUAGACUCUGUCCGGACUGUAUGAACAAUGUAGCUCGACGUUCCUAGCACCCGGUGUGGUGUAAUAACUGGCAUUCACACAUCAGCUGCCACCCGAGGUUAGUCCUAAAAACGACCAUUUGGUCUUAUGAUCGCGGACCUCCUGCCAUUCCCACACAUGAAUAACCCUUCUUUACAUGAGAAAGCGUCAUCACAGAAUAUCAAGAACAAAACGACAGCAGAGACUGACCAUGUUUAUACUUUACCAAUCAUCACCCAUUAUGAGACAUUCCUCCUUGGAAUUCUCUUACAUAAUCAUAUGCACAAAUUCAACCGAAUACACACUAUCACAUUCUGAAGCAAUAUAAAAUUUUAAGGAGAUGACCGAACGGUCACGUAUUCAGGAGAAAACCGAAUAUAUAAAGGUACUUUAGAGAGUGACCGAACGGUCAAACAUUGAAGGGAAAUGAAUACUAUAUAAGACCGAACGUAUAGAACUUAAUUUGAGAAUAAGGUCUAAAAUUUCAUAAUAAUACCUUAGACUGAAUAUGAGUGCUUAGACCGAACACUUUAGAGCUUAAACUGAGUACUUUACACUUUGGCUGAAUGAUUUAACAUAAAAGAAAUUCUCCUCAAGAAAUCGAGUGUCCGUACAAGACCGAACACUCUCUAGAAAUCAAGUGUCAGUAUAAGAUUGAGCACUCUCUCAAAGACAUAAUGUUAAUAUAAAAUUGAGUACUUCAAAGAUUAAGUGCAAGUCUAAGACCGAACACUUAAUUGACCGAAAUACUAGUCUAUGACCGAACACUUCAAAACCGAGUACUUAAGUGACUGAACGCUCUUUAAAGAAAUAAUAUCAAUAUGAAACCGAAUACUUUAGAAGUUAAGUGCUAGUCUAAGACCUAGCACAUGUAUGACCGAAAUACUAGUCUAUGACGAGUAUCUCCUAAGACCGAACGCUCAGUGUAUGACUGAGCACUUCAAAGACCGAGUCCUUAAAUAACUAAACGUUCGGUUGAUGACCGAACGUUUUAAACAAUUGAUGAUAUAUGUUAAAACUGAGAAUAAAGCUUUCUUAACUUGUUGAAAUGGUUAAACUAGGCAAAGUAAUAAGAAAAUCAACAUAGGCUCUUAUAAGACCGACCGAUCAUCAACUGAUUCCCUAUAGAGGGAAUUCAGUCAAAACCGAACGUACCAAGGAAAAACCGAACGAUCCUAAUGACCCAGUUACAGAAAUUCACUAAUUUAUCAACUUAACCCUAUAUCUAUUUUUCAAUCAUCAACACGUUCAAACAGACAUGCAGUAUCACAAAAUCAACCAAUUCACACCUAUCAAAAUCAUUCCAGCAUACCACAUUCAAAGUGCAGAAAUCAUAAUUAAAUUAUAAGCUUCUCUUACCUCUAAUUUCAGCUAGACUUCUAAGUUCUUGGCAGCAACUAAUUCUAUGGUUUCCAAAAUCCAAAGUCCGAUUGGUGAAAGGCAUCCAUCAUUGCAUCAAAUACACAAAAUGGAUUCAGAGAAUGAAUUGACUAACACAUGCAAGCAUGAAACGUUUCUUGCAUGCAAGGAAAAUAAGGGACUUCAAAAGACAAAAUUUCUUACCCGUUCAAAUGAAAAUCUGAUCGGUGCAAAUGGAAGCUCUUGUCACCGGGAAGACUUAAUCUGAAAGGGUUGAUGAUCGGAGAAGAAGAAAGGUUAGAAAUCUAGAGAGAAGUUUGAAGAGUUUAGAGAGAAGGAGGAGAAAAAUAGUGUUUCUUGAAGAUGAAGAGGAAAGGUUGUAUGCAGAAAGUGGUGCCAGAUUUAAAAUCCCACUUUAAAUACUACCCCUAAAAACUGAACGCCCACUCAUUGUCUGUCACCUGUUUUCCACUUUCUGGAAACCCACAUUCCCUCUAUUGCCACACAGUUACCAAGGAACGGAGAAUUAAAUGAACUGUAGUCUUUGCCCCCACUAACUUAGGGAAUUAAAUGGAAAGUAACACUUAUCAUCCACUAUCCUAGGAAAAAUAAAAGGACUAUUACAUUAAGUAUCUGACUAUCUAAGAUAAUGUUAAAAAAAUAACAUGAAAGUAUGAAUGAGUAGUUAUAGAUCCAAUUCAAGAUGUGUGAAGAUAUAUUACAUCAUAACAUCUAAAAGAUCUUUUUUUUUUAAUUCUCUCUUUUUAUUUUGUAAAGUUCUAGUUCUUCAUUGACAAAUUAGAUAUAUUUGAUGUAAUUUUAAUUUUUUCCUCAAUUAAAAACAAAAAACUUACAUUUAAUUACUUUAGAAGUGGUAACAACAAUUUAACCUAUUUAAUGGAAAUAUCAUAUCAAAUCAUUUUAAAUAAAACAAGACUAAAUGUUUAUAACAAAAUCAAGCACACAAAAAAAGGUAAAUAAUCAUAUUGAAUUAAGAGAAAAAAAUAUUAAUUAAGUAAAAAAAAUCCUAUUAUCAUCUUAUUUUUCAUUUCGUUACUUGUUUGUUAGAAAGUAUUUAUGGUUUUUUUAAACUCUUGUAUAAUAAUGGAUAGGAAUAUUUGUAUAAUUUAUUUUUUAUUUCAAAUAAAAUUAUUUAAAAAAUUCUUUAAAAUUUAAAUUUACAUAAAAAUAAUAAUUUCAAAAUACAAUUCAAAUAAAAUUACACACUAAAAUAUUAAUACAAAUAAAACUGGUCUUUCUAUGAACAUAAAUUCAAAUUAAUUACACCAAAAUAUAAAUUAAAAAAAUAUUUAAAAUCAAAUUCUAAACAUUUUUUAAUUAUUAUUAUUUCUUCCAUUAAUAAUUCUGUUUUGAUUCUUGAUCUUUAAAAGAAAAUACUUAAAUCGAAUUUAUGAAUAAUUAGUAAUCUAUAACGAGUAUUAACUGUAAUAAAAAAAAUACCAAUAAAACGCAUGGGUGUAUAUAAAUUAAUUAAUUUAAUUAAAAACACUUAUAGAAUUUAAAUAAAUAGUAAUUUAAGACAAUAGAAUGAUGAAAUAGUUUUUUCUUAAAAGAUAAAUAAAUUUAAAUUAAAGGUCAUUUAAAAUAUAAAAACUAAUUAUAACAUUAGUUUAAAAUAACGACUUAAAAGAUAAAAUGAAAAAUAAAAUGUAUAUAGAAAAGAAAUAUUCUCAUAAUUUUUUUAUAUAAAUAUAGAUAAUUUUUUUAUUAUUUUAUUUUACACAUCAAACACAUGGUAGGGACAAAGUAUGGAGACAAAACAAAGUGUGAGGACAAAUCAAACAGCAGAAUUUAUAAGAAAAAAAUGUACACUUUUUGUUUUCUAAAAAAAGUGGGCUGCAACUUUUACCUAGAAAUACUUUGUACAGUUGUCAAAAAUUAGUAAUUUGUAAUGUGUUACAUGCAAGUAAUUAAAAAAACGAAAGUAUAAAUUAAAAUAAAAUUGUUUUUAAAUAUAAAUUUAUAUCAAAUUUUAUAUAAUUAUUCUUUUAUUAAUAUUUUAAAAGCAUGUGGUUUCUAAUAAGAAGGUUAUAAUGUAUAUAUGGAAAAUAAGAUUUCUUAUUCUGAAAGUGUAAGUUAUAACCGGAAAGGGAGGGAAACCUCCAAAGCCACGCAACGCACCCGAAAGCAACCGGUCUUUGUCUUCCCUGAAUUAAAUUAAUCUGAAAUUAUAAUUUAAGGAAGGGUUGCUUGGUUUGCUUCGUCAUCAUUUUUUCUUUCCAACCUACUUUUCUUCGAUUCAACGCCCAUCAUGAAUCGUUUCCCGAUCAUUUUUGUCGUAGCCACCCUCAUCACCCUUGUCUCCGGUGGCCGUGACGAGAUUCUCCGAAUGCCCUCCGAAGCUUCCAGGUUCUUCCAAGCACCUGCUACCGAUGAGAAUGACGAGGGAACGAGGUGGGCCGUUUUAAUUGCCGGAUCCAAUGGCUACUGGAAUUACAGACACCAGGUCACUCAUUUUUCUUCUUUCCCACUUUUUACUGUUUAAUUAUUUCCCUGUCUUCUGUGUUUGUUUGGUAGGGCAGCAAAUUCAAUUAUUCAUUCCAUCUUAAUUUACUUUCUUUUUAAAUUCAGUCAUGAACUCUCUCAGCUAUGUAUGUGUAUAUUUUUUAAUUUGUCUGAUUGAUUCUAAGUAGUUCUUUACUGCACUUAGAUAUAUUACUUUUAGUCUCUGUUUUUCUAAAGAUCAGCUUAUUGGUAUAGGUGAAUGUGGAUUUAGUUGGAUCAGGUUUAUCAUCCUGAUCGUACCCAAAAUUUUUACUGGACAAUUUAAUUCAAAUAAUUUUCAGGUUAUAAGUUCAAAACCUCGGACUUAUAAGGUCUUCUCAUGUAUAUUCCGAUGACAUAAAAUUAACCUAAUAAAACAUAAAUAAAUGAAUUAGGUGUUAAUUCUAUAAAACCAUUCUAUGAGAGUAAAAGCUGUAAGGAAGUCUUAAAAGUGAUGCAACACACUGAAACUGACAAAAAGUAAAUUAACCAUGGCGUGUUUUGCCUCCCUAAUUCUUGGUUAUGACUCUUGAGUUUUGAUAUUUUAAAGAAACUAAUCAUGGUAUAAAAGUCUGGAACAAUUUAUCAUUUGUAGAGUAAAAAGUGCACGCACUUACAGUAUAAAGUGUCUCCACAGUGUCAUCUGAUGAUGGAUCAUCAUAUUUAAGUUUGUUGACUUUUAUAAUAACUUCCUUAAAAUCAUGUUUACACUGAUGUUUGAUUUACUGAAGUGUACAUUUUUUUGCACAAGAAUAGAGAGAAUUAAAACUCUUCUUUGUAUGGCUUAUCUAAUUUGGAGAUAACCGACGAAAUUUGUCAUUUCAUCAGUCUGAUGUUUGCCAUGCGUAUCAACUGCUGAGGAAAGGUGGUCUGAAAGAAGAAAAUAUUGUGGUAUUUAUGUAUGAUGACAUUGCUUUCAAUGAAGAGAACCCACGGCCUGGAGUCAUUAUUAACAGCCCUCAUGGAAAUGAUGUUUACAAGGGAGUCCCAAAGGUAUGUUAUCUUACUCUGGUAUCCCAUAUCCUGUUCCCAAUUAGAGUUUUAAAGAUUCCUAACAAGGACCUUGUUGUGGCAGGAUUACGUUGGUGAAGAUGUCACUGUUAACAAUUUUUUUGCUGCUAUACUUGGAAAUAAAUCAGCUCUUACCGGUGGUAGCGGGAAGGUUGUCGAUAGUGGUCCCAAUGAUCAUAUAUUUAUAUACUAUUCUGAUCAUGGCGGUCCAGGAGUGUUAGGUUGGUAGUUUUGAACCUUUCAUGGAAGCUUUAUUAUGAAAAUCAUGGUCUGUUUACGUUUUAAUACGAGCCUUCUUGUAUUGCGACUUAUUAAUGGAAAAUGUGUUUCCUGUGUUUUUUUGCUGGGUUGAUUAUGUGGCGUUGCUUGAUUUUGAAUUGAAUGUAACAGUCAAAGGAAAGUUUAGCACACCUAUAAUACCUCCCUUGCCAAAAGUCUCUAUAGCUGUCAAGCUAAGCACAAUAAACUGAAAACUUUGAACUCUAAAAUGUUGGUUUUUGUUAGAUGUAAUAUUUCAAAAUUCAUACCAGUUUUAUGGAUAUUUUCCGAUUCUUAAGAUUGUCUCAAGUGCUGAAUUUGAAUUUUUUUUUUUAAAGAGGAGACGUAGUAUUAUGCAGCAUAGAGGAACAGUGCAACAUGUAUGUGGGUUGAUUUCAGUAAGACAUAUACACUCAUCGUACAGCUAUACUAAACAAUUUAUCAUGUCUGAUGCAACUUUUUUCCCUUUUUUGAACAACAGUGGCAUUUCAAAAUGUUCUGAUUAAGUUCUACUUUCUGUUUUUUUCUUUUUGUUUUUUUUUUCUUCCUUGUUUGGGUAACUUGAAGGGUAAAAUAUGAAACCAGAGGAAGCUGCAUUCCCCGCCUGAAAAAAAAAGGCAAAAAAAAGAACUGGUCGGAAUUGUGAAGUGGAGGAGUAUAUGGUCUUCAGUGUCAAUGUCCUGUUAUCCAUUUUUGUCCGUGAUCAUUUUAUUACAUACUAUUGUUUAUUGGUCUUGAUUCUUCUAUUAUCAAUUUGUUUUGUGAUUCUUCUUUACACAUCGAAGUGUUUCUUCGCGCUAAAUACCUGCCCAUUUCUAUUUCUUAUAUGGUAUUUUUCCUUGGGGGCGGGGUACUGGGGAUGGAUUUCAGGGAUGCCUACUAAUCCAUACAUGUAUGCCUCCGAUUUGAUUGAAGUCUUAAAGAAAAAACAUGCUUCUGGAACGUAUAAAAGCCUAGUAAGUUGCCACUAGUUAUGUUUUACUUAAUAUUUGUAUCAAUCUUCACCUGGCUAUUUACUUACUAAUUCUUAGUAUUUAUGAUUUAUGCAAUGUUGCUGCAGGUAUUUUAUCUAGAGGCAUGUGAAUCUGGGAGUAUCUUUGAAGGUCUUCUUCCUGAAGGGCUGAAUAUCUAUGCAACAACAGCAGCUAAUGCAGAAGAAAGCAGUUGGGGAACAUAUUGUCCCGGGGAAUAUCCUAGUCCCCCCGCUGAAUAUGAAACCUGCCUGGGUGACCUGUACAGUGUUGCUUGGAUGGAAGAUAGGUAUGACUAUAAGAGCGUAUCAAAGAAGCAUAUAAACUAGUGUUAUUCAUUUCUCCAAAUCUUAAAUGAUUAUAAAAAUAUAUCGGAUGCAAUACCUUUUACGCGGGAAAUUUCCAAGACCUUGUUGAAGGCCGGUGACUGCUGUGAUAUAGACAUGCUACUGCAUAUGUGUAUUUGCCUCUUAUUUUGUACUCUAUCAAACCCUUUUUUAUAUGAAAUAAGUUUUGUUCCAUGCCCCUUGAUAACUUUUUUUUUUUUCUUUCUGGAAGAUUAUGUUUUCUAUUAACUAAUGUUGUAAGGUCUUUUAUUGACUGGUCUUUUUCCCUCUACCUUUUUGAACAGUGACAUUCACAAUUUGCGAACAGAAACUUUACAUCAACAAUUUGAAUUGGUAAGAUCCCGUUUCUUACUUAGUUCUGUCUGUAAUAAACUUAUACAAGCUGAAAGUUAUUUGAUAUCUUUGUUGUUUGAAUAUAUGACAAGAAAUGUCUAAAAAUUUGAUGGGUCGAAGAAGCUAGUAGACAUGUUUCAGUUGUCUGACAGCUAUGCUCACAGGUGAAACAAAGGACUAUCAAUGGAAAUUCAGCCUAUGGUUCCCACGUGAUGCAGUAUGGUGACAUAGGGCUUAGCAAGAACAAUCUCUCCUUAUAUUUGGGUACAAAUCCUGCUAAUGAUAAUUUUCCUUUUCUGGAGAAAAACUCGUUGGUGCCACCUUCAAAAGCAGUCAACCAACGUGAUGCAGAUCUUGUCCAUUUCUGGGAUAAGGUAUCAUACGUUUGAAAACAAGUUUAUUGUUAUAUAUAUUUCUUAACCAUAUCUUCAUGAUUUUUCCCCCAAAGUUUAAAUUUGAAGGGUUUUGAGAAUCAGCACUAUUAUGUUCACUACCGUCUACCACGUAAACAGUAUUUGAUGACAGAAUUAACCACAAUAGAAUUUCGUAGAAAGAGCUUGAAGGAGAUAAAAGAUCUCACAAGGAAGAUGAAGUAUUAGCGAACUUCAACUUAUAUCCACAAUAAAAUUAACCAUGAACACAUAAAUUACAACUUGAAAAUUUUUUCUUCUUGAACUCACUCUUUCGGUUAACAGUUUGUAACAACAUUAGGUAACUGACAGUAACAUGUUGCAAAUGAUGACACAAGGUCCCUGUUUAUAGAUAAAGUCAACCUAACUAACAUUACCACCCACGCCUGGUCACAAGCAUCAGCACACGACGCUCACAUCUGGUCACCAGUAUAAUAUGCUUCAGUCUUAGCAAAAUAUCACAGAUUACUAGACAUGCUAUUAAGACUGGAUGUUGUUAGACAAUAUAGGAAUCUUUGAACAGAUUUUAUUGAGUCAAUCCUCACACAGGGGUAUACAUAUAUUCAUACUUGGCAGAUAUUAUUAAAUGGAGUUGUGAUCCCAUUGAUUUCACUCCACAUUCAUUUCAUGUUCCAAACAAUUGAGUGACAUCCCAUUCGUGAUUGAAGCUGCCAAGCUUUACACUAGUACUGGCUAUUAUUAGGCCAAUGACUAUUAGCCCUUUCCUUGUACCAACUGUGCCGUAGGAGUGGAUAUAUUGAUUUCCACUAACAAAUAUGUAGAUGCACCAGAACUUUAACUAGCUAGAUGAGAAAUCUUUGAACUUGUUUUCUUGGAUAAAAUAUGGAAAAUUUGUGUGAAUCCCGUGCCUUUAUGUUAGACGAGUGAGUGGCUAGUAGUUUUCAUUCCUUGAAAUUUUGGUAAUUUGGCUUUAAUGAUAAAACUACAAGAAAAGAAGAUGCAAGAGGGAGGGGGAAUAUCUCUGAUGUCAUUUCCUAUGGUAAGCCUUUAUUUUUUCUAAUUAUAUUCUAUCUUCUUUACUUCCUUUCUGUUUUUCCAGUUCCGCAAAGCUCCUUUGGGUUCUUCUAGGAAAUCUGUAGCUCAGAAACAAAUUCUAGAAGCAAUGUCUCACAGAAUGCAUAUAGACGACAGCGUGACACUUAUUGGAAAGCUGUUAUUUGGCAUUGAAGAGGGUCCAGAACUGCUUAGCAGUGUUAGACCUGCUGGGCAACCACUUGUUGAUGACUGGGACUGCCUUAAAACACUGGUACCGUUUCCCUUGAUUAACUUUGUUGAGUUUGAAUGUAUUAGAUCUUUUCUAAUAACAUGCACCUUUAUUCUGUAGCCAUUGAUUUGGCAAAAAAAAAGGCAUCAACGAUGGGUGGUCCACCCCACCUACAAUAACAAGUACAAAAUCUAGGGGUAGGGGUGCUCCAAUUAAGAAGUGUGCAUGCUAGAAUCCAUCUAUGAUUGAAUCAUUGCUUUUCUGUUUGGUACUAAUUAUCCAGUUCACAUAGUUACAGUAUGAGAUGGCAGCAGGGCAUCCGGUAGUGUUUUGCCUUGGAAUAAUUGAUGUUGAAUUUGAAUUAUAAAGUAUAAAUCAUCAUUUGUUUGUUGAUUGAACUAAAGUUUUGGAUUUCUGACAAAGCCGUGCCUUAAUCUACUGUUGAUUCAGGUUAGGACUUUUGAGACACAUUGUGGAUCCCUGUCUCAGUAUGGGAUGAAACAUAUGAGGUCCUUUGCAAACCUCUGCAAUGCUGGAAUACGGAAAGAGCAAAUGGCCGAGGCCUCAGCACAAGCAUGCGUCAGUAUUCCUGCAAGUCCCUGGAGUUCUUUGAGCAGCGGUUUCAGUGCAUAAUUCAUACAAUGUAUCCCAUUGGAGACCGAGUAUAAUGGUUGUAGCUUUAUGAUUUAUCAUUGCAUCAUGUAUUGUACUUUGGUCAUGAUUUCUUAUUCCAACACUGUAAAUACACAUGGGACGCUGGGGAACCCUCUUCUUUACAUUGUAAUUUGGGGCAAAAUAGAUGCUGUAACCAAGCCAUUUUACUAUUAUUUUAGCAGAGACAGUGAAACCAUAAGGACCCUUGCAACUUCUUCUAAUGGCAUAAUGACAGUGCACGUUAUCGUGUUUGUAAACUUAUCCUUCAUUUUUAUUCUAUGGCAGUAACUAGUAACCCUAUCCUUAUCGUUCUUAACUUAAUAUAUUUGGUAAAUUAUUAAAAAAAAUCAAAAGAUAUAAUAAAGUAACGCUCAAAGUUACCAGAUUGAAGUAUGAAUCAGAUUUAUUUUUCUUUUCUGUGAUUUACGAAACUGGGGCGAACUUUCUCAGUCACAAUGACAAUGAAAUCAAAUGAGCUAUUAUCAUUUGCCACUGGUAGCUAACACAUGGUUUGGUGUAACUAAUAUUAAUUAAUUUAAGGCACAAGAAUGGAGUGAAUAAAGUAACGGAAAUAAAGAAAAAAAAAGGUGUAUAUAUAUCACACGUUUACUGGUUUUGUAUUGUCCUAAUAUAAAAUUUUAUAUAAUCAAUUAAUUAAAAACUAAUAGUUUAGAAACAGGGUUUAAAUAUAAAAAAUAAAUAAUUAUAAAAUAUGUGAUUACAUUUAUAAAAUAAAGUUUGUAAAAAAAUAUAUAUAAAUAUAAAUAAAAUAGGAGGUAUAAGUGUUAAUUUUAACACAAAAAUAAGCAAAUGUCUACUGUAAAUUUAGAAGAAAAUGAAUAAGAUAAGUGACUUGUGUGAUACUUUAUUAAAAUCUUUAAUUUUUUCAUAAUUUCUGAUUCAAUUUACCCAAUAUGUAAUUCUAAAAGUAUAGUACUUGUAAAUGUCUUUUAAAAACUAAAUACAACAUGAUUUGUUAUUUUAUUAAGGGUUAAAUAUAUUUUUGGUUUCUUAAUUUUUAAUGAAAAUUUAAAUUAAUCACACUUCAAAACUUUGGUCCAAUUUAGUCUCUCAAUUUUAGAAAUAUGUGAAUUUAUUCCUUUUAACCAAAUCUGGUUAAGUUUAUUUGACAUUUUAAACGUAUUUCAUGAUAGCAUUUGAGUUGCUUACACUGUUUAACACAUUUUUUGUUCAAUGUUAAUUGAAAAAUGCAUUUGAAAUCUCAAAUAAAAUUAACAAAUUUUAGUUAAAGGACUAAAUUCAUGCAGUGAUAAGGAACUCAAUUAGUCCAAAGUUUCAAAGAGAAACUAAUUCUAAUUUUGAUUAAAAAUUAAAAGACUAAAAACAUAUUUAACUCUUUUAUUAAAUAUAAGUUGUUUUUUAUUUUAUAUGUAAAAAUAAAUAUUUAAGAUAAAAUAGCAUGAUAUUCAAAUAAAAUAUAUAUAAUGAGACUUUGAUAACUUAAAGAAUAAUAAGUUGGUAUCCCUUACUUUUUCACUUUUUUGUUAAAAGGCUACCUUUUAGUUUUUUUUUUUCGAUUAUUUAUAUCUGUUCUCAAUUAUUCAUUUUCAGGUAUUUGAAAUAUUUUGUAUUUUUAUUUCAAUUCUUAUUUAUUCUCUAUAUUUUUAGAAUCUUGUUUGCUCGGUAUUUAUUUUGUAGAAUGACAGGCAGGGAAUAUUCAUUGGCGGACAUUUGAUGAAGAAAAAUUACAAAUUAUUGAAUUUAAUAGAGUAGUUCAUUAAAUGAAAAACUUCUGAAGUGUAAUGAUGAAUAGAUAAAAACCCUAUUGUAGAGGUCAAAAAUUAAAUAUUUGAACAAGCUUUUUAUAUUCAUGAAAAAAACUUGUAUGAAAAAUAAAAAUCAUUAAAAAACGAUAAUUAAAUAAAUUAAAGACAAAUACUUAAAAUUAAAUUAUAAUUUUAAUUUCAAUAGACUUUUUAUUUUGUAAUACUUUACUUAAGAUUUUAGGUUGUUGAACAAAACUCAACGUCCUCAUUUGAAAAGAUUUAGAAAAGAGUAAUUAAAAAGAUUUAAUGAUAAAUUGUUUUUUAUUUUAUUUGAAUAGGUAUAAGUAAAAUAAAUUGAAAAGUAAAUUUCUUUAAUCUCUUAUAUAAAUUAAAUCUUACAAAUUUUAAUUUUAAAUUUAUUCUUAUAUACCUUAAGCCUAUUCAAAUAAAUAAUAAGAAAAAAAAAAUUACAUAGAUCCACUGGUUAACAAGAACUUAAAUCUCAGUCCUUCACUGUCACCAUGUGAAUGACCAUUAAUAGAAGACAUCAUCAGCUCUGAAACUGUGGGUGAUAGAUUCACCGUCUUCAUCAUCAUUUUUUGUUCUGACCUUCUCUUCUUCAGUUCUACGCCCAUCACAAACGCUUUUCCGAUCCUCUUUCUCAUUGCCACCCUCCUCUUCGUGGCCGCCACCAGGUCCUCCUAUUACUCUAUUACUUUCCGUAGCUUCCAGCUUCUUUCAAGCAUAUGGUGGCAUCAUGAAACCGAUGAUGGUAAUAUGUGGGUCCUUUUAAUUGCGGGCUCCAUUGGCUACAGUAAUCACAGGUAUGUACUCAUUCAACUUCUCACCCUUCUUUUAUAUAUUUUGCCGUGAAAGUGAAGCAACACAUGUUACCACUGCAAUAUAUAUCGAAUUAAAGUACAUAUCAUGCCCAAUUUAGUUUGAAAAAUAAAUCAUAACUUGCAAGAGAAUAAUUUAGUUUUCUAUUUUUUUUUAAUUGAUACUUGAUUCAAUACAAAAACUAUUAAUAUAUCACUAAUUACACCAUAUAUGAAAUGACUAUAUUUCAUAUACUUAGAUGAGUGAAUUGAUAUUUUUUUUCUAGUAUUUCCCAUUCUGACUGAACAAAUUGUAACAUGUACUUAAUUUGCUAGGAGAGUCUAUUUUCUAAACUUUAAGAAAAUAAGUUUUUAAAUGAUUGCAAAUGCUAAAUUUGAUUUAUAGAUUGUAUUUAAAAAUUAUAAUAAUGUUGGUUAAGAUGAUGGUUUAAAAUGACAUAUAUCAAAUUUAAUACUGAUUUUAUGAAUAUUUUUCGAUUCACUAGGAAUUUGGAUAUUUUUAAACAGGGGACUGGUAUUGUCGCUAGUGGAAUAGUGACACAUUGGUGGUUUGAUUUGGGUGAUGUGUAUAAACAUUUACCCAUCAUAUUGUUAUGCUAUACAAUUGAUCAUUUCAGAUGCAGCAUAUUUUUUUUCAGAGAACAAUAGCAUUUUAAAAUGUUCUGGUUAAUAUCUGCUUUCUGUUUAUUUGAUUGUUUCCUGAACAAAGAAACCAGGGGAUGCGACAUCCCCCGCCUGAAAAGAAAAGGAAAAGAAAAAAGGAGUGAGGAAGAGUGAAGUAGAGAGCGUCGGUAUCAAUAUUCACAUUUUAGUGCAUGCUACUGGUUAUUGCUGAUUCUUCUAGAGCCAUUUGUUUUUUUAUACGACAGUGUUUCUUCACACCAAAUAUUUGCCCUUCCGAACUUCUUAAAGCCUAGUAAGUUACUAUUCGUUAUGAUUUGUGUACUGUUUGUGCAAUCUUCACACUAUCUAUUCUAUCUAUUUACUUGUUAAUUCUUAGUUUUGUGAGUUAUGCAAUGAAUCAGGGAGUAUCUUUGAAGGUCUUGUUCCGGAAGGUCUGAUAAUCUAUGCAAAAACAUCUGCAAAAGCAGAAGACAGCUGGGUAUUGUCUUGGGGUGCAUUAUUCUUCAAUCAAAACCUUAAAUGAUUAAUGAAAGUAUAUUGGGGAUAUAAAUAAGAUAUAUUAGAUGCAAUACUUUUACCCAGGCAAUUUCCAUGACCUUGAUGAAUUCCCAUGAAUGCUAUGAUAUGAACAUGCUACUAUAAAACUGCAUUUUCCUAUUAUUUUGUGUUUUACCAAGCCAUUCUUUAUAUAUAAAAGAAAUUGUUUGAUGCCCUUAAUGACUUUUUUUUUUUCUAAUGAGUGAUGUUGUUAGGUCUUUUAUGGACCGGUCUUUUUCCCUCUACACUCUUUUAACUUUUGGUAAGAUCACGUUUCAAACUCAAUUUGAUUUCAUAUAAACUGAAUGCUAUUUGAUACCUGUGUUGCUUAAAUACAUGAGAAAAUGUGUCUGUUUGAUUGAUUUCCUGAACUGAUAUUUGAUGGAUUCAAGGAGGUAGUGGAUAUGUUUCAAUUGUGUGAGAUGUCUUCUUAAUGCUAUGCCCAGAGGUCAAAGAAAGGACUAUGACUGGAAAUUCAGACUAUGGUUCCCACGCGUGCAGUAUGGUUCCCACUCUUCUUAUAUUUGAGUACAAAUCCUGCCAAUGAUACUUUCCUGGAGUAAAACUCCCAGGGACCACCUUCAAAAACAGUCGACCAAGGUGAUGAAGAUCUCAUCCAUUCCUGAGAUAAGGUAUCAUACGGUUGAAGAAUAGUUUUUUUAUUAUUUAUUUGAUAAAAUAACUGCUCCCAAAAUUUAAAUUUGAAGGGAUAUAUUAAUAGUUGGGAGAUAUUAAUAGAUUCCAUUCCACCUUCGUUUCAUGUACUAAACAAUUCAGUGACAUCCUAUUUUGUAUUGAAGCUGCCAAGGUUUAGUUUGGGAAGGGCUAUUAGCCCAUUCCUAAUACCAAAUGUGCCAUAAGAGGUAUAUAUAUGAUUUCCUCUAACCACCAGAACUUAACAAUCGAGAUAAGAAAUCUUUGAAAAGAUUAUAAUAAACCUUGUUGAUUUGUUAAAUACGGAAAAAUUGUGAGUCUCAUGGCUUUGUCUAACAUGGGUCAGUGUCUGGUAGUUUCGUUUCUUGAAAUGUUGGUAACUUGGCCUUAAUGCUAAAACUACAAGAAAAAAUUAGGAGGGAAGGGGUAUCUCUCUCUGGUUUUAUUUUCUACUGUAUACCUUUAAUUUUUCUAAUUAUAUUACAUCUUCUUGUUCUCCUCUUCACUGCUUUCCCAGUUCCACAAAGCUGUUGUGGGUUCUUGUAGGAAAACUGCUGCUCAGAAACAAAUCCUGGAAGUAAGGUCUUGCAGAAACAGGUCCAGAAGCUCUCUAUUUAGCAUUGAAAGGGAUCCAGAACUGCUUAGCACUGCGAUACCUGUUGGGCAAACCACUUAUUGAUGACUGGGACUGCCUUAAAAACAUUUGUACCGUUUCCCUUGAUUCACUCUAUUUAGUUUGAUUGUAUUAGACCCUUUCUAAUAUUCACCUUCUUAUUCUAUGGCCAUUGAUUUGGCCAAAAAUGGCAUCAACUAUAGAUGGUCCACCUACAAUAUAAGUAAAAAAUCUAGGUGCACGGAUGAAUUUAAGAAGUGUGCAUGCUAGAAUCCGUAUAUGAUUGAAUCAUUGCUUUUCUGUAUGUUAUUAAUUAUCCAGUUCACAUAGUUACCGUAUGAGAUGGCAGCAGGGCCUCCCCACUGUACCCCCUUCCAAUAAAUCAACAUUUUGUUUAACAAAUAUUACCUUAAGCUUGUGCCACCAUGAAUGCUGAAGAUGAGAAAGAUCCACUGCAGUAAAACAAAGAGAAAGUAGUACAAAACUAUGUGGAGAAGAGUGAAAGAGAAGAAACAAAGAUAAGUGAGAUGAGAUGAAAGGAGACGAGAAACGAAACUGAUAUUAUUGAUUCGUAAAGUCUUAAAAAAUAAAAGAGGGAAAGUUAUAUAUAUAUAUAUAUAUAUAUAUAUAUAUAUAUAUAUAUAUAUAUAUAUAUAUAGGCAUAAAAACAAACGGUUGGAGUGCGCUAAGCACAAACACGCUGAAAGGAAAAGGAAAUAAAACAGUUUAUCAGCCCUCUUCUCGGCAUAUAUGUUCUUCAUUUCCAAAUUGAAAUGUAAGUAUUUGAAGGUUUGAGGAGGUAACGACUUAGUAAAAAUAUCAAUUGCUUCAUCAAUAGAUGAGAUAGGAAGAAAUUUCAGAAGACUACAAGUGAUUUCUUAUCAGACAAAAUGAUAGUUAAUAUCAAUAUGUUAUAUUCGUUCACGAAAAACAGGAUUUGAUGCAAAAGUGUUUACGUAGUACAAGAGUGAUAUGAUUAAUCUAUUUAACAUCAAUCUUGGUUAGCACAAUGUCAUUCACAUAAAUGAGUAAGGCAGUGAUGUAUGAAUCGUCAUGUAGAAGAGGAGCAAUGAUAAUUAUUUGAAAGAAGAAAAUUGGAAAGUUUGGCAUACCAUAGACAACCAACUUGUUUGAGCUCGUAGAGAAAUGUUGUAAUUUGCAAACUUUGCUUGAUUUGACAGUACAAAGACUAAUGGGAGCUUCAUGUAAGCUUUCUCAUUGAGGUUGUUAUGAAGGAAGGCGUUAUUAACAUCAAUUGUUUCAAAAUUCAGUUGUUGGAUGCAACAAAAGCAAGAAAGAGCCGCAAGGUUAUUUAUUAGUUUGACAACACAAGUAAAAGUGUCAAAGAAAUCUAACUCUUCAAGUUGUGUGCAUUCCUUAACAGCAAGGGCCUUUUAAAUGUUCAAUUGUGUUAUGAGAGUUGAACUUGGUCUUGUAAAUCCAUUGGCAACCAAUGACUAGAAAUGUGUACCUUAUGAGAAAUACUAAAAAAACCAAUACACAAUAUUGAAUAAUAUAAUUGUUUAACCUUAUGUUAUAUCAUUGUGUCAUGUACUGCACUUUGGUCAUUAUUUCUUAAACCAACUCUGUAUUUUUGAUAAAAAUAAUUUUUAAAUUAUAUAAUCAUUAUAAUGUAAAAUUAACACACAAAAGUCAAAUGUAGAUAUCAAUUAAUACACGGUAGCCACUAAAGGGUAAUUUUAUAUUUUUAAGGUACAGUAACAUUGGAAAGAAAUUUUGAACCCUAAAAAAGUAUUAGACAUCUUUAAAAUUGCAAAAGAAUUUUUGGUCAAUAUACUUUAAGGUGUUUUAUUUAAGAAAUAUGAAUGAUUUAAGUUUUAAUUUGAAUGUUAUACAAAAAGUUGAUUUAUGGAAUUGUUGGAAAUUAAAAUGAGAGUUGGAAUAACACAUAGAUGGACAGCCAGGAUUUGGUCAAUUCCUAGUUGCUAGAUUGAAGUAUGAAUCAGAUUUAUCUCUCUUUUUAUGAUUCACGAAACAGCUGACAUUCACAGACAGAACUGUCAAGAAACCAAAUUCGUAGUUACUAUUUGCCACGUUGUUGUAGAUAACUGGUUUUGUGGUUCGGUGCGUGGUAAAGAUCAGGUUAGUUAACCGUAGUUAAAUAUCAAGGGCGGGAAUGAAAUGAAGACAAAAUAUGUUUUAUUAUGAAUUUCAUAAUUAUAUAUGUUUUAUUAUGGAGACUAAAAUUUUAAAAUAUCAAAUAGUUUUUGCAAAAAAGUUCAAUAAAUUUAACACGAGAAAUAUCUAGCACUCUUUUUAAAAUAUUUGUAUAUGAUAAUUGGUGAUAAAUGAAAAUAUAAAAUGCUGAAGUUAUUUAAAAUAUAUGAAAAUAUAAAAUUAAAAGAUAAUUUAAUUAUAAUAUUAAAAAAGCAUGAUAGCAAAAUCGGAUUAACAUUGAAAUAAUAAUUGGAAUUUGGAAUGUGAGGAGUGUAGAGAUUCCGUUAACCUGCUGUGAAAGCAUUGACGGCGUAAGGGCAUAGGUGAGCGGCUUAACUUAAGGGGUGUGUAAGGGUAAACCGUGAAUGGUUAGAGGGAGAAAAGAGGAAAGCCGUGAGAUUGUUGAUCUACGGUGAGGUGCACAGGAGUGUCUAUGUGUGUACUACAAGAUGUAUGUAUAUAACACAAACAGGUCCUUCAAUGGAAACACCAACCCACACACACACCCCAUUUUCGUUCUAUCACAACAUCAACCUGCUUCCUCUUCAACCUUUUUUUUUUCCUUCUCUUCUCUUCCUUUACCUCUCUCACGCUUCCUCUCCAAUUUACAACACUAAUUCACAUAGCCCAAACUUUCAUCUUCAGGAUCUGACUUUUUCAAACAUACAAUGGGGUUAGCCAUUUAGACAGCAUCAAUAUCUAUCUUUUCUUCUUUUCUUCCUCCUUUUGCCCACCAACGACAACCAAACUUGUAUUUAUCUCCAAUCUUUUUUUCUUCUCCCAAUUUUGUUGGCUCAUUUAUGUUUUCAGAUGCAUGUUCCAAGAGUGUUUUCAUGAGUUUAUCCGAAUUCCGUUUUAAAUUUUCAACUGAAAUCUGUUCUGGAGAUUUCCUUUGAUCAUUGCGAUUAAUAAGUUGCAGAAGAUUUCCAGUUUUGAAGGUUCGAAAAUAAGACCCCAGUUUUGUUUUUGCCUUAUUUCGUUCCUCUAUUCCUUCCUUUGGUGUCUGUGCUAAGUUAUUCCUGAAUUUUUUUUGGCCUCCCCAGAUACAUUUUUAGUGAGAAAAAAAGGGGUUUUGAAGCUCUGAACUUUCUGCUUGCCCUGUAAUUACAGAGGUGAUCGUUUUCUUGCUUGGGUGUAAAGACUGAGUUUAUAUCCAUCGUCGCUGAUACAAGCUUUGGAAUGUCAUUAUUACUUGAAUUUUCAACAUAGAUUUACAUUUUUCACAGCUUCAGAACUGAAAUCCUGGCACUUUUCCUACAGUCAUAAACGAAGUUCUGGCCGGACCUGAUUUAGGUGAGAGAAACUAAUGUACUUAAUCAAAAUUAGAACUGAAUAAAUUGAUUCUGAUCGCAACCUUGCAGUCUUGGCCGCAACAGUUAAUUCAGUUUUGAUGUUAGUAUGUUCUUGUUAUUGUUCUCUGAUUUCUCUCUUGUUCAUAAUUUCCUGCAGGAAAACAAAAAAUCCCCUUGGUUUCAUCUGAAGGAAUUGAUUCAUGUUCUAGUUAUUGUUAAUUUUGUAAGGUAAACAUCCAGUUUUUUCUGGAUCUCUUUGGUCUAACUCGUGUUUUUGUUGCUCUUCGUAAUCUCAACCGCUCACAAUACAAUCCUAGUGUGGCUUUUGAAGAGACGAGGCAUUGAGCAGAACCGCCAAGACCAGUUGAAUUUAAUCGAUUGAUGUCUCGUUUUCACAUUAUCCUAGAUGUCCUGUGGAAAUACUGAAUUUGAACCUUUUUUUUUUCUUUGUGCACCUUUGUGCACCGAACAUUUACACUGUGUUCGGUUCCUCUCCCUCUUGUUAUUGUCAUCGUCCAUUUUUGUCUUGACCCAGAUAUAGAAGAUGCUCAGUGUAAAUUUUUUUUUUGUUCGGAAUCCAUGGACCAUUCGUUGCACAAAUCCUGUUAAAACAGUGUAGUAACCUCAGUUAAUUGGGAUGUGGACGAGAGAGACGCUGUCUGUGUUUGUGAAGGAACACAAAUCCAAUUUCAAUUUGAAUUUAAAAAUGUAGCAAUUUGAAGGACUAAAUCUUAAUUUUAAUUAUUUUUAUGGUAGCUAGUAGUUGAAUUAACCUAGUAUGGUGAUGAUGACGAUGAUGAUGGCAGGGAAAGGUUGAAGAAAUGGAGAAAGAUUCAAGUAUUCGAAGCAAUAACACGGUGUCUGGUGGUAGAGAUAAAAGCGGAGGGGAAGGGUCGUUGCUGUUGAGGGCGAGUUCCGAUGGCGCUAGACAGGGAACGACGUCGGAUUUGGUGUUGCAGUGGGGGAAUCGGAAGCGGUUAAGGUGCAUGAAGGUGCAGGUUAAGGACGAUUCUUCAGGCCCGGUUCAGAGGACAACGGUUCGGGUGGAUCGCCGGGUUGUUAGAACCGAUAAGGAUUCUUUAAAUAAGCCCCCCUUCGGUGUCAAUAAUAACACCCUUGGAGUUGGACACACUCAUAAUAACAACAAUAACAAUCAUCAUCAUAAUCAGAGUAACGGGUAUCCAAAUCUCCGUCAACGUCCUUCUUCUCCGCAGCAACGAAUUCUCAGGUAACGCAAUUUGUCAUUCACUUUGUUACUUUAUCUUUCCCCAUAAAUAUGAUUUAAUCUUUUUUUAAAAAAAAAAACAAAUAUAAUUGAGCGAGACUGAAAUGAGAUCUGAGAAUAGGUCAAUUUGACAAAAUUCGGGAUUUUAUACGGAAAAGAGGGAAAAUUGAAGAUUUCUGUGUUGUGAUUCAUAAAGUUAAAAAUCGUUACUUAAUAUUACAUAUCUUAAUAAUUGUUUUUAUUUUGGUUUUCUCUGGUUGAGUGUGAUUCCAUCAAUACUUAUCUUGAGGGCAAGGAUGGUGUUGGUGGCGCAGUGGCGCGUGGGCCAGUGUUUUGUUUUGAUCUGUUUUAUAUUGUUGAUUAAAUAAAAUAAAUAAGCUAGGGUUUGUGGUGGUGUAGGUGUACUGUGAAGGUAGUUUUAGCGAAAGAUAUUAGUAUAAAUAGUUUGAAAGCAAGCAGCACAUGGGUGUGAGUGAAAUAAAUAUCUAUCUGAAGAACUGGAAAGAAAAGUGGCAGAGAAAAAGCACAGCGUGGGCAUGGGAAUGAGUUGAAAGUGUAGUGGGGGCAGAGAGUGGAUUUGAAAUUGUUUAGUGGGAUGUCCUGCCACGAAAUUUCGUUGGGUGGUGCAACUUGUAAAUCACAUUUCUCACCCAAAGAAUCUUAAGCUUCAAAUAUUACUGUAAAUAAAUUUAAAAUUAAAAAUAAUUUGGGCUACUACUCAAAUUAUUAUUAUAUUAUAAUUCAUCUCGGCUGAAUACACAAAGGCUUAUAUUCUGUCGACUCUCCAAUUGGUCAGGUCCUUGCAGUCUCAUCCAAAUUAAACAAUGAAGAGGAACUCACGGUGAGUAAGUGCGUGAGAUCCCCUUCUUUACUUCCGUCAAAUUUUGUUUCCAGAUAUCGUCAAUCACUAAGCUAACCUCACUUUCUCUAAUCUCUGCCUCACAACUAGAUGAUAGGGUAUAUUGAUAAUAUCUGGUUCUGAAUUUGGAUUAACGCCAUGAUAUUUAGGCACGCAAGAAAACAACACAUAUAGUUGGAGCGUGAUUCUUGCUUAAUCGGUUGGAAACUUGGGGAAUCCUUUGGGCAUUGUUUUAUUAAUUUGGAUGUUUCAUUUUUUAAUCAAAAAUAGUUUGUGUCUGUUUCUUUACAUUUUAACUUGGAAUCAUUGGUAGCGUCAGGGCGAGUCUUAUAAUGAAAAUCAGGUUAAUAAUCCAAGCCUUGCUGCUUUGCUUCUGACGUCUGACAGGGGGUUUGAGAUUUCUUAGGGAGGUUUAGGUUGGUGUGGUUGAUUCUUUGCCGUUGACAUUUUCUUUUCUAGAUCUUGAUUUUAUAUAUUUGAUGAGUUUUCCAUGGAAAAACCUAGAAGAUGAGGGGAUAUUUAUUUUGACUCUGUCAAAUCUCAGGCCGGUAUUUUAUUUACUGUGAGAUUUAAUUACAAGUUUCGUUACUGUUUAGUACUGUUAUGGAAAUUAUAUAAAAAAGAAAAAAAUAUGUUGAAUUCAUGUCAUAGAAAGAAAAGUAAUGAAGGAGGUUUGUGCGUUGUAGAAGAUAGGAUUAGGAUUAGAUUAGAGGAGAGGGGGAUUUGCAGGUUCUGGAUCUACAUGUAGGAGGCGGAAGCAGGAGUUGAUUAUUCACAUGGAACCAUGGAACGGAGGGUUUCCUUCCACGUGUUAACGAAACGUCCUUUUCCAUUUUGGCCGUCGGAUCGAAGGGACCAGGUCGCAGAUCCGUCCAGUCUCCUUCAUCAUUCCACCACGUAGCAAUCUUCAUCUUGAUUGCCCAAUAAUAAAGCUCUCUCAAUCCAACGGCUCCAAAGAAACCGUGGAACCAGCUGUGCCCGUUAUAGGGAAUCACACACACUUUCUCUCUUAGGCUAGGCCCCUCGAGGUUCGACUCAAAUAUCCAAUUCUCUUCUCAUCAACCAAAAUAAAUUAACUACCCAACUCUCCUUCAAACCAAGAUACAAAUACAAAGCCCCGCAAAGAGCCAAAAACCAUCCCUUUUUCUACGCUAAAAAAUCUGUCUACAUAGAUUCCAGCCUCUCCCACCCUUGGAUCUAGAUCAAUCACCCAAGGUUAAUUUCGUAAACUCACCACUCCCUGGUUACUUUUCAUACAUAAUAUAAUAUAAUAAUAUAUACAUAUAUGUUUAUUAACUCUAAAAUAACCUCUGAAAUGCAUCUUCGUUUGCCCUAUUUAUUAUGUCGUGUUAUGUGAUGUGAUUCACGUUCUUACGAUUAAGAAAGACACAUAGGAUAAUUAUUACAUGUGUGUUGUGUUUGCGUUUUAAAUUUUUGGGUUGUAAUUUAGGAACUCAGAAGGUUCAAGUGCCAUGAGAGGAGGACAAAGCAACGGGGGCGUUAGGGGAAUUGCCUCACCGGACAGGGGUGCGCACGAUAAGAGGGGGACCCAUAACAACCACCUUAAUGACAACAACAAGUCUGCAGCCUCAUCGGAUACUGCGCACGAUAGCAAGAAGGGAGGGUCGCCCUCCGGCAGCGGAGACGCCGCUCCGCCUGUGUGGCCCCCGAAGUUCGUGAUUGCCUUGACCAACAAGGAGAAGGAAGAAGAUUUUCUUGCCAUUAAGGGCUCAAAGCUGCCUCAGAGACCCAAGAAGAGAGCUAAAUUCAUUCAGCGCACCCUCAAUGUAAGCCUCACUUCCCCUUCUCUGCUUUUUCAUUAUUUUCUUCAACUUUAUUAUUGUUAUUCAUCACAUCAGCAUGAUCUUUUCUUGAUGUCCAAUAUCUUAAAUCAUAGCAGCUCCCAUCAAUUUAUUUUCUAGUAGUAAUACAAUGACAAAGUAAAAACAAAUCUCAACGAAAUUCAUAAUUUGGAUGAAGUACUCUCUGACAGAGGUUCGAUGACCUUGUUUUGGUACUCACUCAACAAGAAAGGUGUUCUAAUUAUUUUGCUUAGUAAGGGCAUAAUAACAAUAUUAAAAUGGGUGUGAAAACCAAAUAAAUCAUAUUUUAAUUUUUUUAAAAGCAUAUUAUUAUUAGUAUAAAGCUUAACCCAUCAGAAAAUUUGACUAAUAAUUUUUAAUAGGAUUAUUAUUUUUUAUUAAAAAGUUGAAUUGUGGGACAGAUUUAUUUGUAGCAUAUUCUAAUUUUAGUAGUUGAUUUGUGGUAGUAUUCUUUUAGGUGAGUGCCUUCUUUUUUUUUUUCUUUGGUAUUUUGCUUUUCCCUUUUCCUGAAAAAGCUAUACACGGUUGGCAGCUGUGGAGUGCAUUACACGCGUCGAAGGGAGCUUGGCUCAUACCGAAUAGUUAGUCACCAAAAUAAUUAAGUAGUAUAACAUCACCAUCAUCUGUACGUAGUCAUCACUAUUUUUACGGGAGACAUAUUUAUUUUUUAAUUUAUUAAAAUAAUAAUAUUUAAUCAUAUUUGUUUAUUUGCUUUAUUACUUAUUUUUCAUUAUUACUUAUUGGAAGUGUCUGCACAGAUCAAGAUUAGUCUACUCCUCCACAUGGUCACCGAUGAAUCCCUGAAAGCUGAAUAAGCUACCAACAAAUUAUAGUAAAAUAGAAGUGAAUAGUUUUCUUGAAUUUGAUGCAUACACCUACCGAUUAGUAUAAUAAUCUGUGUGCAGCAGUACUUCAAUUAAAAAAAAUCUGUUUUUUUUUUGGUUCUAGGUGGCCCAAACAUGCCAGGUUCUUAAACCUGGUAUUGAAAAUUGUGUUCUUUAAUAAAGGGUGAAACAGUGAUCGUGAUCAUAAAACUGGUAUUGAAAAUCAAUAGUAAAACUGAGGUUUUAAUAUUAUUAUUACUGAUAUUAUUACUGUUAUUUAUUAUUGAUAUUAUGACUUAUUUAUUAUUGAUAAUAUUCUGCCACUUGAUAUUUAUCUAUUCAGUGACACUUUAAAUGGGUUCUGGUCCAGAAAUAACAAAUAAUAAAUUAAGUGAAAGAAUUAAUAAAUAAAUAAUAAGAGAGUAUCACACCUGUCCAGUGGAGUUUGGAUUUAUAUAUUAAAAAGUGGGAGCAACCAUACUGGAUUACAUCUUCUGUGUAAUGAGUGGUGUCAGUUGUAGUGGACGUACCUGGUUGAAUAUGAAUAGUCAUUACACAGACUUAUCAACAAAAGACCAAAACUCCUACUAACUAGCGGACAAAUUUAGAAACCGGUUGACCUCUUCUUAGCUGGAUGGAAUACCGGAAGAAAUUCUUGUUUACUCUCAUCUAGCCAAAAUAUUACACUCAUGAUAUAGAAAUAGUUGAAAGAAAUAAAUAUAUAGCCUUGUGUAAUAACAUGUUACAUCUAUACCAUUUUCAUUUCGGUUUUAGAAUUUCUUUUUUAUAGCUUAUAAGCCAUCUUUAUUGCUAGGCUUUUAAAUAAUAAAAAUUCGUGACACAUUUUUUAUACACUUCUUCCUGAUUGUGAAGAGAACUAAAAAAUUUUAGUUAGCUUUUUCUAGUGAUGCUUUUAGGUUUAAGUUUAUGUUUUUAGGUUUAAGUUUAUGUUUUGGUGUAUAUAAGGUUUGAUCUUCUUUUAUAUUUAUAAUAUUAUAAUUUCUUGUGCAUUCAAAUAUUUUUUUUUAUUUUCUUCUUCUCUUAUCCUUGCAUCUUUAUAAACUUUGAUGAAGUAAAGAUGAAAAUGUUCGUAUUUAUUUGUUUAUUGGGUUCUUUCUGUACAAAUAAGUGCAUGCGUGAUUUGUGUUUUAAAUGUGAUUUGUGUUUUAAAUAUUGUUUAAUUUGUUUGACAGCUCGUUAGUCCUGGUGCAUGGUUGUGCGAUCUUACCUUGGAACGAUACGAAGUUAGGGAGAAGAAAAUAUCCAAAAAGGUAAAUGGAAUGAAAAAAAAAAAAAAAAAGAGGAAGAUUCAUUUCUGCAAUUAUGAAAAGACGAUAAUUUUUGUGGCACAUAAAUAAAGAAAUAUAAUUUAUUUUUAUGCAGAGACCAAGAGGUUUGAAAGCAAUGGGAAACAUGGAGUCUGACUCUGAGUAGAGAGAAAAGUUAAUGAGGCUAUGAAUGUUGAGAAGUGAAGAUGCUAAGCUUUAUGUUUGGUAAGGAUGUAGGAAAUGCAUGGAUUUUGUAAAGCAUGGCAUGACAUCAAAGCUGGAUGCCAACUCAUCGAAAUCAAAAUAUUAAAUAUUUUAGCUUUGCCACUGCUUAGCUUAAUCUCCUUGUCUUCAUUUCCUUUCUUUCCUAGUCUGGAAAACUGCUUCGGAAUUGCAAAAUGACUAGGUGUCCUCAAGGAGGGACAUUUUCACUAACACAAUGUGUCUCACAACAUCUUUUGACAAUAUUUCCUAUUAUUCAUUUCAUCACACAGAUUCUCAUUUACUCCCUCAUUUUUUACAACAAUUUUAACAUAAAACGAUAUCACUCUUUUAGCAAUGGGGUUCUCACAAUACCUUUGUUAGUGUUCUCUAGCAAUGAACAUUAAAAAAAAAGCGUCUUCUUGAAGGCUGUGAUAAUUUCCUUUGUUGAAUUAAAUUGAAGUUCUUACUUUUAUGACAAGUAAAUGAUUCUUAAUCUUUUUAAAUAAUGGAAUCAAAGGAAUUUGUUUGCUCAUAGGUAUGAUGAUGUGUGUUAUCUUUGUUUUUUCCUUUUUCGAAUUUGAUUCAGUAUUCUUUUCUUUUUCCCAUGGUUUCUAUUUAUUUUUUUCCUAACAUUCUUUGAUGAUUGUUAUCCCCUUCUACACACAAAUUAAUAAUCCGAAAUCUCAAGCAAUUAUUCUUAGAAGCUUUGUCGUGAUGAAGUAUGGAUUCAAAGGUUUGACACAUUAAAAAGUGAAGAUAGUUUUGGUUGAAGACAAAAUAUGUAUAUACAAAUAAAAAGUGGAGUUAAAAUCAUCAAUUGUCAAUAUUGAUAAGUAUUGAUAGGUUAAACAAUCACUUUAACAAGUUUUUUUGGUACAUUUCUUGAAAGCUUUAAAAUCCUAGAUUCAAAUUCACUUUUCUAAGCUGAAAUUAAAUAUAAAUCCUUGUAUAUAUUUUGUACUUUAAAACUCAUCUCUAUGGAUUAUGUUUUUAUUUUUGGUUGCAUUUCAAGUAUUUUAUUAAUUUUCACUAAUCAUUCCUUUUUAAAGUAAUGUAAUUAAUAAAUUAUUUAAUAUUAUUGAAUUUCAAUCUGCAUUUUAACAAAUGAAGUGCUGAUAUAUGCCAUGGAAGAUGUCCAUGGGUGUAGGGUGUGAGAGUGAGAGUGACUAAAUCUGGCUCUCAAUUAAAAAUGUAUUAGUUCAAUUACAUUUAAUUUUUGGUGAAUUAGAGAUUUUAUAAUAUUAUACUACUAUUAUAUGUUGAUAGGUAAAUGGAUUGACUUAAGAUUAUUUUAUUUUUCUAAAUUAUUAUUAUUAUUAUAUGUAUAUUAAGAAAGAAUAUGAAAGGGAUUGAUUCAACUUAUUUAUUUCAUAAUAAUACAAUUAAUGUUUACCUAUUCCAUCAAUUAUAAUAAUAAUUAAAAAUUAAAGAAUUAAUUCAAAUUUAAACAUUUAAAUUAUUUAAAAAUUAUUGAUUAAUAUUAUAAGAUUUAAAAAUAUCAAAUUAUCAAUACAUAAAUAAUUAUAAUAAAAAACUUAUAAAAAUGAUAAAAAAAUUAAUAAAAUAUUUGUAUGAGUGAUGGAUCAAUCUAUGACUCAAAUUAUUUAACGUAAAUUUAAUUUAAUUUAAUUGGCCAUAAAAAAAUAUAGUUACAUGAACUGCAAUAAUCCAAAUGUUAGAACUGGGGUGUGAGGGUAAUUACCUCAUGUUGAGCUGUGCCAAGGAUGUUUAAUUGUUUAAUUAACCAUACCAUUUCUAUGGCUCCAACCAUCCUAACAUAUUUUUAUUUGAAAAUAAACUACAUUACAAAAGUUAUAAACAACAAUAGGAAUAAAUUUGAAAAUAAUUAUCAAUUUCAAUUUCCCCAAAAUAGAGGAAUUAUAAAUAUUUUAAAAAAACUCUCAAAUUUGGCUUUAAAUGUAUUUUUGAAAAUUUAAGAGAAUAAAAUAAUUUGAUUAAAUUUGGACUAGCAAAUCCAAAUUUAUAAUAAACCAAAAAUACAACUAAAUUUAACUUUAAUUUUUAUUUGGAGAAUGUAUUUUUUUCCUGUCUCAAUGGAAAGACUCUGAUUUUGCUUAACUUGAAUUUUUAUAUGUUUUAAAAUUCAUGAUAAUUAUUUAAAAAAUAAAUAAAAAUAACAUAACUAUGUUGUUAUUUUUAAAUAAAAAUAGAGUCUGUUCUCUAUAAUAUCUAUAAUAGAAAAUUAUUAAAUAUAAUUUGAUAUUAUUGAAACAAAAAUUUAAUUAUGAUUUAUGAACAUCACAAAUAUUACUUUAUAUAUAUUUUUCUCCUUAGAAAAAAAAAAGUAUUAAUAAAGUACAUAGAUUUUCACCAAAACAUAUUACCAAUUAUUAGAAAAUUUUAAUAAUGUUAUUAUAGUAGUAACAUGAUUUGGUAUAGCAUUUAAGGCACUGCAUAAUUUUAGUUUAUGUGUAAACACACAUGAAGCAAGGGUAACACAACUAUGGUUGACCCUUAAUGGACAAGCUUCAAUUGUCAAUAGAAAUUAUUCUUGUCCCCACAAACUUAUACUCUGUUUUCUUCAAUUACAAGUUUCUAUAUAGGACAACAAAAAUGUCUUUAUCAAUCUUCCAUGUACACUGAAUUUAUUAUUCCUUUGUAAAUUAAUUUUUAAUUUUUGAACUUAAGACCUUCAAAUGGGUGUUUAAAUAUAAUAUUUUUCUAUCUUCUUUUAAUAUUUUGCAUGCUUAUGCAAAAGUCAUUAUCAAAAUUAAAGAAUGGUCACAGACAAUAGAUAACAUCAUCUAUUGAUAUGAACACCUGAAUUCACAGAAAAACUAAAAAAAAAAAAUUAAUAAAAAAAAACUUACAAAGAAGCACAAACUAGAAAAUAAAAGAAAUCCAUUAUGUACCGAAACAAAUAUCACAAAUAAUAAUACUCAAAAAAUAUAGCAAAAUAACUAAAGAUACAGAAAUAAACAGAUGAAAUCUCUGCACAUCAACACAUGAGAGAGCUAUAUACUACUAGGCAAGCCUCGAUCUCUGGUAAAUCCACACAAAAAAUAGAGGAAUUGAAAAUCUCAAGGCAGAAGCUCUGCAUGUUCAGAUCCUGUGAGAAGAUCCGAAGACGAGAGCAACGGCAGCGGCUAGAAAACCCGCGACGAAGGAGGGAGAGAUGACAGAAGCCGGAGAGGUAGGACUAGGCGCCGGCGCAUCGGCGGCAAAAGCGGUGGAGACGACGGCAAGAAGGACCGCCAUUGUGGUGAUGGUUAGGACCUGAGAAGAAGCCAUUGUUUAUGAGUGAUUUAGGGUUUUGACGGAAGCAGUGUAGCGAGAGAAAGGAAUGCGAAUGAAGUGAAGAAGGUGAAGGAGUGUUUAUAUAGAAGGGAAAUGAGAAGAUAAAAGAAGGGUAUUUUGGGAAUGCAGAGAAAUUUACAGAGUGGCUAUUAUAAUUUGAGUGGGUGCUGUGCUGUUCCAGCUGGUUCUGCUGUCAAAGUUAGGCAAAUCUGUUUUCUCUUCUUCUGUCUUUUUAACAAUUUUCAUUAAUUAACUAAUUAACCAAUAAAAAUAAACUAAUAAAACAUUUAGUGGAUCCUGAAACUGCAUGACUUCUG
rnacentral:lncRNA from 1 species